AUUUUCUCUUGUCUUCUUCCUUGAUUGCUUUGUUCCUCAAGUAAAACUUCUCAUGUGCAGAUACCUUCUCUUUCUCCUUCUUCUUCACCGUCGUCGUCUCCUUGUUCUUCGAAGAUUCGUUAAUGGAGCUCGGAUUCAGGAAUUUGAGCGACUGUUUCCCGUCGCUGUUACUUCUCUUUAGCAGAUCUCUGAUUCGCCACCGUCUCUUCGACCACGACGACGUGGAAGACGAUCCAGUCGAUUUGCUCUUUCUGCAACCUCCGCUCGGUGACAUCUCCGCCGCGGAUCUCUCCGGCGUCCAUGGACAGUAGAUCUCGCUCGGGAUCGCGUCGAGCUCAUCUUCAUCUUCAUCUUCCUCCUCAUCGUCCGACGACGACGAAUACGCCUGUUGCGGCUGCUGCUCCUGAUCGUUACGUUCCCGGAGGAACAGAUCUUUUAACGGAGUCACAACCGCUUCCGGCGAAACGGAGUCAGGUUCCACGGCGGAGACGAGAUUUUGGUCGAAAACCGGGAAUACUAAUCCACCGUCGCCGGAAGAAGACGACGCGUCACGAUCCGAUUGGAGAAUCGCGAACUCGAAUUCUUCGUCUCCUUUGUCCUUGUAAUAGUCGUGGCUAACUCGUUCGGCGAUCUCGGCGAGUCGAUCGCCGGAGUAAGUACUGAAGCUAGGUGAGAAAGACGCCGUGGAGGCGAUAUAGUCACCGUCUUUCUCCAUUAUCUGAGAAGCUUUCUCUCUUACUUGUCUUCUAGCUCCGGGAUUUACAGUUGACAAACGAAAAGAGCGUGAGAGAGAGAGAGGUUUUCUUUAAUGGCGUUUUUUUUGUCUUCUUCUGUAAUUGGCCGUAUAUAUAGGAGAAGCGGUUGGGCACAUGGAAAUGGCAAACUCAGUAAUUACUCACUAAAAGCUUAAUGUGUGUCAUAGCAUCAAACUAUAAAAUAAUAUCAAGCAUCAUAACGUGGACUUUCUAGAAGCGUAUCCUGCUAUUUGAUCCAGAAGUUUUGGUGUGUAUUUUUUUAAUACAUUCUAAUCAAUGUAUAUAUUUCACCUAAUAAAUUAUUAUGGUUCAGAAAAAAGUUAGUGACAACAAGACAGUUCCUCUCAAAAUAUCGACCGAAAGUUUAUAUUGGAACAAAUAUUUUAGUGCUAUGCUCGGAAUUCUAUUAAUUAAUACUUUUGAGUUGAUUAUGAUAAGAAUACAGUAUUUAGUAUUUUGAAUUCAAAUGGUAAUAUUAAGCAUUGAAAAUUUGGCGGGCUCCGUUGAUUAUCAUUCGGAGUCGGACGAAAUUUGUAGUUUUUGAAUUGGCUAUAUUUUGAAUUUUAUAUGAUCAAUACAACGUUUAUAACUUAUUUGAUUGAGAAAGUAAAUUGGCAGAAUGUUUUUGCUCCCAAAAACUAGUUUGAUCAGAACAUUUUCAACCAUUUAUUAUUGUACAUUUUCUUAAAUAGAUGGAUAUUACAUAUAUAUUCUCAUGAUAAACAUGGCGACUAUAUAAGCAUUGAUCAUCGCUUACGCUCUGCUGUUUGAGUAAUAUUUUUAAUUUUAUGUCUAUUAACUAUUGAUUUACUUCUUCUAUUUUCUACAACAAUUAUUGAAUUUCUUAUGUCAUGUGUGACUGUGUUUGAAUUGAAAAGUUGAAUUGUAGCCCAAGCAGCCCAUAAUAAGGGAAUGCAUACGUAAUUGGUGACAAAGCAAGAAGAAUCAUGAAUCAUUGCUGCUGCGUUGCAUCAAAUCUUAUAUAUAAUAAUAUUGUAAUCUUAGCUUCUCGAAAACGAAGGUUCGAAAUUGUUUCUUUUUUGUUUCAACUUACUCACGCAAAAUAUAUAUAAUUGAAAGCAAUAAAUUCUAUCCUGCUAUAAGAAAUACGAUUCACAUCACAUGGGCACGUAUAUGUACAAUAUGUAUACGUAUAAUACUUCUAGAUGUCGUUAUCACUUUUCUUGACGAAGUCUUUCUUACGAGCAAAGCUAUAACUUGGACUUGAAUCGCUAUCAGAAUCAAAUCAAAGAUCUCUCACAUUUAUUUUCUCCCACCACUAGACCAAAAAUCGUCACACAAUAUGCGGAAUUAAAUGUCAUAGAGCUUAUAAUACUUAUAAUUAAUUAUUGUUUUGCUUAAUUGUCAAUAUCAAAUGCUAUUUUUUGCCAUAUCAUUAAGAAGAUGUUGUUGACAGAGGAAAUAGUAUUAAUCUCUAUAAACUAAACAAUUUCUCAAGACAGUCCACCAAGAAACUAAGUAGUCACACUACAAUCUACAUUUUCACUCUCACAUCUCCUGCGUAUAUUUACAAAAAUCAGAAGAAGAAGAAGAAGACAAACAAAACAAAGCUAUAAGUUGCGUAAAAUACGAAUCAAUUCCAAGAAUCUCUUCUCGAUAAAUUUGCUUUAAGAUGAUGCAGAGUAAACUCAACUUGCACCGGAAGCUCACCAGAAACGGCACUCGUCGUCCUCGUCGCAGUCUCUGGCCGUUCCGUUCUCCUCUGUUCAACAAUAAUAUCAUGGUACAUGGGUCUGAACUUGAUCUGAAACGCCCUGUAAGAGAAAUAAGGCAAGAGAGCAGAGACCAUGACGAGGACAAGAGUGAGCCAACAGAACGGACUCGGUCCCGAGGUCUCGACCAAGACCUGAAACGCUGUCGUGGAGAACGUUGGAGGAAGAGAACCGUAAACGACAAGAAACAGAUACCAAAACCCUAUGCUUCCCCAAAUGAAGCAAUGUUGGAUCCAAGUGAAGUAGUUUAUCGAAAUCGCCAUUUGGCAAUUCACUGUCCAUACCACGGAAGAGUACAUUGUCACGCCAAGAACAGAGUAAUCGACUACUUGGCCAUCUUUCUGAAAAGCUUGAGCCGCCAUUGUCUUGAUCGUGAGGAAGAAAAUGAUCAUCGAGCUUAUGAUUCCGUUCAACAUCCAACCGAGGAUCCGUUCCCAGCUGAAUAAUAUGUUCUGUACUCCUUCUUGGUACAGUAUCGGAUACUGCGAGAAAACAAGAAAAUCAAGAACCGGAAAGUGAUUCUUGUUCUUGAUCGAGAGAGAGAAAGAAUGUUUUUACCUUGAGACAAAGGCGAGCAGAGACGUCUUGAUCAAAGACUCCAAGAGCAAUGACGGGAAGUGAAGUGAAGAAGACGUUGUAGCACGACAUGUACCAAUCGUUAUAAGCCGGUUUUCCGGAGAAAGAUGCAUAAGCUUCGUACCAAAACAGUGUGAAUCCGAAUGUGAGAUUCUUGUAGAAGAAGUAGCAUAUCUGAAUUUCACAAAAAAAUACAAAAUCACUAAUAAAGAACAACAAACUUCAACCUAAUAAGUUCAGUUCUUAAAGCUUGUUACCAUAAUUGCUAUUCUUCUAUAACACCAAUGGCCGUGAACAAGCAACAAACGUUCCAGAAACCGAAACUGAGCAAUCGCAAAAUCACUAGCCAUCACUGCCUGUCAACAGAAAACUUCAGAGUUCUAAUUCUGAUGAUCAUUUCUUAUAGUAAAUUGAAGAAGAGAUAAGAAAAUCUGUAACCUGCAUUCCUUCGGCACCACUUAUACCGACUCCAAUAUCAGCUUCCUGAAGCAUUCCAACAUCAUUUGCGCCAUCUCCAAUGGCCAGUGUUGUUCUACCUGUCCCGCUUUUUACCAAUCUUGUAACCUAACAAAUAUAUAUAUUCUAGGUCUCUCAAAUCAGAUUACUAAGACAAGUGAAAACAGAAUGUAAAGUGGUGACAUGAAUCUUACGAGAGCCUUUUGUUUUGGGGAAGACCGGCAACAUAUAACAGAAUUACAUCGAAUCGCAAGUUCCAAGAACUCUUUCUCCAGCUUCUUGUCUAAUGCAAAAGUUAAAGACUUUCCAUCAAUCACUAAACCAAACGUUUCCGGAUUUUCAUUAGCUGAAUUGCCCGUUGCUGCAAAAGUUUGUGACAUUCCUUCUCGUAACUGUUUUUUAAUACUCUGAAAAGAAGCCUAUUUAACAAACGAACAAAACAAAUUCUCAUCAUUUUCCAAAAAAUUAGAGUGUUAAAAAUCACGGAAACAAAAAAACAAGAAAAAAACAAACUACCUUAGCAACAGCAUCUUUGUCUCCUUGUUUUUCUAAUGCUUCAACGUCAGGUGAAUCUAGAGUUAUCAAAAUCUUUUUCAUGCCUUCUCUUAAGAGACUACAAGCAUAUCUGUCAACAACAUCACAGCUUUUAACAUUUUUACUUUUUACAGAAAACAAAUGAUAAUCAAGAAAAGAUAUAAGAUGUCUAUGAAUACCCGAUAUUUAUUGCAGUUUCUGUCUUGUCGCCAGUUAAAACCCAUAUCUUGACCCCAGCUUGAGAUAACUUGUCAAUACAAUCAGGAACCUUUAUAACAAGAGAAAAAAAAAGAAAAAAAGAAAAGUAAGUCUAAAAAGAAUCAUAUCUUUCUCCAUCUUUAUCAGAACUUUUUGGUUCUACUUACACCCUUCUGUAGUUUAUCUUCCACUGCAGUAGAGCCAAGAAGAAUCAAAUCCUUCUCAAUAUUAUCAGCAGCUGCAUCAAUCAAAGCAUCUCUAUCUUCACUGACCAAAGUUUUGGCUUUCAGAAACUCCUCUUCCCAUAUUCUGUACUCGUCUUCAUCAACUUCUCUGUAUGUAAUCACCAAAGUUCUUAAACCUGCCUCUGCAUACCUCUUGAUGUGUUCUUUUGUCUCUCUCUCAUUUUGGCGUCCGUGUUUAGCAAGUCUUUCAAACAUUACACUGAAACACAUGACAGAAUAAGAUAUUUCCACUGAUAAAUAUAGGAUUACUUUAAGAUUUGCCUCCACAUAGAAAAAAAAGUAAUAACCUGUCUGCGCCUUUUGAAAGCAACAAUAACUGGUUUUCCGGAUUUCGCACAAUCACCGACAUUCUUUUGCGUGAACUGCUGAACUCUAGGACAUGAAGAAGCUCAUAUACUCUGAACAUUAAAAAAAAAAAAAAAGAAUCUGAUAACUUCAGAAAUGUUGUGUUCUCAUGUUAGCCAAUAAGAAAGAAUCCACACGCUUUGUUUACCUGUCAACUUUCUCACCGGUCAUGUGGUCAAUUUCAUGCAAGGAGAUAUUAGUCUGAGACCUUUCAAAGAAUUCAAAUCCAAGCUCUCGAGAAGCUAUGACAAAAGCAGCUUCAUCAGGAGACUCAGCUUCAUAUGUGAUCUCUCUAGUAUCACUGUUUACAUCAGGAACAGCAGUGUGGCAAAUAGCCAACACCCUAAAAAACUUCUGUAUCAGUUCUGCAUUUGGUUGAUUAAUCCAUUCCCCAUCAACUAUUCUCUCAUCCCAGAAGUUAAAGCCUUUAACCGACUUAGUCGAGCUCGCUUUUAUCUCCUUGAUAGAUAAAGAAUCAUCAUUAUCAGCUUCUUCUUGAGGUCUCAUCAUACCCUUUUGCUUUCUCAAGGCCAUUUCAACUUCCGUCAUACCACGACCAUAAGCAGUUCCAGCAAUCGAACAUUUCACAAACUCCAUUGAGUUGCAAGUCAGAGUACCUGUUUUAUCCGACAGAAUCGUGUCGACUUGACCAAGCUCUUCAUUGAGAUUAGACGUCCUUGCACGAGCAGGCCUGUCUGUUUCCUCGUGGUACAUCUCUUGGUCUUGGUUGAUGAAUAUACUCUGCAAGACCUUCACAACCUCAAUCGACACGUAUAACGAGAUCGGUAUUAAGUAACCGUAUAGCAUCAGAGCGGUCAAGAAAUGAAAGAAAGCAGCAAGAACCGCUCUCUGUGGCUCAUAAAAGACAGUAGUCUCAUCUGGUCUAAGAUACCAUCGAGUUAGCUUCCCAUCAUCACUGAGAUCUCUUCUUGUUAUAAUCCCAAAGAACACAGAACCAGUAAACGAUAUCACAAUCAAGAUACUGAAGAGGAUGUAAAUGAUCUUGUCCAUUUUUUUCUCAAUCUUGCUCCUCUUUGAAGGAGGAUCAGUAGCAUUCUGCAUCACCUUGGUGUCAUGACCAGUGAAAACAACCACGCCAUGGAUGUAAUCAGUGUUUUUCAGCUUCGAGUCUCUCAAGAGCAUCUGCUGAGGAGAGAGAGGAUAUUGUUUCCCUUGGAAUUGAAGUGUUCCUACAAAGGAAUAGAGAUGCUCAUUAGGAUCCUCACAUUUGAUCACACCCCUGAAGUUCUUGAUUGACUCUUCAUCGGAUGUUAUCUCCAAGGCGUGCUUUAGCUUCAGAUUAGUCUCCCCGUCUAGGUUCAUGGUUUCAACAUAACAGAUUCCAUCUUCAUAGCUAGACGAAAGAAGAAGAAGAUCAGCUGGAAAGUAAUCAUCUUUAUGAACCUUCACAAUAUCACCAACUCUGAGAUUUUUCCACUUCGUUUCUCCAAAUGUGCCGUUUUUACCAAAAACUUGGACUUUCCUAUUGUUAGCUUCAAUGUCCUAUUACGCAAAGAACCAUCAUAAGAAAAUCAAGAUCCUAGUCUAAACCAUCUUAUGCCAAAAUGAAAGAAUAAAAAGCCAUACUUGUUUCCUUCUCCUCCAAUCUUCAACUCCUUCUUUGACCAUUGUGGCACCGAUCACAAACAAGAGCGGUGCAAGAACACUCGGGGCGGUGUAAGGAGCCAAAGGGCUAAAGGAAACGAAAGCGACAACGAGGAAAUAUAUAUUUGCAACUCUUCUAAACUGCUCAAACAAGGACUUUGGGAUGAAAUUAGCAGCUGUGUACUUGGUGGUUGACACAUAAUUCCCUUUGUAAUUAAGCUCAAGAGCCUCGGGAGUAUCGGGAUCAUUACAGAACACAACUCUUGAGUAACCUCUUGACCCAAUAUGAGAAUGAUCUUCUCCAGAGGAAGGCUUAAAACACUUGAACGAAUACAAUUUACUCAAACGCACCCCUUUUCUCCUCUCUCCAGCCAUCUUCUUAAAAAUAAAAAUUCUUCCUUUAUAAAGACAGAGCUUUUCAAGAAAUCAAGGAUGAUUUCUCUCUGUUUUCUCAAAUCCACAAGAAGAAUUAGAGGAGAUUUCGUUCUCAACACGAAAAAAAGCAACCAUUUUUUUUUCUCGGAGAAAGUCCACAGCUACUUAAACACAGAUUUCAAACUAAAAUCAUGAAUCACCAACCAGAUCACGAAUCCAAAACCACCAAAUGUAGUAGCUGAGGAGAAUCAGGUGGAAUCUAAUUAAGAGAACAAAAAUUCCAAAAUCACGGAUAAGGAAAUCGAGAAGCUGCACUAAACAGUAACUAUCAGUUCAAUUAAAAAAAGGAAAAAAAAAAAAACAUUUGUCUGAAAGAUUCCUUACUUGGUCCCAAGUGUUCCCAAAGAUCUAAUUCCUUACAGAUAGAGAGAGAGAGACGAAAGAGAGAAAGAAACUCUAAAAUAGUAAAAGAAAGCAAAGAUCCUAAAGACUAAAGAGAAAGAGUGUGUGCUUAGCUCCGAUCGCUACUCAACUUUGCCUCUUUCGUAAGUAAACGACAGCAGAGAGAACGACGAGUCAAGACCAUUUCCCAAAUUUUCUUUUUUGUUUUAUUUCAUUUUUCUUCUAACAUUUUCCAAUCUUUAUCUUUAUUUUUAUUUUCAUUUUUCUGUUUUAAUUUUUUCCUCUGUUUGUGUUUUUGUUCUUUCCCCGUACGAUUCCGUGAAGACUUGCUGACAUUUGUCGGUCUUCGAUGAGUCCAACGUCACAGUAUGACACGUGGUGAUAUCUUACGGUAUUUACUGAUUAAUUAUUUGAAAACUUAGUAUCGCACCGUUUUCUAGCUAUUUCCACUUUAAGGAAGAUAAUUUAUACGACCAGUAGUUGUCAAAAAUUCGGUUUGGUUCAUCUUUUACGGUGAAAUAAUAAUUAUUAUAAAAAAGGAACCAAAAAUUAAAAAAUAGUACAGUAUAAGAUCAAAUGCAAUAGGUCACGUAAGAUGCAAUUGUAGUAAUAAAGUGAAUAUUUUUCUGUGAUGGAAUUUAUGUUUAUUUUAAACGUAACAAAGCUUCAACACCUACCAGUACCAUCCUCGUCUACUCUUCGUUAAUAAUACAUUAAUUUGCUGACAACAUUUAUAAUUUUACAUAAUUUUAAACAAACAACCAAAAAAAUAUAUUGUUGAAAAAAAAAAAGAAAUACUAUUAUUUGAUGGGCUUUGGAGUCUGUCAGAAGGUUUUUCAAGCCCAUUGGACCCACUUGCUCUUUCUCACGUGGCAUCUCGUAGUUCGCAAAUCUUCUCCUGGAUGAUAAACCCCGUGACGGUUUUUCCAAAAAAAUCCAAUAUAAAUUUGACACGUGAAAUUUCUUAAUAUGACUGUCACGGACUCGCAGGCAAUUGUCAACUAAUUUAUUUAUCGGCACCUACCUCCGCAGGUAGUGGUCAUUCAAAAGGCGAGGCGCUACUUUAUACUCGGUUCGGCUUGGCUCAUCUUGGCGGCUUAAUUUGAUCUAAGUGAAGAAGACUUAAUUUGAUUUUUUUUUUGUAUUGAAAUGUUUUUGACCAGCUUAUCAACUUAGAGCAUCUCAAAAGAAAGGUUUAUACAAGAGUUCUUAGAGUAAUUGAGAUCAAAAAUAAAUAAAAAAGAGUGAAUAAGUUUAGGACCGAUCUUUAAAUAAAGAUUAAAAAAACCAGUUCUUAGCAUCACGUAGAAAAGUAUUUACAGAAUGAAUUAUUUAUUUUUUAAAAUCUUUAAUAAGGUUCAACCAUUGAAAGAGAAAAAAUUAAGGAUUUCUAAAAAAUUUUUAAACUUUCAAUUAAUCAAAAUUUAUAAAUAAAAAAUUAGUAAGAAUUCAUGAAGAAUGUUUACCAUUGGAGAUGAUCUUAAACAAUGUACAAAGUUUUUGACCAAUCGCAUUAUACAUCGUUUUUUUUUCAAUAAACGAUAUAUCUCGUUUUCUCAGUGACAAAAUUACGAUGAUUUAACUGACAACUCUGAAGCAAUCAUUAAUUUUCACAUAAAGUUUGUUAUAGGAAUUGGUUUUGAUGAUAUAAUCCAAUGUUUUACCAAAGAAAUUUUUGAUUUCUAUAAAAGUUUAGAGAUGUAGAAAAAAAAAACAAAUAUACGUUAUAAAUUUAUGAAUAAAUAUUUCUAUAUAGCAUACGGAUCAUAUCAAAUAUCUAAAAAGUAUAAAAUUUAUAUUAGUGAUUUGGUAAAAGAUUGAAACCAAUUGAAAUAACAAAUGGGAACAGAUAUACAUUAACAAAAUCAUUUAGGCAGGCGUCCCCAGGCCUACUGGUUAUAUGCUCCACAUGAGCAAAAUAGAGUUUUUUUUUUAAUCUUUUCUAACAUUGUUAUUAUAUUUGACCGUAACGCCCGCAGAUGAAAGCCAAGCCGAACAUCCACAUGUAAUGGAACUACGUAAACCCUUUUGAUCUCCUUUAAAUUCGAAUCCUUCCCGUCAACUUCGUCACCAAAAGAACCAAACAGAUUAAGAAAAGGAAAAAUAUUAUUAACCUAACAACCCUUAUGAGAAUCGUCCCAAAGACGACAGAGAACUACGAAGCGGAGCUUGUGGAGCUAAGCUCAGCCAUUGCCGUCUCCACCGUGACUAAGAGAAGAAAAGAAGAUGAAGAGUGGUUCAAACGAUCAGAAAAUACCAUCAAUGGUUACGAUAUUGACGAAGGCAAUGCUAAGGUUGUCUGUAUAACGGACGGUCUCACAUUGCUCGGCCGAGCCAUUACACAACGUCUCUUGCUUCAUGGCUACACCGUCCGCAUCAUCGUCAAUGGCCCAGGUAAUAUAUAUUUAUAUAUAUAUAUAUAAAGAUAUACAUAUAGCAAUAUAGGAUAUAGGUUACUAAACCAAUUAUGUGUUCGUAAUAUACAAACUAUGGUUUAUACUUAUCAUCUAUGUUUUGUUUGUAUAUAUAAUAUGAUUUUUGAAUGACUUUUUUUUUGUCGGCUUGAACCAUAUUUGUAGAUGACCUUGAGAGACUGAGGGUGGUGAGGGAUGAAACGGCUACGUUUCAGGGGAGAAUCGAAGCAGUGACGGCGAAGUUAACGGAAACAGAGAGUCUAGUCUAUGCGUUUGACGGGUGUGACGGCGUUUUCCACACUUCCGGCUUCAUAGAUCCUUCCGGCGUCUCUGGCUACUCUGUGAGCUAUCUUUCUUUGCCUUCCACACAUAUAUUAUUAUCUAUUUUUAGAGUUUUUCUCCAAAGAACAUAAUAAUACCAUAUGAAUUAUUAAUCGUAUUCAUUCUAGUUUGGUAAACCAACAAAAUGAAUCUUGUUCAAAAUCCAUCUGUGAUUAAUACGUUGGAUAAUCCUUGUAUCGAUGCUUCAAGCUAAUAUGGGGAUUAUAAUUGAGGAGUUGCAUUUAUUUGUAUAUUCUGUAAUACAACUAUCGUAGAACGUUGUUGCAUUAAAUGAAAGCCGUCGACAAAUUGUAUUGGUAGUUUAUAAAAUGAAUGUUAUUCAGAAAUAUAUGGCUGAGAUAGAAGCCAAGGUUAGUGAGAAGGUGAUGAACGCGUGUUCGAUAACGCAAUCGGUGAGGAGAUGCCUCAUGACUUCUUCUUUAUUAGCUUGCCUGUGGCAAAACGGCACGCAGUUCGUCUCCCCUUCUGUGAUUGAUCACUCUAGCUGGAGCGACGAGUCUCUCUGCCACGACAAAAAGGUAAUUUCGAUUUAGUCUCUCUCUCAGUAUGUAAUAUAUCUGGUUAAUGAAUGUUUUGGAAUGGUGAUAAUAAUUGAAUAUUUGUUUUGUACUGAUUUAUGUAAAUAUUUUUUUGAAGCUGUGGUAUGCAUUAGGAAAGCUCAAAGCAGAGAAAAUUGCAUGGAAAAUAGCAGAAAAUAAAGGAUUCAAACUCUCAACAAUAUGUGCUGCUCUCAUCACUGCCCCUAACUUACUUCACCACCAUCCUACUCCUACAAUUGCUUAUCUCAAAGGUAUAUUCAGUACAUAGAUAGAUAUAUCCAACUAAAUAGAGUUGUAUUGAUUGUUUUCAUCUUAUGUUACUAUCAAUGUAUAAUUCGUCCACUGAGUACUCACUAUUGUAACUGUUCUAAGUGGGUCCCCCAAAAAGGAACCCUCACAGUUUUUUCAUCAGCAUUCGAGAUAAUCUAUAUUCAGCCUCGUAUACUCGUAUUCGUAUACUCGUGGAUAUUGAAUAGUUUUAUGGAUAUAUGUGAAGCUGUGGGUUAUCCACUAAGAAAGUUUGGACAUACAAAAUUCGAUAGAGUCCUGACAAAAGUGGUGUCUAGUAAUUUGAUCAUUUUAUUGAUUUGAGGGUUUAUAAGUUUAGUACCAACCAAAUACUUUUCAUGUUUUUAAGAUAUUUCAUAAUUUUUUUGUACAGGAGCCGAUGAGAUGUAUGAAAACGGGGUACUAGCCACAGUGGAUGUACACACGCUUGCAAAAGCGCACGUGCAAGUAUACGAAGAAAUGAAUAAAGCCGCGUUUGGCAGGUACCUUUGUUUCGAUAAGGUGAUAACGAGAGAAUACGAAGCAGAAAAAUUAGCAAACGAAACAAGGGUUGAUCUAGACAAGAUUCGAGGCGACAACUACUUCUACUGCUACAGGGACACCGUUUAUUUUGUCGAACAGAAGACUGUCUUCUCUAAAGUACAGAUCAUCGAUCACCUGUCUUGAUUAAGACAUGACGUACUAGUAAUUCUUUGUUUAUUUUUAGCACGUACAAGUCACCGAAUCUUGAUCAAUUUAAGAGAAUCGAACAGAAUUUUAUACAAUCCUUGAAGUCGAUAAUUGGAACAGUAGGGGCACGUAAUGUAAUGAGGAACAGCUUUCUAGUUUCUACUUGUUUAGUGGUGGGGAAGUGUAUUGACACUUUGCUUCCUGAUCCUAAAGUCAAUUGUCCACCAGAGAAAAAUAGCAUUUCAAUGCGUUUUACCAACUUCAUACUUUUUUUUUUACCAUCACGUACUUGUUUAGAGAGACAAAAUAACAAAAAAAAGUUAUUCGUAACACUAUUGAUAUUAUCGACAAAAGAAGCUGCAGCAAAGAAGCCUCAUGUUUUGAGGCGAAGGAAACGAGCUCGCUUGAGCAGAACAUACAAGUAACCUUAAAAUAUUAUUUUAUUAUUUUUUCAAUAGACUAAUAAAACCAACAUCGUGAAUUCAUGACCCAAAAACUCAUAAAACCAACUAAAAAACAAACGUCGUAGUUAAAUUAAAACUACCUAACUAAAUAAAUAUUAGAAAAUCUCUAAGAUAUUUGAAAAAAUAAAAUAAAAUAAAAGUAGUUAAUUAAUACGCUGUAAAUAAAAUCUCCUAGAGCUAUUAACCCAACAAAGUCCAAUUAGAUUGUUUGUUUGGAAACCAUUAGCUUUGACGAGUGCGGGCCAUUCUGCGUAAGCAUAUAACUUCCAUUGGAUUUUCUUUUUAAGGUUACAAUGUAUUCUUCUUCAUAAACAAGAACCUUCACUUUAACACCAUUUCCCAAAUUCUGGAUUAAAUCACCUACCAUCUCUGGAAUUAUAAAAUUUUCAAAGUCCUGUCUCGGUAAAUUAAGCUUACCUUGUUGGGAAACAUCAAUGUCACUUAACAUCUUCUUUAUGACCCAUGGAUCAUAUGGAGUUAAAUCUAAUUCUAGGUUGAGUUCUUGAUCUUGAGCCAUAGUUUCUAACUUGUAAAUACUAUGAAUUUUUUUUUUUUAAAUGUGAAAGAUGAAAGCAAGAUUGAAAAAUAAUAAAAGCCCAUCGCUAUGUUCUUAUAUAUAGUUCUUCGAUCAAAACAAAUUUUCCUUUUUUUGUUUGUUUAAAAAAGCAUUUUUCCUUAUUUCUGCAUUUUUCUAUUACAUUAAAAAUUCUUAAUAUGCUGACAAAUUUUUAAAAAGUUUUCAUUUUUUUUCUUCUGUUACUCUACAAGUAUUUUGUCGAAAUUUACAAUUCUUUUUUUUAUCAGAAAGUUAAGUUUAUAUGUACAAAAAUCAUUUGGGAUAUUUUACGAGUUUUACAUUUUCUAGUUGUGAUCACUGAUUUUGUUUCCCUUUUUAACAAUUCUAAAACAUAUAUAUAUAUAUAUAUAUAUAUAUAUAUGUAUAAGAAAGAAAGUUUACAUUUAAAUAUUUGAAAUUAUUCUUAUAUCACGUUUAAAAAUGCUUUGUACGAUUCUUGUGGAAGUUUUACAUUUCCUUUACGAAGGUUUUUCAAAAAUUAACGCUUAAAUAAGUUCUCAUAAGAUCGGGUAACACAUAUCAUAAUAGGCUAGAUGUUCACUUAUUGUGUUGCUCUUCGUUGUGGAAUUUGUUUGAGAUUGAUGAUGAUUUAAUUUAUAGUCUUUGAUGGUUUAGGGUUCGUGAUUUGUGGUUUCCAAAAGUUAUGUGGAAAUGGCUUUCUGCAAAAAUCUCGGUGGUCUACUGAGACAAUGGGUUGUUUCUCAGACCAGAAAUGUUCCGGUUUAAUUUAUGCUUGGUUCUCUCCGGUACAUGUCUACCAAGCUUUUCUCUGAGGUAAAUAAGUCUUGUUCAAAAAUGAAUCUUUGAGAAAUAGCUAAUUGGCUACUUGGCGUUGACCACCUUUCUCUCACUCUCUUUUGUAUGCAUUUCCUCUUGAUCUCUUUGAUGCUAAUGUGGGUUAACAUUCAUUGGACAUUGCCACGAAGGAUGAAUUCAAGUUCAUACCGGAAGGGGUUUACAAGCAGUUUUUGAAAGCUAGUGGCCUCAAGGGUAUGAGAUUGGGGAUUGUAAUGAAGCAUUAAUUCUGAUCCCGAUCAUGCUCAUCUUGAUCAUCACAUCGAAAUUGAUGUCAAAUUUCGUUAUUAUCUUGAUUCGACCUAUUUAGUAAACCAUAUAUCUGCGACGAAAAAAAGAAAAAAAAAAAAGUAAACCAUAUACAAUAUCUGAUUAUAGCUCUGUUUUCCUUGGAUGGAGACGAGAAGGCCUGACAAAUCUAUCGAUACUGUUGAGAUUUAUGCUCUGUUUAACACUAAAUUAGAGACCUUUUAGUGUCUUGAACUCUCUCUCUCUCUCGGAAAAAACAAGUUCACUCGUGUGUAUGAAGAAGUAUGGAAACGGAUGCAGAAAAGAAAAUGGCACAGGCGAUUUAAGGAGUUCACGCCCAAUGUGGGUCGCUACGUCUCCCCGGAGAGGUUCUCCGGAUGAAUCCACUAAAUCCUUUAGCUCUACACCGAGCUUUCUACAACCAUAUUCUCUCUGCAACUUUACACAAGCUCUCUCUAUCUCACACUCUUUCAGAGACAUUCCCUCUUCACCUUAUUUAUAUCCUCAAAGAGAUUAUUCUAGAUACAAAGCUUUGUCUCUUUGCAAUCCUUGUGCACAGAUACGAAGGCGCUGCUGCAGGCUCUGCUCCUCCGGUAUCAGAAAGCACGUUUGUGUUCCCUCUGCUUGCUUGAGUUUGUACGAGUUAGGUGGGAAGUCUUUUUCUUGCCUCGGAAUCAGAGAAUGGACUCUGCUUCUUCCUUUUGAUUUCAAGACCGUUAGAAGACUCUUUCUCAGACUGAGGCUUUUGCUGUUGGAUAAGACUCUUUCUCGUUCCAAGUCUUUGACCACAGCUCUUCUUCGUUGACCUUGAUACACCUGCAAGUAUUCAGACUAACUCCCACAAAACUCCACCUUGGUUUGAAUACUUAACCUUAGCUUAGGUUCCUGAUUUAGUUUCCUUUGGAUUCUUCCCCUCUCCGGAUUCUUUCACUCUUCUUAGUGACUUGAUAUUCUGAGCAGCUCCAACGCCUUUUGAAGCUUGCUCACAGGGACAAUCUUGGUAAAGAUGUCUGCAGGAUUCCACAUAGUCGAUACCUUUAAAACUUUGAUGUCUCCUUCUGCAAUCUUAUCCCUGAUGAAAUGCAGACGCACAUCAAUGUGCUUGGUUCUCUCAUGAUGCACAGAGUUCUUGGAUAAGGCGAUAGCACUCUGUGAAUCACACAUAACUUCAACAUUUUCUUGUUCGAAUCCCAGCUCUGCAACAAGACCUUUCAACCAUAUGGCUUCUUUCACUGCCUCUGUUAAUGCCAUAUAUUCUGCUUCUGUUGUAGACAAGGCUACGACCUUUUGUAAACAUGAUUUCCAGCUAAUGACAUUUCCGCCUGCAGUAAAAACAAACCCUGUGACUGAUCUUCUCUUGUCCAAAUCCGCAGCGUAGUCUGAGUCGCAAAACCCUCUGAUUUCUACACUGUCCUGUUUCUUGUAGCUGAGCUUCAACUCCUGAGACCCGUUGAUGUACCUUAAAACCCACUUGACAGCUAGCCAAUGUUCUUUUGAUGGCUUGCUCAUGAAACGGCUGAUUACACAUAGGAUAGGCCAGAUCAGGUCUUGAACCGAUCAUAGAGUACAUGAUACUUCCCACUGCGUUUGAGUAAGGAAUAGUCUUCAUGUAUUCUUCUUGAGCAACCAACUCUUCUUCUGUGGCAGCCUUGAGUUUGAAAUGAGUCCCCAACGGUGUCUGCACUUUCUUUGACUGAUCCAUCCCAUACAUAUGUAUAACUUUCUUCAGAUAAUCCCCUUGAGAUACUUCAAGCGUCCCAUUCUUUCUAUCUCUUUUGAUUUCCAUACCCAAGAUCUUCCUUGCUUCACCCAAAUCUUUCAUUUCGAACUCGGAUCCCAACAACUCUUUCAGCUCUUGAAUCUUUCCUUUAUCUUUUGCUGCAAUAAGCAUGUCAUCGACGUACAAGAGCAAAUAGAUAUAGGUGUUGUCUUCAAGCUUUUUGUAGUAAAUACAAUAAUCAUAGUUGCUUCUUUGGUAACCUGAAUUCCUCAUGAAGGUAUUGAAUCUCUGGUUCCACUGCCUUGGUGCUUGCUUCAGGCCGUAGAGAGAUUUCCUUAGUAAGCAAACUUGAUCUUCUUCUUUUUUUCCAUUCGAAACUUGAUAGCCUUCAGGUUGUUCCAUUAGUAUGUACUCAUCAAGAUUUCCAUGUAGGAAUGCAGUCUUAACAUCGAGUUGUUCCAACUCUAGAUCAAGGUUAACCACAUAUGACAGGAUGAGCCUGAUGGAGACGUGCUUCACUACAGGUGAGAAGAUCUCUUGAUAGUCGACCCCUUCUUUCUGCAGGUACCCUUUUGCCACUAGCCUGGCUUUGAAUCUCGGUUUAUCGGAUCCUUCUGCACCUGGUUUUCUCUUAUAGACCCAUUUGCAGCCUAUAACUUUGCAGUUCUUUGGUCUCUUAAUCAAGGUGAACGUCUGAUUCUUCUGUUGUGAAUGCAUUUCAUCGUCCAUAGCUUCUUUCCACUGAUCCCAGUCUUUAUCUCUCAUGGCUUCUUCAUAACAGCAUGGCUCAGGUAACCUCCAUCUUCUGUCACCAUUAGAGCAAAGCCAGAUACUAGAUCUUCUUCUAGUUCUACUAAGUUUGAAUCGUUGAACUUUUCAGGUCUUCUGGUCACUCUUCUUUCUCGGUCCCUUGCCAACUGAUAGGUUCUGAGAUCACUGCUGAGCUGAGAACUUUCUUCUUCUUCUGAGCUCUCGUCUUCCUGCUCAUUUCUUUCUGCACUUGAGUGAGGUUCUACUUCUUGAUCUUCUUCUAGACUUUUAUCAGCUCCACCUAGAUCCUUGAAGUCUCCACUGUUGACUUCGUAGAUCAAGGGUAUCCUUGAGCUUUGUGUUUCUGUUCCAGACUCUGAUUGUUGAUUUAAGUGCUUGUACAUCUUGUCUUCUUGGAAUACAGCGUCUCUAGAUAUGAUGCACUUCUUGUCUUCAACUAACCAGAAUUUGUAUCCUUUCACUCCACUAGGAUAACCGAUGAAAACUCCUUUCUUGGCCCUUGGAUUUAGCUUUCCCUGAUCACUAUGAAUGUAAGCCACUGAUCCAAAGACUCUCAUCUCAUAGUAUCUUGGCUUCGUUCCUGUCCAGAUUUCAUCUGGAAUCUCUAAAUCAACUACAGACGAUGGUGACCUGUUGAUUUGAAACACUGCAGUGGCAGCGGCUUCAGCCCAGAAGCUUUUAGGUAGACCAGACUCACUCAGAGCACUUCUCACUUUGUCUAGAAUGGUUCGAUUCAUUCUUUCAGCAAUUCCGUUUUGCUGUGGAGUGUAAGCACAUGUUUUGUGUCUUACUAUUCCUUCAUCUCUGCAAUACUCAUCGAAUUCUCUGUUGCAGAACUCAAGUCCAUUGUCGGUUCUGAGGGUCUUGAUCUUUCUACCGAGUUGAUUCUCCACCAUCUUCUUCCAAUCUACAAGGCUUCCAUAGGCUUCAUCUUUCUUCUUAAGAAAAUAGAUCCAGGUCUUUCUUGAGUAAUCAUCUAUAAAUGAAAUGAAGUAUUGACGCUUCCCUAGUGAUAAUGGAACAUUGGGUGAUCCCCAUAGAUCGGAAUGAAUGUAAUCCAGCUUCUCCUUUGUUACAUGCUUCCCUGUUCCAAAACUGACUCGGUGUGUCUUUCCAUACACACAAUCCUCACAGAAUGUCAUAUCCGUGACCCUGGUUUUGUCCAAAUAUCCUUUCUUUAGUAGGACUUUCAUCCCUUUUUGACUCAUAUGUCCGAGCCUUCGAUGCCAUAGUUGAGUUUCGUCUUUAGGGCCAACUGAGACACUUGCUUCUCCUGUGAGAACAGACCCGCUGAGAAUGUAAAGCAUAUCUGUCUUCUUUCCUUUGAUAAGUGUCCUGCAUCCUUUGUUGAUCUUCAUGACUCCCUCUCUAGACUGAAACCAACAUCCCUGAUCCUCUAAAGUCCCAAGAGAUAUCAGAUUCUUGGACAUUUCAGGUACGUAUCUUACAUUGGUCAGAAGAACUGUUGUAUUGUCUUCAUUCUUGAUCCUUAUGCUUCCGAUACCUUUGACUGCAGAGUAAGUGUCAUUUGCCAUUCUGACCUUUCCAGAGUUUACUUCGUUGAGCUCUACAAACCAGUCUCUUCUCGGAGUCAUGUGGAAAGAACAACCAGUAUCCAUGAUCCAUUUCUCCUUCAGUUCAUCUCCAAGCGACAACAAAACCUCUGAAACCAUCAACACUGCAGCAUCUUGAACCUGUCCUGUGACAUUUGACGAUUCACCAGCAUCUCUUUGUUUGUUUCUUUCUUUCCAAACGAAACACUGCUUCUUGUAGUGAUCGUCUUUACCGCAGAUCCAACAAGUCUUUUUCCCUUUAGACUUUGACCGAUGCUUCUGCUUGCCUUUGUCAUUCGGUUUUUCCCUUUUCUCAGAUCUUCCUCUGUCUUGAACGAACAACGCCUCUGAGCUACCUCUUGAGAGUUUACCACUUGCCCCCAACUCGAGCUCCUUGGAUCUAACGGCUCCAAUGAUCUCUUCCAAGGAAAGAGACGUCUUUCCAUACUUCAGAGUAUCCUUUAGUUGCUCAAAAGGCUUUGGAAGAGCCAUAAGCAGAAUGAUAGCCUGAUCCUCAUCAGAUACAGAAACUUUAACGUGUUCUAGAUCCGUUAUUAGCCUUAGAAAAUCAUUUAUAUUCUCCUCAAUCGUCAUACUAUCAGUCAUACUAUACCCAUAUAGUCUUUGCUUCAGAUAGAUACGAUUAGGAAGAGACUUAGCCAUGUAAAGCUGAUCUAGUACCUUUAACAUGGCCGCAGCUGUUUUUUCUUUGAUGAUUUUCCUGAGGACAUUGUCUCCUACGCUUAAGAUAAUGGUAGAUCUGACCUUCUUCAUCUUCUCAGAGAGAGACUUCUCUGCAGUAACCUCGUCUUUGCCUUUAACUGUUGCUUCGAGUGUUUCUGCAGACGAAUCUUCUGAUUCUUGAGCUUCAUCUUCUACCAAACCUUCUGCUAAUCCCAAGAUCUCGAUAUGAGCUAGCAGCUUUUCCUUCCAGAGCAUGUAGUCUCCCUUUCCAUCGAACUUUUCUACCUCCGUUCUUGCUGAAGACAUCUUUCUUCAGACUUUGAGAUAAGAAACCUCCGAACCUGGAGCUCUGAUACCAAUUUGUUGAGAUUUAUGCUCUGUUUAACACUAAAUUAGAGACCUUUUAGUAUUUUGAACUCUCUCUCUCUCUCUCUCUCGGAAAAAACAAGUUCACUCGUGUGUAUGAAGAAGUAUGGAAACGGAUGCAGAAAAGAAAAUGGCACAGGCGAUUUAAGGAGUUCACGCCCAAUGUGGGUCGCUACGUCUCCCCGGAGAGGUUCUCCGGAUGAAUCCACUAAAUCCUUUAGCUCUACACUGAGCUUUCUACAACCAUAUUCUCUCUGCAACUUUACACAAGCUCUCUCUAUCUCACACUCUUUCAGAGACAUUCCCUCUUCACCUUAUUUAUAUCCUCAAAGAGAUUAUUCUAGAUACAAAGCUUUGUCUCUUUGCAAUCCUUGUGCACAGAUACGAAGGCGCUGCUGCAGGCUCUGCUCCUCCGGUAUCAGAAAGCACGCUUGUGUUCCCUCUGCUUGCUUGAGUUCGUACGAGUUAGGUGGGAAGUCUUUUUCUUGCCUCGGAAUCAGAGAAUGGACUCUGCUUCUUCCUUUUGAUUUCAAGACCGUUAGAAGACUCUUUCUCAGACUGAGGCUUUUGCUGUUGGAGAAGACUCUUUCUCGUUCCAAGUCUUUGACCACAACUCUUCUUCGUUGACCUUGAUACACCUGCAAGUAUUCAGACUAACUCCCACAGAUACCAAACAUGGAAGUCACUACUCACUAGGGUUAGGACUGAGUUCAAGAUGUCACUCAACACAUAUCUUACAGAUCUUGUGGAAUCACCAGUCCGGUCCUUAGCAGAUGCAAUUGCCUUCUACAAGGAACUCUAGGCACGUCUUCAAUAAUCGAACAACAAUUUAAGCAAAUAGAUUAUGAUCAGAAAAUCUUUAUUCAAGAACUAAAACCAAUGCCACUAAUUUUAUACAAUCCUUGAAGUCUAAACUAGUGUGUAAAGGACAUGUUUUUACUAUGCUAAAGUGAAAGAAUAAAUAUGAAGAAAAAGGUCUCAUAUUCUAUGGGUGUAUUGUGAGUCUAUCAAGCCAUUGGCUAUCAGUACGAGGAAUUACUUUUACAAUCAUCGCAGUCAACCCAUUUCAGAUUAAAAUUCCAUUUUAAAAACACGAAUUUACGAAAAUACAACAAAAAAUAGAGGCUCAGAGUUUUGCAUAAUGUGCUCAAAGAAGAGUUUAUCAGGCUCUUCUCAUACAAGAGGUGUCAGAAAUAUUAAGCAUUAAUCAUCCUUGCCAAAAUCCAAUUUCUUCAGAAAUCAAGUUUUUUCUAGACUAAACAUCAAGUUUCAUAUUCGCAUUUUGUAAUCCAUCCCUUUGAUUAAUCCCUCAAUUUCAUAUUCGCAUUUCGUAAUCCCUCCCUUCGAUUAAUCCCUCAAGCUGAAUGUAAAGUUGAGAUCAAACACCCGAUUUCCAUUACGAAUAAGGUACUUGAGUAUGAAUGUAAUGUUAAAAGUUAUAGCGAAUAGGCAAUCUAAUGAUUCUUAAACGCUUUUUCCAUUGAUACAUUCACGAAGGUAGGAAUUCAAAACAAAUACUUGAAUAAUUCUCUAGUGAUCGUUUCAAUUUGUACGAAUUUGAAAUCAAGGCUCUUACACAAUUCAAAAUACCCCACAAUUCAAAACAAAUUGGAGUUUUAAGGAAGCAAACCACAGUUAAAAAUAGUGAUCUUAAAGAAGAAAUAUCGUUCUACCAAUAACCCACAAAAUUACAAUGACCUGAUAACAUAACGAGAGAAUUUCCUUAAAAAAUCAUCGAUAAAAAGAUUUUAAAAACCAAAACAGAAAAACAAAAAUCGAUUGUGGAAGAAAAGGGGUAGUGCUCAUAUUCUAUGGGUGUAAUGUGAGUCUAUCAAGCCAAUGGCUUUCAGUACGAGGAAUUACUUUUACAAUCAUCGCACCAUACCCAAAUUCGAAAAGCUCGAGCUUUUGUUUCUUAAAUCAAUGUAAAUUCCAACUAAAAAACAAUACAAAAAAUACUUAGAAAAGAAAUUGAGGCUCAGAGUUUUGCAUAAUGUGCUCAAAGAAGAGUUUAUCAGGCUCUUCUCAUACAAGAGGUGUCAGAAAUAUUAAGCAUUAAUCAUCCUCGCCAAAAAAAAGAUCUUUUCUUUCAAAAUCAACACUCACACACACAAAAAAACGGAAAAAGACUUCACAACGAACUUCAAACGGAGAAACGAGCUAAAGGGAAGAUAGAUGCGGCUGAGAAAGAGGCAUAAGGAUUAGGGUUUUUGUUUCAGAUGAUGAUGGAAUAGAACACGGGCAAUGAACUGUAUUUAUAGAUAUUUAAUGGGUUUAUUCAAUAGAAGGCCCAUUAAAGUAUUUCUCGCGUAAACCGUCGGUCUCAUUUAGCGGCUUGCGCUCUUAGGCUAUUUGCGGAACUUUAUUUUCAUUAAUAUUACAGGCCCAUUAAUGGGCCUAUAAAAAGAAUUACAAGGCAUAGUUUUAUGUUCUGCAUAAUAUAGUCUCAGAGACCUUUAAAACCUUUUGUCUCCUAAAAGCUAAAAAGUCUUCAACUAAUAAACAAACAUCUUAAUCAAGAAGAGGUUUAAGACUAGGAGGAAUUAACACUCAUCUUGCGUACUUUGUCCAGAAAGUUUCUUGAUUCGUCUUCAAGUUUCAUCUUCAAUUCUUGCGUAACCUCUCCCUGUGAUUGAUCCAGCAACGCUCUCAUCUCCUCAAGCUUCUUUUUCAAACACUCGAUUUCCAUUAUUUCAGCUUCCUUCUUCUCAUUUGUGUUUUCAGGUGAAUCCGAAGAAGGAAACUGGAGCUUGAAUGUAACGGUGGAAGUAGUAGCAAAGGGGCAUUUCUUUAAUGACUUGCGAAAUGCUUCUUCUCCAUCAGAUACAUUCAAGAAGUAAACCCGUGCGCAGGAGUUAUUGUCGAACAUACAGCUUCUGUUUUUGUCCAAAGCUCCAAACUUUUCGUAUGUUCUGAUCAAAUCAUCUUUUGAAGGCAGAGUUGCACCAGAAGGUCCAAAGCCAGACUUAAUAACUAGCUCAACACUUGAAAAUUGCUCCUCAAGUUCUCUCUUGUUCAUCUUCUUCACCGUCUCUUUCUCAUCCACUACUUGUUGCUUCAAUUCAGGCUGCUUAUCUUCCUCUGAAAUGUUUCUCUUGUGAUUGGCCCCAUCAUGAUAUGUAAAGCUUCGAUAAAUGGACACAAACUCUGUUAUCAUGUCACACGAGCUAUUAUAGUCUUCUACAUAUUGUGUAUCAAGAGCCACCGAACGGAUUAGAUUCAGUACUUCCUCUGGUGCAGCUUCUAAACUCACAAAAUCUAAGGCUUUUUCAGCAGCAUUCUUCGUCAUUUUGCUCUUUCUCGAUCCCCAACCAAAAUCUGUCAUAUAUUCUGGCGAAAGAUAUUUGCUUUUCUUCCUCUCUCUUUUACCUGUCUGCACUGUAGUCUCACCACUUCCAUUGUUCCUUUCAACACUUGAAGAAACAUCAGACCUGAGCCUUUUGCAGAGUGAGGCCAUUGGAGUUUCCAUACCUGAAUCCUCUUUCUUCUCACACUCUUCUAAAUGGUUUGAGUCGUUUGAUUCUUCUCUUUUCUCAACCCCAUCUUCAUCUUCAUCCUCCAAACCCCUUUUGUUCUUCCUCUUCCUCGACGAGAAACUUUUCGCAUCACGAGUUUCUUCCACUUGCUUCAGAUCAGAGUUUUCGUUCUUAGAAACCUCACUCAAUCUUCUCCUCAAAGUAGUAGAACCAGUGGUUGCUACAUCAGCAAGAUCAACGUUAAUAGCUUCAUCACCAUAUUUCCUCUUUUUACCACCAAGCGCAGAGCAUUUUCUUAAUGCUCUCUGCCAAGAAGAUUUGCUAAAAUCCAACGCAUAUUCAUCGUCUUUGUCUUCAAGCCCUAUGAUAUAUCGAUGCUCAUCAUAUUGAGCUAAACCAAACCUUCCUUUAGACCGAUAAAACGCAGAUAUUUUCCUCUUCAAAACCUCAAUCUCUAGCAGAUCACUAAAACUAACCGUCUUCGCAAGUCUCUCAACAUCUUCGAGAACUAUUCCAGGGUUUUCAAGAACCAAAGACGAUACAACCUCUUUUCUAACAUCAGGCACAAGAACACCUUUCUUUACACCAGAAUUCACUGCUACACGACUAACCAGAUCCUCAUCAGGAACCAACAAAUGCUCAACAUGUUCACCAAUCUCUACCACAGCUUCUUCCACAGCUCUGACAAAGCUUUUAGAACCGCUCGUCUUUGAAAACUCUCUGAAAUUCUCAAUAAACGGUUUCAACUGCGCUGGAUAGCACCAAGCAAACGUCUCCUUCCAAAAAUAUGCCACAAGUAAUUUACCCUUGUGCAUUUGCUUCAAAGCCAAGUCUGAAGCAUCUGAAGAAUCGUAAACCUUUCCAGGCCACCAUUGAUGGCUAUUGACUUCUCUUACCCACACAAAAUCUCCCACACGGAACCCAUUCUCUUCUUCAUCAUCAGCAUUGUUAAUCUCUUCCUCUUCUUCACAAUUAACUCUGGAAUCUUGCUUCGUAUUCAGCAAUGAAGAAGCUUCACUCAUCGCAUAAUCUUCGAUUGGUCCAGCGUCGUUAACACUCUCCAUCUUAACAUCAUUUCCCUUCAAAUUAUCAUCAGAACAACCGUCGAUAUGACCUGAAACAGCUCGCACUCCGUUUUCAGAAACCCUAGAAUCGGUCGUUACAAAAUUGCCCAUCGAACACUUCUCUUAACACAACCUAGCCUACAGUAAAUGCAAACUAAAACAUUCAGAAAACUACAAUUAAAGAAAACAUAAUCAACAUUACCUACGACUAACAGAAGAAACUUGUACUUGCGACAAAACCAAAACCAAAACAAAAAAAAAGGUUCUUUUUUGGACGAGGAAACACACAAGUUUUAAGAAUAAAGAAAUCGAAAUUACCUGAAGAUAAAGGAGAAGCGGAUAAAAAAAAAAAAUUUGGUUCGAGCAGAGAAUCCAAAAACACCUUCUUCCUCGAAUCCUGCGGCGCAAAGUUUUCGUUUUUUCCCCUCGAGAGAAAAUAAGAAGGAAAAAAAAAAGUAUUUUUGUGAUUGAAUGCUUUUGCCUUACUUAUCUAUUGUAUUUUCUUCUGAUAUUGUCCAAGAUUCGUUUCCUUUUUUGAUUUUACCUUACGUUAUCAACAAAAUUUUAAGUCUUGUUUUCCGACAUUAACAAGAAGAUCUAAUAGAACGUCAAAUACAAUUUGCCUACCUCUCUUCCGUUUUUUCCCUAUCCGGUUUUUGCGUUUGAGUUUACGAUUUAGAUACACAUAAGAUUAUCAAAAUUAUCAGAUUAAUAAUAUGCAAAUACAGUAAUUAUCCAUAUUUACUAGUUCGACACCAAACCCAGAUUUUGAAACUCGACCACAUUUGUCUACAUACCACGUGAAUGAGUGAGUAUGGUCGUGUAGUCUCUAUAGUUUCUUUGAGCUAGGCAUUUCAACAAACAUGUUAUGUGCAGUUAACAAAGCAUGCGUCGAGGGCUAAAUCAAUAAUAGGAAACGAAAUUUGAUUCAAAUUACAAUAAUUUCUCAAAGCUUAAUCAACAAUUCCAAACGCAAACUAUACUCUAACAACAAAAAGACCCAUAAAUCCCGGAAAAAAAGACACAUUUUUAAUAAGAAAAAACAUCCGAUUGUUAAAACUUAAGCAAUGGAAACCUUAGCACCAGCUUCUUCAAGCUGCUUCUUGGCUUCUUCAGCUUCAUCUUUCGUCACACCUUCCUUAAACUUCUUCGGCAACCCUUCAAUGAGCUCCUUGGCUUCCUUCAACGCCAAGCUAGUCAAAGCCCUUACCGCUUUGAUCACUGCAAUACGGUUACUGCUGGGCACUUCAUUGAUAACCACAUCGAAUUCGGUUUGCUCUUCCACAACCGCCGCCGCACCACCGUCUCCCGGAGCAGCCACAGCCGCCGCAGCAGGAGCUAGAGAGAGUGGUGAGACACCGAAUUUAUCCUGGAGGUAAUCGACGAGGAUGCGUGCUUCUUCUAGGGUCAGAGACGAGAUCUCGGAACCAAUCUUCUCGAUUUUCUCUGGAGCUUCGACGGCGGCGACGGGACGGAGGUUGAUUGCGCGGUGGCUGAGCGUGGAAGAAGAAGCGCCAAAGCGAGCCGGGAAUUCGACUCCGGUGGGUCGGGAAGGAAAGCGAUGGACGGAAGCGAGAGUGGGAGAAGAUGAUGAACGGAUUGAGCUUGCGAUGGAAAGAGUCGUCGCUGCCAUUUUCGCUCUUCCUCUUGGGAUUUGUUUUGUGUGUCUCUCUGAGUGUGUUUGUUGGGAUAGAUGGAGAAGAUGAGAGGAUAAAAAAACCAAGGAUAAGGGGUAAUUUGGAAAAUAUAAUAUAUGCGUACGCUUGCUGUAUUAUGCGCGUGUAUACACACCAUGGGACUUAAAAGCAAAAAGGGGCGUUCCGAGAAUCGAACUCGGGACCUCUCGCACCCAAAGCGAGAAUCAUACAACUAGACCAAACGCCCUCGUUGAUAUAUUGAGCCAUUUUUCUACUAAGUCCUCAAAAAUAUUCAGAGUUUGUAGUGGAACUGUGGAACAUUCUCCAUUUCAAAAGAAGCAUAUACAUAAUUGUAUUCAGAUUUUAUACUAGUGUACUCGCAUUGAUAGCCUACUAAUACCAAUGUUGAUGGACACCUAAUCUUUUUCAGCUUUCUACAAUAUUUGUUGCUUUUGUUUUCGCAUCUGUAGUCUAAUAGAACGUUGUAAAAUCUUAGAGGAAUGCCUUCUCUGCUUCAAAGCAGAACAACUCUUUCUUCAUUCUGCUUUAUAUGAUUGGUGAAGACAGCUACUUUGGAAGCCAUGCAUGUCUCAUAUAGUCAAAAGAGUCAUACUAUGUUCAUGUCUCCUAAAUCCGUGUAUGAGUAUGUGACUUCUCCCAUUUCCUAUUUGAAGCUAGGCAUUUCUACAAACAUGUUAUCUACUUAUCUGCAGUUACUAAAGAAGCACCCUACAAUGGCUAAAUCCCUUUUCGGAAUCCAAAUUGAUUCACAUUACAAUAAUUUCUCAAACCUGAAUCAACAAUCCCAGACGCAAACUAUGCUAAACAACACCAAACAAACAAAAAACGUUCCAUAAAAUUCCACAAAAGAAGAACACUUUUACAUUUCCGAAUUUCAAGAAGUUUAAGCAAUGGAAACCUUAGCACCAGCUUCUUCAAGCUGCUUCUUCGCUUCUUCAGCUUCAUCCUUCGUCACACCCUCCUUGAACUUCUUCGGCAACCCUUCAAUGAGCUCCUUGGCUUCCUUCAACGCCAAGCUAGUCAAAGCCCUUACCGCUUUGAUCACUGCAAUACGGUUACUGCUUGGCACUUCGUUGAUAACCACAUCGAAUUCGGUUUGCUCUUCCACCACCGCCGCCGCACCACCGUCGCCCGGAGCAGCCACAGCCGCCGCAGCAGGAGCUAGAGAGAGCGGCGAGACGCCGAAUUUAUCCUGAAGGUAGUCGACGAGGAUGCGGGCUUCUUCGAGGGUCAGAGACGAGAUCUCGGACCCAAUCUUCUCAAUUUUCUCCGGAGCUUCCACGGCGGCAAUGGGACGGAGGUGAGUUGCACGGUGGGUCAGUGUGGAAGAAGAAGCACCAAGGCGAAAGGGAAAUUCGAUUGCGGAGGGUCGGGAAAGGAAGCCAUGGGGAGCGGAAGCGGGAGUGAGAGAAGACGAAGAGCGGAUUGUGGUUGCUAUGGAAAGAGUCGUCGCUGCCAUUUUCACUCUUUGAACUCUUCGGAUUUGUUGUGUGUCUCUCUGUCUGUGUUGCUAAAUUGUGCGAGAGACGAAGAAGAUGAGGAUAAAAAAAACCAAGGAUAAGGGGUAAUUUGGGAAACUCAAAAAUACUAACCAUUGCUAUUGUGCACCUAUACACAUCAAGGAAGUUGUACCGUUCAUAGGUUGACGAAAAUACCCUUGAGAAAGGUAAAUAAAUUAAAAUGGGCCAUUCGGAAAAUCGAACUCAUCACCUAUAUCAUAAAUAAUGACAACGAAGGGUCACAAAGACUUUUGAAUAUAGAGUUCACAGUGAAACAAUUUCCCUUUUUCUUUUUUUGUCAACAACUUUGUAGUGGAAACAUUCUUUUAAUUCAAAAGAAGCAUAUAAUAAUCGUAUAUGUAAAUCACAUCGUGUUGUUUCGAUUUCUCCCUUCUAUAUUUUUCCCACCAAUGCUACAAACAAGAGCAAAUCCCAUUUCCUAUGAAUCCAAAAACCUCCCACGUGUUUAAAAGGCCUGCAAAGAGGUUUUUCACCAUCUACGGCGUCUCCUCCCAUACCAAAACGCAAACGCAGCCACAGAUGCAGCAACAACGACUCCAGUCGCCGCGUGCCAUAUAUGCAAAGGCUUCUCCACCAUCACCACUCUUGAACACUGCCUCGCCAUCUCUGAGCUCGGAACUUCCUUAACUUCCGGAACUAUAUGCUGACUCACCACGGUCUGAGCAAACCCAAGUCCUUCUCUUCCCAGUUCUUCCAAGUCAGUCACAGCUGGUUUCAACUGUGUCGCCUUUGAGAUAGUUUCGUAUUCUUCUUUAGUCCCUCCUUCAAGAAAAGACCCAACGAGGUGACCUUUUUUAACCCAAUAUGCUCCAAAGGCUUUACCGACUUCAUACUCCCCAAAGUGCACAACUUCACCUACAGGGUCUCCGUAGAACUGCCACGAGAAGGCAAAGACCCUUGAGUAGAAAAACGGCAAGAGGUCAAAAUCUCCGGUCUUUUCUGGCUCCAUGAUGGCUGAAACUGCGUGGCGUGCAGAUUUCCUAGCCGAGUCCACAUGCUCAAGCCUCCUCGUUUCGCCAAAUAGUUUCACUGGAAAUGUAGCUACAUCGCCUAUUGCAUACACCGAGCUGUCACUUGACUGCAUUUUGCUGUUCACUUUUAUACCACCUUUCUCUAUUGUUAGCUGUCCUUCAAACAAGCUUGUGUUUGGUCGUAUUCCAAUUCCAACCACGACCAAAUCUGCUGGUAACUGGUUCCCAUCUUUGAGAUUAACCGCCGUGACCUGCAAUUCGAAAUCCCAAAAAGAGCAUAUCAAUAAACAAACACAGCGAACAAUGCUCAUGAUUCUUUCCAUCAUGGGAUCAGGAGACUCCGUCGUUGUAUUGAUUCUUUCCAUCUUUUAGUUCUAUACAUAGAUGCAAAAAACCAGACAUCUUUCAAGUUGAAUCUCAAGCUUAAAAAAAAAAAUAUAUCUAACCUUUUUAUUCGAGUCAAACUCAAAUGAUGUCAAAACCGUUCCUUUGAUGAAUUUCACUCCUUUAGCCCUGUAGUAAUCUUCAUACAAAGUUGCAAUCUUGGGCGUAAAGAGACGCGCCACUGUCAUAAGAAACUGAAAAAGGUCAAGCCAACCACACAGACACAAGCUUUCUCUUUUUUACAUGUAAGUUGAGUAAUAAUGGAGAGUACUUACUGCAGUGAGCCUCUGGAAAAACCAUGGUCACAUUGAUCUUGUUGAUCACUAAAGAUGCAGCACACUCCAUGCCGAUAUAGCCACCACCGAUAACAACAGCAUUACCAUUGGAGCUUGAUUGGAUCGCAGUGGAAAGCCUAUUUGCGUCGCUCAGAUCUCGUAAGUAACAAACAUUUUCAGCAUCUGAGCCUUCCACCCCAAAUUCUUCGAGCUUCAACGGCUGCUUCCACAUGUGACAAUAAUAAGGCCACGACUUUAGCAGUUCAAAGCUCUAAGCUUUAAAAUAGUACAAAUUCCUUUAAAAUUGUCCAGGAUAGAGCAUAUUUGCCAUAUCAGUGUUCACAGCAUCUAAUAGACGUUCCAGUAUUACAGAUCCAUUGACUUCAGUCCAUUUAAGACUCUAGUGAUAAUAAGUAAUAACAGAUUGUAACAUCUCAAAGACGAUAAUAUGAUGGUGAGAACCAGUAAUUUAUCAUAUACGUUAAUGGCACCUUCUCACCUGCAGACGCUCUUACUUCGGAAAAACGAAAUCAUAUAUAUUAUUGUGCAAUCCAUACCCUGGCACCUGUUGCGAUGAUCAAGAAUUUGUAACUUAUAGUCUCCCCGGUGCUCGAUAAAAGAGUCUUCCUCCUCACAUCAACGGACUUAACACGAGUUCCAAGCACUAAUUCAAUUCCUGACAAGCAAGUCACAAAAUUGUCAGAGCUUACUCUCAUAGUCAUAGCCCAAGUAAAGUAGUACUUUCUCAAAAUUGGAUGUGCACAUGUAGUUACCAUGUUCCUUGUACCAUUUCGGGGUGAGCUUCUCAUCAUUAGCCCCAACACAAGUGUGGAAAGAAGGAAGGCGUGCAGGAGCUGCAGAUAAGAUCGUGGGUUAACCCUUACAGAGCCUAAUGAGUGAACUAUAACUGAAUCCCUUAGUUCUUGAGAACAUUCUAUACAUCUUAGCUUCCCCAAAUACCAAAAGCAGAAAAACGCAAGCUAUCACGUUUCUCUUACCUUCUGGCAGCAGAAAACCUUUACUUAACGCGGGCCUCUCAUAUGGUGCAACCUAGAGAAACAGAAAAUGCAGAAGCUAAUUACUUACAGAGGGAAACACAUCAUAUCCCUUUUCCUCCCUCUUUAAUAUUGAUUCACAACCAAUACUUUAUAAAACAAGCAGUGAAUGGAAAAACAUGAAUCACAAAUCAGAAGCAUUUCUUCCAUAGAGAUUCGAGGACUGUUUGCCUGUUUGGAACUAAUCGGUAAAACCAUAUCCAGAGCAUAUGUCACCAUAUUUGGAGGCUAGACGCUAACAAUGCAUUGAUGUGCUAUUAGACAUGGCGAUACUCGAUAUUCUUAGUCCAUGUAUUGAAUCUUGCAAGCUACUCUUUAAUUACUUUAACUUCACCAAAUGCCUCAAUAUAAUACAAAUUUCCACCGUAUCUUCAGUUUCAGUGAGAGAAUUCCAAGCAUGAGUUGCAAUUAAGACUCGAUGUAGAGAACUGAGAAUUUCAAGAACCUUGUGCAAAACCCAAAUCUUUAUGGAAAUCCACACGGAGUUCGUAUAGUAGCAUUACACCCUAUUAGUAUAAAGUAAGAGAAAAACUCUAGCGAUAAGAGACAAAAGAGAUAGAGACAAGCCUAACCAAUUUCAAUCUAAUAACACCAUCAAACCACCAAAUUUUAAAACGAGGUCAAAAAGAAGAAACUUUCAAUUAACACUAAGAAUUCCAAAACCUACCGAUAGUAAAACCAACUACAGAGUCACACUAAAAAUCCAGGUGAGAGAGCUAAUAUAUACUUCCUCAGAUGAAUCAGUAAAGGACCCACCAAGAACAACAAGAAAGAAAAAGCAAAUCAUAGAUAAAUUUCUUCUCGCUAUCAAACAAUAAAACUCAAUUUUUUUACGGGAGCUUACGGGUUCUUCGGAAAUGAUGCAGAGUUCGCCAUCGGAGACACCUCUCCGCGUGAAUUCGAGAGCUGCAUAACCAGCAGCAACACCUCCUCCGAGAAUCACAUACACGAACGCUCUUCCCAUCUCGCUUAGUUUCUCGUGAAAAUCCUAAACAUCUACGUAUAUGUAUUCUAGUGAAUGGAUUUUGUUUUUUAAAAAUAAUUUUCCCGAUAAAAUAAUUUUUUGAGGCACACAGAAUAGGAAUUUUUUUUUCUGUUAUCGGAUCUUUCCCACCAGUGAAUGAAACUCGACGAUUGCAGUGUUCAUUUACAAUUGUACCCCUCUUUGACUUCUUUACUAACGAACGGUGGAUGUUAAUGUUAAACAAGCGAUUACACAAGAUCUCGACCGUCCAUUUCUGGAGAAAGUUGUCACAGUGGGACCCAGUUUAGCUCUUUGCUUGCACGACUUGCUUGGCCCAUCAUCAUUGGUAAAAUGAUAAUAAUAUAACAAAUAUCAGAUCGUCAGAAUGAAAUCUGAUAAUAUGUUGAACAGAUUAAUACAAGUAAUAUAUAGAUGCAUGCAUCAAAGUUAUCCACAUCCACCUCCAAAUCCCAACUAUGCACAUAGUUUUUAUUCUCUUAUAAAUCACAAAAUCACAAACUGUAGACUUGGAGAUGUAAACAAAACAAAAAAAAAAAACAAAAACAUGUGACGAAUGAUAGUUAGCCGCGUGGCAAGACCAUGAGGUAGUUGGUAUUGGGAAGUGUGGUCGAGAUGAGGAUAUGAUGCCCCGAGAAUUCAAUCCAAAGCGUUAAAAGCGAAUUUUUUAUAUAUGUCGCAAGACAAAACCAAACUUUUAUCUUAGACUUGUUGGUUGGAGUUUUUUUUUUUUUUUUUUUGUGUUAUUGUUGGUUGGAGUUUUUCCAUUUCUCUGCCAAGUGGCUCUAUACAGGUAACUAACUAUUCUCUAUUUUAUCGAACUCUCUCCGUUUUCGCUAGAAAAAAAAAUUCUUAUUUUUUUUUGUUUCAUAAACAUAAUAGUUUUUACUUUUAUAGACUUUCUUAUUAACAACAAGGCAUUUAUGUAUUUAUUUCUUAGAACACGUUAAUGUAAGUUUUAAGCUUUUUAUGGUGAUGAGAUUGUGUUGACUAUUGAGUGCUAAGUAUGUUACAAAGACGAAGAAACUAAAAAUCCUCUGGUUCAGAACAUAAAAAUAAAUGCUCAAUCGGGCUUACCCUUUGGGUUCUUCUGCCAAUAUAUAUAUGGGCCUUCUCUCACAUGCAGGCCGUAAAUGUAAAAGACACAGCACAGUGUAAACAACCAACAAAAUAUAUAGUUUGUUUCGGUUGUGAUAAAACAAACAUAAACGCCUUAAGUGAUAAAACAAUCCAAAUUUCCACAGAUUUCAAAAAUUAUUUUAGGUGUUGGAGGGUUUGCCAAAUUAAAAAAAAAAAAAAACAUCAUUGGUAAUUUGGUAUAUAUAUAGAGAAGGGCCGAACAUCUCCUAGAUAAAAGUCUUGAGACAACUGACAGUCGUAUGAACCAAUUUAAUUGUCUUUUCUAUGUAAAUGAUUUAAUCAUUAAUUACAGCUUAUUUAACUAACAGCCCGGUAAUAAUCAAAAUCUUGUUACGCAGAUGAGCAGCCGACUUCAACAUUAACUGAGGAUAAAGAAAGUUAAAAUAUGUCAAACUCAUCAACACGGGAAGAAAAUGGUUUAUGCUAUAUAUAGAAAGUACAGCUAAGGCAUAAGGCUAGAACAAUGCACAAGCAAAUAAAUGAACGAAACAAAAGAGAGGAUAAAAAACCCAAUUCCUCCACGUUUAUUUAUGUGUAAAUUAUCAACCACUUGUAUAUAUGUUUGUGACCGACCUGCCAUGUGAUUUUUCCUUUAUAAUUCACAUGGGAAGUCGACAAUUCCCACAUGAUAAACACGUUGGCGUAAUAAAAUAAAUAAACAUGCGGCCCAAUUCCAUAUUAAUUCUGGUUAUAAAAUAUAAUAUAAGCAUGUAAUCUGGAUAUAAUUAAGAUACUAUAGAUUAGUCUGAGAUGUAUAUUUUAAUAUAUUUUGUUUGAUAAAUAUUGAAAACUCCAGAAUCUGGUUCAUAAGUUUUUUUUUUGUCCGGAUCAACCAUUGAUAAUACCACAUUUAAGACGUACAUAUAUAACUAGUGAUUUUGGAAACUCCCAGGUCCCAAGUACUACUAGACCACUUCUCACUUGGUUUUAUAUUGAAAUCUAAAAAUAAGAACGAGAAGAAAAAAAACUCAUUUCAAAAUACUUGUUAAAAAAUUCUUACAUCAAAAAGUAAGACACAAAAUAUAUAAUAGCUAUUGAGGCUGAAAGCAGUUGAGGUUAUAUGCAUAAAUUCGUCUAUUGUGUACUUUAUUAUAUGACAUUUAAUAAAUAUGAUAUUUGAUCUAAAAACCAAUUUAUGUUUUUAGACAUAAAUAUCUAAUUAGAUCAUGCAUAUUUCAAAAAUUCAAUCUUUAAAUAUUCCCGGAGCAAGUGAUCGCUUAAACAUGUAUGUCUCUCAUUUAUGUUUAUUCUAGUUACAAACUACAAACAUAAAUUAUAAACUUUUCUCAAAAAAUAAACAUAAAUGAAAAAUGUUUUGUUAUAGAAAAAUAGUUUAGAAUUCGAAUGACGACGUAAAGACCAGACGGUCCAGACCGGAAAAGAUAAUGCAUGCAUUGGACCAUUGGUUCGUUCCUUGCUACAAUGCACUAUUGUUUGUUCCGUUUCCUUUUUUACACCGCCGCAAUAUAGAUCUCAAGGAGUAUAAAACAUGAAAAUAGUUUUUUCAUUUUUAUAUAUUAAAAAUCUACCCUAAAAAAUGAAGACGCUACAAGACUACAAGUUAUAAGUGUAUUCGCGCUCUUUUUAAAAUUAUAUAUAUAUAUAUAUAUAUAUAUCAAAUUCAAAUUCAAAAUAUAUCAAUUAUAUAUAUAUAUAUAUAUACAUUGCCCGUCAAAAAUGAAAUAUCAAUUAUUCCUAUUCUAGCCAAUGCAUAGAGAAGAGGAAGUGGAGUUUGGAUUUAUCCUCUACACAUGCUUCGUUUGGACAAAAUGUGUCGCUGGCAUAGGACUUAAAGCUAAGAAGUUCGGUAAAGCUUAAAUGCUUUUGCCGUCUUGCUAUAGUGCUUACACUCCCCCACCUAACAUCAUGUCUAACAACCAAUUACUCAUUUUAUGUUGAUAAUAAACCUAUAAAUAUAAAACACAUAUAAUUCCAUGAAUAAUAUAUCUCAGAUAGUCGACUCAUAUUGGCUUUUAUAUAUAUAUAAUUGCGGCUCAGUUACUGAUUACGUUCCUAGCUCAUCGUAUCUUAUUUUUUGUCCCAUGUUGGUAUAUAUCUAUUUUAGGUGUAAAUAUUUAUUGUUUUGAAUCAGGAUGAACAAUAAAAAGAAGAAUAAAUUGUUCCUUUUUCCUUUUUUUCUUAAAAAACAAAUCGAUAUCUUCGCCUUAAAGGUUGUGGUUUUGGCUAGUGGAGUUAGGCUCACGUUGGGUUCUACAUGUUGAAUGGCGAUGCACAAAAAUGGAUAAAAAUUGCUGAAUAAAGGCAAGGACAACUGUACCGAAAGCUAUCUAUUUUUAGCCCUCAUCUGACACGUGUUUUAUUAUAAUUGGUGAGAUUAGGUUCUGUAUGUUUAUGUCAUGUGAUAUGUAUAUAAAUCGAUCCACAUGUAUAUGUAUACACACGCAACUCAUGUGUUCGUGAGUGCAUAUAUAUGGACGAAGAAUCAGUUCGUCUCGAUUACCAUACGCUUAAAAUAAUUAUUCUGCUCUGUUUAAAUUUUUAUUUUCUUACGUCUUCCGAUGUUUUAACAUUACAGGAAGAAAAGUUGUUUAUAAACUGUACGUAUAUAUGUUAACUUAGAUUCAAAUGUGCUUAAAUCAAUUCGUCAAUGAGUAGUUGUAUGUUCUAUAACGUUAAGUAUGCGGGUAAAAGGUUUUGUUUAACAGAACUACCACACUAUUAUAGUACUGUAUAUGUUUGGGAUGGUAAUUAGGGGGAAAAAUCCCUUUCAAAAAGGUACAUUUAUACCAUGAUUGACGCAAUCAUUUGCAAAUCCAGUGGAUCACAUAACUCUUAGAAUACGCAUAUACAACCAUUAUAUAUGUCAACGGGAUCAAUUACUUUCUCAGUUCAUGAAUAUUGAUCAUGUUAAUUAUUAUUUUUAUUUUUGGUAGGAAAUGUGAUAUGUUUUGUUAGCUUUUAGACAAUUGCAACAGAAUUUCCAAACUCCCCCUAUAUAAUUUUUAAUUGCUUUUUGGAAAGAUUAUUCUAAAGCACAAUAAAAAAAUAAUAACAAAUGGAUUUUAAGGAUAGUUAGACGUUUUCAAUGUUGGUUAAUGUGUAAAAGCUACAAUAAUGUAUUAAUGUAUAUCGGUAUGGAACAGAGGGAAAUUAUAAACAAACGUUAUAUAAAAAAUAAAUUAAUCAUGUGUAAAAAUUAAGUAGCUAGGUUCUCAUAUAUACAAUCUUAAGAUAAAUUAUUUUAUUCCUACGAAUAAAAAAUCAGAAGAAUAAGUCACCCAUUUCAGUUUUAUUUAUGUAUAACAUCAAACGGGGUGCAAUAAAGUUCAAAACAUAUACCAUCCAAGGAUUUAGAUAAUUACCACCAUAUAUAAAAUUUAUCCCAAAACCUCUAAACAACGAGGCAAAAACCAUAUACAUGUCACGUACGAGUCAUAUUACUCCUAAAAAUCACAAAUCUCAAAAUAAUAUAUAUUUCAUAUAUUGUUUUCCGAUAUGGAUCGAGACUAUAAUUGAUAAAUCAAUUACCAUUGAGUAGAUGCAUCGAUGACCAAAUAUCAUCCAUGCCCCAAUAGUUUUCACCGGUUUGAUCAUCAACGGUCAUCGGUACCGAAUAAUCCGCUGUUGCAGUUGCCCCUGCCGUGGAAUAAUUUCCCGCUGAAUAGUUACCGUAGUUGAAUUCCAUAUUGGUAUGUUGAUACGACGUUGUUGUAGGAGAAUAAGUCUCCAUCGCUUGAUCUUGUGUACAAAAGACAUUAUGGCUCGUUGUGCUUGCAGCUUGAUCGUUGAUUUCUGAGCUCUGAUGAGAUCCAACGGAUGACGUCGUUGUUGUUGUUACAUCGGUUUGUUUGAUGUAUUUUUGGAUUCUUGUCCUCCAAAAGUUUUUGAUCUCGUUGUCGGUUCUUCCUGGAAGGUGUUUAGCAAUUUUUGACCACCUGUUCAUAUAAUUUAGAGUCAAUUAAUUAAUGACAUAACUAUAUAGAUUAUUAAUAUAAGAUUUGAUGAGCUAAUGAUUGUGUGGGGUUAGAAAUCUAAUCCGUGACUGCAUCGGACCAAGUACGUUAAGAUGAAUCCAAAACAUUAAGGUUUGCGUCUAUUUCAAUUAUGCUUUUCCUUUUUGUCACUAGACUUUUUACUUUUGUACUAUAUAUUAUUGCAUGUACUAUGUUUGGAUCUUUGUAAAAAAAAACAGUUCUUAAUAAUUUUGUUGUGCUAAUAAGCCUUACAAAGUUUAUUGCUUAUUCUUUAGUUAAAAGCGUUACUUUUUUGUUUGUUUAUUAAAAGGAUUUGUAAAGCGGAAUUUUAUGAUUUAGUAAAUGCUUCCUAUCAAAAAAUUUUUUUUUUAAGAUAUCAGAAAGGUGAAACUAGUUUAAAACCAGGAAAAAGGUUAUAAAGAAAAAAAAGUAAAACUCUAAUUCAAGAAUUAUGAAGAUUUAAAGUGUAAAUAUCAUUUGGCUGCUAAAGUCCUUUUUUGAAAGAUUUUGACAGGUAUGAUAAGGUCUUGACGGCUUGACCUAGACCUAAUAACCUAUUACACUUUUCCGUAAUUAGUAUACACAAAAGGAGUUAACUGUAGAUAAAAUGAUAACUUAAUCGCACUUACUUGAAAAAUGCGAUACUUUUUAUUGAAUUACAGAAUCAUGUACCUUGUAAUCUUGGGCCAUAUUUUCCAGCUCUUUGCAUAUAAAACAAAUAAAAAUUGAAAUUCGGAUAAAACAAAACAGACAAGGAAAUAAAUAAAGGCGCGUACAUAUUUCAGAAACGUGGGAAAUCACUUGAUAAUUUCGAGAGACUUAUAUUCCUUUAUAAAUCAUUAAGAAAAAUAUCUGGAAAAAUGUAGCCACGAGUUUCGAUUAAAAUAGGCACGAGGUUUUCAUGUUGUUCUUUAUAAAAAGCACGAGGUUUAAUGUUAGUGGCUAGAAAAUUUCGACACGUGCAAAUACCUCAGAACUAACGGCUAAGAACAAACUUCGAUCAAAGGGUGUCACAAUGGAAUUAAACGCUUUUUUGAUUUAGUCACCAAAUGUGUUGCUUUAUUGUCUUUUCAAAGAUCUACGUGGCAUAUAGCCUCAAGAGUAUAUAAAGGAUUCAAUAUUCGAAGAUUUUGCCUUUGUUCUUUAAUUCUUUCGUUACACAUAGUGUAUGUGUAUCUAUGUCCGUGUCUACAUUCAUUUAUGUAAAUUGAAACUAACCUAUUUCCCCACUUAGCAUGAAGUUCCAUGAUGAUAAGUUGCUCCUCCGGCGUGAUGUUUCCCCGUCGUACGUCCGGGCGGAGAUAGUUCAGCCACCGGAGCCGGCAACUUUUUCCGGUUCGUUUUAGACCUAUACAUUCAUAUAAUCAAUCAUCACAAUCAAUAAUUAACUCGUACGUAUGUGGAUAUCCCCAUAAUUGUAAUUAGCACAUAUGUGUAUAUAUAUUAUAAUCAUGCAUGCUUAUCAAAACAAAGUUAUAGAUUUUUUAUCAUCUUACAUACUUUUGUUUUAUCAUUCCAUUGUAAGAUUAACGUCUUUGAUUUUUUUUUUUUUGGAUUUAGAAAUAUUCUUUAUCAACAAACGAAUAAAAGAAAUCAUUACUCGUUUCUUAUCUAUAUAAAAUGAAAUAAUAGAUAAUAAAAAUAUAAUAUCGAUUAAUAUGUGUAUAUAUAUAUAUAUAUUUAUGGAAGAGACGACAGAAAGAAAAAUAUAUGAGGAUACCUUUGCAUGUUAAGACAAAACCCUAGUUCAUUAUAUUAACAUAUAUACAACGUAAGAGAUAUAUAUAUAUAUAUAUGUGUGUGUAUACAUGUUAUUGUGCUUAAAUAUAAGUGAAAUCUUGAUUUUAAAAAAGAUUAAAUGAACCUGCAGAUUUCGCGAGAGAGUUCCAAACGCCAUCUCCGUGGUUUGCAAUAUAGUUGAUGAGAAUAAGAUCUUCUUCCAUCGUCCAUGGUCCUUUUCUCACCUCCGCUUCACUUGAUGAUCCCGAACCUCCACUACUUAUUCCUCCUCGUUUCUCCAUUUUAUUCUUAUUUAUUUAACUAUCAGCACGAUCUAGUUUUAUAUAAUUUAUAUCUAGAGAGAGGAAUAUGAAAGAUGAGAGUGUAAGAGAGAAGGUUGAGGUGAGUUGAUAUUGAAGGUUGUGGAAGGUGAGCUACUGCUUUUAUAGAGACUAAAUUCACCGCGUGAUUAGCAACCCUUAAUCCAAAUUCUUAAUUAAUUAUGUAUUACAUUAGCUUAAUUUUUUCAAUUAAUCACAAUUUUUUUUCUUUCAUUUUUUGGAUUCAUUUUAUAUUAAUAAGUACAUGGGACUAUAUAUAAUACAUUAAAUUACCUAACCAUAUACAAUAACAUAUAUAGUUUCAUAUCAUCCAUAUGUCCAUAUGUAUAUAUAUAGGCUAAAGAGUGAAGAAAUUGAAGUCUUUGAUGCAUUCAUGCAUGGAUGAUGUAAAUAUAUAUACAUGCAUGCAUUGCUAAUUUAGUUUCACAUACAUAAGCAUGCUUCUUUAUGUGUAGAAAGUAUACCAACUCAUAUUGUUUUCCAUUUAACCGUGUAUAAAGUUAUUCAUUUAGGAGUGUAACGUGUUUAUGUGUUGUAUGUGUAUGUAUAAAACGCUAGUAUUAGGUUCCAUUGUAAUUAAAACCAAAGACACAUCAAUGUGUUAAGAGUACUUAAGAACAAAGCCAAUCAACAAACGAUGACGAAAAUUCAGUAGUAUCAUCUUUUUGGUUUAGAGUAGCAGCCGAUUUCUACAAUACACAAUUUUUCUGAUACUACGAAACAAGUACUUACCGGCAGCACAUUUUACUUUGGAUUGAGAUAUAUGUGAUCACCUAAUAAUAUAACAAACUUACAGUACCAAAAUAAUAUAAAUUAUUCUAAAAAUACUUGUUUGUCUUAGCGAUAUUAAAACACUAGAUUUGAAUACUCCUUUUUAAUUUAAGAAUUGUAUUCUACUAUUCUCUCAGUAGAUAUGAGUUUUUAGUCAUUUUGAUUUAAAUUUCUGUUAGUAGUGGAACAUUUUAAUAUGAUUGUUAUUUUGGAAACCAAAACUUAUUUGAAAUUUUGUGAAAGGUAUAGUUUAAAAUUUUGUGAAAUUUAUCGUUUAUUUUUAAACGGCUGUCUGUAAGUUGAAAAAAAGAGAAGAUUUUAUUUAUAAUUUUUUUUUAAAGAAAACAGUAAGCGCAUAGAACAAAUAUCAUCGCUUUAUUUGUCAAAAUGAUAAUCUUGAUAUAUGCUCAGUUUUCUAAUUUUAUAUGUACAUUAGUAUGAUUUGGUCUAUAGGUAUAAAACGAAUUAUUUACCAACCAAACGCUUAAUUUUGAAUCGGUUUCGCAGUUUUGGUUUGCAUCAGUUUACUUCCCGGCUUAAAGGAUCCGAAGACUUCACGAAUAGACUUGUAUGCCGUUCCAUUCUAGACUUUUAUGUCAGUCUAUUCCUCCCCGUAGCGUAGCGAGUACGCACAACCCUUGAUGUUCUAUAUUAUCGUCACAGGACUCCUUGUCGUUUUUCUAAGUCAACAUCAAUAUUGUCCGUACCUUCAAAUCCCCCUUGACCAAAUAUUAUUUGGUGGUAAUCGUGGUAUAUCUCGGUAAAUUAAUUGGCAGAACAAAUUCACUAUGUACUUCCACAACUCUAUAUGCUUUUGUAGAGGUACUCUCAUAAGGAAUUAGAUAAAGUAAAUUAGUAGAUCACAUUUAAUUGAUCAUGACGCUAAUUAACCUUUUUGUUUUGUUUUGAUAAUAACGCUACUUUACUUAAUCAGCUAGAUGUAACUGAUCCCAUACCCUAUUAGUAAACAAACUAUGAUCAGGACAAAGAAAGUACAAAGAUGGAGACACAAGAAGAUCUGGACCCUCUAAAAGUUAACUCACUCAUAUCCCUAACCAAAUUAAUUAAAAUCCACUUAUCUUAAAAGUGACAAGUGACUAACUCCUAACUUAAUAAAAACCUUUAACAUCCAAAUUAAUCAAUUGAAAUACCCUUCACACUUCAGUUAGCCAAUACUUGCUUUUGUUGCCACAUCCAUGCUCUUUUUUGCGCGAUAACAUGCUUUUAUCUACUUUUUUAAUAUAAAAAAAGUUGUGAUUAGAUGGACUUUGACGUAGCCUGUAUAGAUCUGCCAACGUUAUUGUUUUAGACUUCGAUUUCAAUUGCACUUUCUUUAUUUGUUUCAGCUGCUUAUGUUGUGGGUUUAUUUGAAAAAAUAAAGUACACAAAACGUAAACACAAACAAUGAUGUGUUUUUUUUUCUUUUUUUUUUCUUGUAACAAUACAAACAACGAUGUUUGGAAGUAUAAUUGAUAUGCUUUCGUGUGGUUUUAUUUUAUUUUUACGUUUACUUAAAUGAAAGUUUUAAUAUGUAUACAGUAUGUGAAAUUCUGUUUACAACAUGAAUGACCCGCUUGCGCUUUGAUACCCAACUCCAAAUCGGUACAUAUUUAACAAUUAACAUUUGAGAAGGUAAAUGAUUUAUUGAGCUAAUUCACAAUAUUUUUAAACGAAAAACUAAUAAAUAAAUCCUUUAGAUUUACAAGAGUGAUCGAAACCUCCUCGUUAAAGCAUAGUUAAAGAAUUUCUAUAUUUGAAAGGGCACUUGAUUUGGCGUAUCAUCCCAAAGUUUAAGUACUCUUAAGCCAUUUUUAAGAAAACCCUUUUUGUGUGGCUGCAAUUUAAUUAGGUGGAAACGACUCUUUACUUAAUUACUUCCCUCCUAAGCGCGUCGUAUGCACUUCUCUACUGUCAAGUGUCAACUAUUCACGACAAAUCAGUUUUUUCGUUUCUAUUGAAAAAGUCUAUGUUAAUUGUCUUUGAAUAACAAUAAAAUAAAAAUGUCCUUGCAGUUUUAAAUUUAACUAUACAUUGGUAUUAUCACUUGUGAUUAUUUUAGUACUAGACAAGUAAACAACUAUAAAAUUAAAAUAUCUAUAAUUAUGUAUAAACAAAUGAUUAAAGUCUAGAUAUUCUAUAAAAAUGAAUAGUGAAAACGAAUUAGAAUUCUCCAAACAAAGAAAAUAAAUUACAGAUAUGGACCAGAUAAAUCAAAUAGAAAUUUAUAUACUUUUUUUGAGUCUCAUAUUUAUAUAGGUAAGAGAUUAUAGGAAGAGAUUUUUAUUCUAAAACAUCUUCUUUUUAUAUAAGAUUAAUGACUGGUUUAGUAGCCACCGGCGGUGUAACUACGGAUUUCAAAUCCUGAUUGUAAAUUAGCGCAUCAUCCUUCCAACAUUGAUUAAUUUUGGGGUUCAAAGACAUAUAAAUAUUUUGGUGGCUAAGUGAAUUAAAUGUUUUAAAAAACAUAUUUUUAGUCCACAGUGAAUUACAUUCGUUGUAUAAUUGUAUUACGACUUUUUAUUGCAAUGAUUUUUCAGUUAUUAACUUUUUACAGUGCUGAAUGUCGAUAAUGUAAUCGUUGUUUUUUUUUUUUUUACAGAAAGAAUAAGUGUUUAUCGUACACGCAAGGAAGCGCGUGAAGAAGAGGAAUCUUAAAACAAGCAGAAACUGAAAACGUGGACUCAUCUAACCUUCACAAUAACCAAAUGUUUAAAAAGGGCAAAAGCGUAUUGCUUUAUGUUAUGGAAGAUUUAAUGGAAAGCCACAUAAGUAAGGAAAAAACAAAGCUUAUGGGGUUUAAUGGCAGUGUCAAGUGGCUUAAGCUUCAUUUAUAUGAGUGGCUAUAACAGUGACAAGCAUAAAAUCACCAAUUAGAUGUGCGUGGGGACCUUAAGAGAUGAAGGAACACACGCAUGUGGAUAUUUGAUCCCAACAACUAAUUUUCAUUAACAAAAGAAAUACAACAACUAAUUAAGUGUUUUUUUCUUCUCUGAAUCCAUCCUACAAGUUCUUUUUCUUUAUUUACGAGUGAAUUAGAUUAUAAAUAUUUAGGUAAAUGAUAAUUGCUAGAGUUGUUAUUAGAAAAUAGUAAAAAAAAAUGUUGAAAUUUAUUCUAUGUAGUAUGUACUGUAGAUUACAAUAUUAUAAAUUUGGUAGCAUAUACUAUCACGAAAAUUUUGUGAUAAAGUAGCGGGUUUACGGAUAAGGCAGGCCAAGAAUCCAAUAAGAUGUUGCAUGUAAAUCAAGUACAACCACAAGUUCCAACUUGGCCGAUUGUUUUUAUUUUAUUGCAUUGGACCCAUCUUAAUUAAAUCUUAAAUUCGGAUCCAACGGGUUGACACACGAAUAUUAAACUGUUCUGGUUUCACAGCUAUAACUUGUUCGAUGUGUGUAAGAGAGAGAUGCGGACGCAAAGGUAAUUUCCAAUCUAGGGUUUCUCAUUUAGCACCUCCAUUACCUCGUCCUCUGUUUUCGUCUUCUUCUUGUCAUACAUACAAUUACGUAUAGUUACAUUUAUAAUAUAAUAAAUAGAAAAUAAUUCACAUUUACGGUUAUGACUUAAACGACAAACUCAUCAUAUAUAUCAUUCUACAACUAUAUCAUAUAUUAUCUAUAAUAAAAAAAUUUCUUCAAAUAUGUAUAUUGAUAAAAAAAUAAUUUGAGCCUGCGAGUUAAAGUCUAGUUAACAUUGAACAUUACUAUUUCCCGUCGAUAAACGCAAAUCUUUUUUUUUUUUAUCUCCAUAGAGUUGAGAUAAAUUAGAUUUCUUUGUUCUUUGUUUCGCAAAACAUUUCGAUCUUGAUAUUUAAUUUCUUUUAAAUUUUGUUUUUCUAUACUUUGUAAAACAUAAGCGGAAGCGGAAAAAAUGCUGAAUGUGAUCGCGAACAUACAAACAAUUGAUAAUCUAUAUGUAAAAGCAAACAAAAACACAGUCAAUGCCAAGAAGAAGAAAGAAUAGAAGCAGAUAACAAGCCUUGUCACCAAUGUUGUUGUCGUAUAUUGGCUUACGGUUCCGGUUUACGGUUUCAAUCGUGUAAUUUGGUUUAGUGCUUCCGACCAGGCGCAUUGGGUUAUUAUGGUUUGGUUUAUUUCCCGUUAAGUAAUAUUGUAUUAGAAAAACAAACAACCAAAAAUAUAAAUACAGUUUGAAAAGGUUAAAAAAAAAUGUUGUUGUUGUAAAGCCGGUCGAGACUCGAGACCCUUAUAGAAUAGGCCUUCGUCGGAAGUGGCACAAGUGCUUUGAAUGUACUUGUUUAGAUGAUGACCGAGAGUGUAUAAAUUUUAAAUUCAAGUUUUAUGUUUUUUAUGAUUCCGAUUGAUGAGUGUACAAUUUCAAAUUCAAGUUAUAUAAUUCUAUAUAAUUCUAAAUUCUAUGGGUCCCUAUAAAUCUAUUUUCUUCUAUCGGAAUCAUAAUAGAAUUGUAUUGACCUUAGAAGAUGAGGUUUAUUUCAAAAGGACCCAAACUUUUCUAAACCUUCCUAGUGAUGAAGAGGGUUCGAAGAACUGGUGGACUGCGUGUUGUUUUUUAUGGUAAAGAGAUGAAAAGUAACAAACAUGCCGUUUUUCGGCCAAGUUUUAUGCUGGAUCUAAGGCCUCUUUCCGUACAAGUGGACAUCAUGCAGAGGCCCACAAAAUUUCAAACCUCAGGCCAUGCCACACGCCAAAGGUACUUUCCGGUCUGAUUCCUUGUUGAGAUCAAUAUGUUUUUUUUAUUCACUUAUUAAAUAUAAUCAAUUAAUUUUCACUUAGUUAGUUAGUUGUCUUUGUAUUUAUUGUGGAAAUUUAUAAUUGAUUGAUUGUGUCGUAAAAGAGUUAAAAAGAAAGUUGAAAAAAGAAAAGUUUGUUUAACGGGAUUAAUGGUUAAAGAGAAAAAGAAUUAAAGCAAUGCAACUUUGGUAGCGUGUCUGUUUUGGGUAUAAUUUCAUUGGUUCAAAUCCGAUCAUCGUUGUUCUUAUGGCAUUGAGUAUUAAUUAUUCAGUUACAAAAUCGAAAUUUCUUAUACACUGUUGUCAUUUUAGCUUCUACUGUGUGUGUGUGUCUGUGUGUUUCCAUGCUGUAAUCUUCAACUUUAGAGGAAUUUGAAGUUAUCUCCAUAUAUAGAGAUCCUAUUUUAUAAAUAAUAUAAAUUUUUAUGUAAAACUAUGGACUUUUUAUAGAUACCUUGAAUUUCUAUUAAAAAAUAUGUUCUUUUCCUUAAAAUUUAUCGUUUUGCAUCAUCAUUCAUCCGUUUUUUAGAUAUUAUUUCUUUCCAAGAACUGUAUGGUAAUAAAAAUGAGUACUUAUUAUUAUUCUACCAUUGGAUAUGACAUAUAAUAUCUAGAUAUGUGGCUUUAUAUGCUAUAAAAUUGUCUAUGGCAGAAACAUAAAUGAAAAAAUCUAUAAUAAAGGAAAAAUAAGUAUCACUAAACUUGUCUAUGGCGGAAAAACAAAUAUAAAGGAAAAAUAAGUAUCGAUUCUCCAUGAGGAUCACACAAUUUCAUUUUAAUGCAAGUUUGUGAUGUUAAUAAAAAAAAAGGAAAAAUAAGUAUCACUUACAAUACAACAAACAAAAGUUAAGUAUUAAUGUAAAUUAUUAGAAAUUUGGCUGUAGAUGAUAUUCAUUUUCAAACAUUAAACUUUAACGUUUUUUAAGAAAUUCAAAAUGAUAAUAAAUAAUAAAAUGUAAAUUAUCAAAAAACUAAAUUUUGUGGAUGAUAUAUGUGUAUAAAAAUAUUAGAUGUUUUAUCAUCUUUGAAGUUCUUGGUCAAUGUUUUAGAGUUGAGCCCUGUGGGACCUACUCCGUUUACAGAAAGAAAUUGUGGACUCAAUGUUUUAGAGUUGAGCCUUGUGGGACCUACUCCGUUUACAGAAAGAAAUUGUGGACCCCAUGCACUAUUUCGAACCGUUAGAUUGACAUUACAACACCAAAAAGAUGAUCACACGGCUGGAAAAAACGAUGCUGCUUUCAUGUUCAACACGUGUCCAAACGUGCUCGAGAAUUUUUUUCGCAAGCAUUAGAAAGGUACAAACUACCUUAUAACGACUUCAUGAUUAUUUCAUGACAAGAUUUAAUUACUACUUUACCCUUGGACUAGCAGAUUUUCUUUUGGAAAUAUUUUUCUUAUUCUAAAACAAGUAACCAAAGGCUAGAUUUUUGCCAACUCAUCACUCUUCACAAUUGCUCUGCUCCUAUUUAUAAACUCUUAAUAUUUUACCAUUAGCUUUACUUCUCCCAGCUUUUCCUCUUCCUUAAUUUAAUUGUCAAGCUUGAAUUUCAUUUCAGCUAUCAAUUUGAUUUCUUCAGCAUCCUUUCUUUGCAGUGUAGUUAACUGCUCUUUUCUAAAUCUCUAUGUUCUUCACCAACUCGAUCAUUUCUUAAAAUCUAGUGUUUCUUCUUUCCUUUUCGUAGUUUUUUGUUACUCUAUCUUCUAUUUUCCGUUUGCAUUCUUUGCUUUUUUUUUUCAUCGUAUGGAGUUCGAGUCAGUGAUUAAAAUGCAUUAUCCAUAUCUCGCAGCCGUUAUCUACGAUGAUAAUCUCACCUUAAAAGAUUUCCAUUCAUCUCUUACCGAUGAUGUUUCAUGUAUACAAAAUAUGCAUCAUAAACGUAGCCAGGUUAAUUUCGAUAGGUCACAUCUCCCAUCGACCAUAAACUCCUCUCCUGAUAUUUGUCACAAAAACCAAACAUCGAAGAUCUCAAACACAACCUCCGAUCAUAAUACUCUAAAUCUAAAUAUUGUUCCUAUUCACUUUGAUAUGCAGCCUCAAACAUACGAAAUACCCUCAAAAGAUACUUUUAGAGGCAUCAUUCCAUCUCCAUGCACCGAGGCUUUUGAGGCAUAUCUUCAUGGCAUAUCCAACGACCAAGAUCUCUUCGAUAUGGCCUAUAGCACCUCACUAGGUGUUGAACCCAAGGAUGUACCCAACGUUUCACAUGUCCAACGUGAAAAUACUAUGUGGGAAAAUAAUCAAAACCAAGGACUCGUCUUUGGGACCGAGGCAAUCUUCAAUCUAGCCAUGGUUGACUCUAACCUAUACGAUGCGGCUAAAUCAAUGGGUAUCUCGAGCGCAAACGUUGAUCCCAUCAUGAAUCGACGUCAUCAUAAUCAAAUAUUGAUCAAAACCGAUCAGAUCAAGAAGCACAAGAGAUUUCAGAUGAGGAGAGUAUGUAAACCCACGAAAAAAGCUAGCAUCAUCAAAGGUCAGUGGACUUCCGAAGAAGACAGGUAAAUUCCCUUUUUUUUUUUUUUUGGAAUUCUCAUUGAUGUUUUUGAUUAUAUGGUAUGCUUGUUAUUUCUUAAAAAAGAGUAAUUUACUACACAAGAUUUUUUGAUGAUUCUACCUAUAUUUAGGCUAUUGGUGCAAUUAGUGGAGCGUCAUGGGACUAAAAAAUGGUCACAGAUUGCUAAGAUGCUUCAUGGAAGAGUUGGAAAACAGUGCAGAGAAAGGUGGCAUAAUCAUCUCCGUCCUGAUAUCAAGGUUUUUUUUUUUACCUUACCCUCUUGUUUUUUUUUUUUGUUUUCAUAUUUAUAUAUAUGAUACAAUGAAUCAUACAUAUAUCAUUAUAUCAUUAUGUAUAUAUGGUCGUCAGUGUGUGUUUACAGUAAGAGAAGCAUACAUAUAUCAUUAUACCUAUGUUUAGAUGUCCAUGACACAUCAACGAUGUGUUCAUUAUGUCACUUCAAUUGACAUCGUAUCAUGAUAUGGAUAUAUAAGCAAAUAUAACUACACGCUUUCAAUUUAUUUUUAUGAUUUACACAUAAACUAAAUAUAUAAUUGUUAGAAACUAAAUAUCCAAUUGAAUGUGUUUAUGUUGAUUUUUUUUUUUGGGUGAUGAGACUUUAAUUUAAAAUACUGAUUCUAUUAUAUAUAUUAUAUUAAAAAUUGGUAUACAAUUACAACUUAUUUUUCCACAAAGAAAACAAAAUAUCAUACUCUGUUUGUUCAGAUUCAUAGAGAAAGUUCUAAAAAAAAAUUAAACAAACUUUUUUCACAUUUGUCAAUAUGUCUACGGUCCUAACUCAUGCAUGAAUACUUUAAACUUUUGUUUGUAUAUACUUAUAUGUCUAUGACAUUUUAAUUAAUGCAUUUCGUCUUGUUGUUGUGGACAAAUAGGUCACAAUUGGUAAGCAUUCAAACUAAAGACAAUUUCACGUAGAUUCUCUCGUAACAACGUAACAGACAGAGACAAAUAAUAAAAAUAAGUAAUAUGUUUAUAUGUUACAGAAAGAUGGUUGGAGUGAAGAAGAGGAUAGGAUACUAAUUGAAGCCCACAAGGAGAUCGGGAACAGAUGGGCUGAGAUCGCUAGAAAACUCCCUGGACGCACUGAAAACACAAUCAAGAACCAUUGGAACGCGACUAAACGCCGACAACACUCGAGGAGGAGUAAAGGAAAAGACGAGAUCUCCCUUGCACUUGGCAGCAACACUCUUCAGAAUUACAUCAGAUCUGUUACUUACAACGAUGAGCAUACUCUCAUGGCUGCAAACUCUGACGCAAACGAAAACGUCGGUUCAAGAAACAUGAGAGGUAAAGGUAAAGCUGUAAUCGCUGCAGUCUCUGAGUACGGAGAGAACAGUGAUGAGAAUGAUUGCAAGUAUAUCGUUGAUGGUGUGAUGAACUUGGAUUUAGACGAUGGAAGAAAGGAGAAAACGGCGUCGUUGGCAGUUGGGUCAGGGUCAACGUCUACUUCUGGUUCGACGUCUGGAUCAGGAAGUGGUGUAACCGUGGAGCUUGAUGAACCCAUGACAGAUAGCUGGAUGGUGAUGCAUGGGUGCGAUGAAGUUAUGAUGAAUGAGAUUGCUCUGCUUGAGAUGAUUGCUCAUGGCCGUCUUUAGGUCGCAAUUUAAUCAAGCCAAACUUGAUUAUAUCUUUAAUAUAUAAAACUAUGCUUUAUGUGAAAUCAAAUUUGUGCUUUUAAUUGACAUGUAAUAUAUAUUGUGGUUUAAUGAAUGCUUUUUUUCCCGGUCUCUCGGUUUUUUUUCUUGUUCCUUUUCGGAAAACCUCUCGUUUAACAAAGAAUCUAUAGAUAGUCAAUUUUCCGUCGUGUGAUUCCACAAGUCCACAGCAAAUGCACUUAAUCACUAUUCAAUAAUUGUGUAUCUAGCAGGAGGGUACUAGUGUACCAUCGAAAUAAAAGUAAUUUGCUUACAAAUCACAGUUAGAGUUUUGUCAAAAUGUUGGCAACGAACUGGCUGUAGACUGUAGUGUUUGUAUAUUUCUUUCCCCUUUGGUGAACAGAAAUCAUGUUCUUUGCUUUAAGUACGUAAUAUUUGGUAUCCAUAUUCAUUAACGAUCUUUUGAAUUAAUUUCAUAGCAAAUCGAACUUUUCCAAUCAAAGUUAUAAAAUAAAACGCUUCGUAAGAAUUUUAUGUCGGACUAAAAAAAAAUCUUGCUAUUCCUCAAAGAAUAAAAAAAACAUUAUAGGUGUUCACCAUAAAUAAUAGAAAAUAUAUAUGGCCUUGUAGAUAGGUACGUAUACCUUUUUCCAUUUUGAGAGGUUUUUUGCCUAUUUACAGAACGCACGAGACGAACGACGCCGUUUCAAUGCAACAAACGGAGGAGGUCCCACCUGUUCCUCUCUAUCCACCCUGUCUUGGUCUCCGACUUCUCGGUUUCUGUGGCUCACCGCCGCCAUUCGGAUGCUUCUCGGAUUUAUACGAAUCCCUUAGCUUCCGAAAUUUCUAUUUGACUUCUCCAUCACAAUUUCACGAUUACUGUAGAAAGAAGAAACUUCUACAUUUCUUCUUACAUUUCGUAAGUAUUAAGAACACCAUCAGUUUUGGCUUCUUCUGGAGAAUUUAUGUAUAGAUUUUUUUUUUUUUUUUUGACAUCUUCAUAUAUAGAUAAUAUAGCACAAUUCCUGAAAAAAAAUUUCGAAGUCUCGUCUUCUUCAGACUCGGAUUACAAAUCUGAAUUAUUAUUAUCUCUGUCUCUGUAGGUGAAUCGAUAAGCUACUUGUAUUCCCUCUCAUUUCGAUCUGGUUUCUCUACCCGGCGUUGAUCCAUUGGGUUUCGGAUCUGAAGAUCCGAAUAUUCAGUACGGAUCAACUGUUUAUAGGAAGAAGAAGAAUGAAAUCCCAGGGUGUUUCGGCUUUUACCAGCUUCGAUUACUGGUUUAAUUGGAGAGUGUUUCUCUGUGCGGUUUGGGUGUUGACUCCCAUGAUUGUUGCUUUGUUCGUCAUAUGGAAGUACGAAGAUAGCUCAGUACAAAACCAUCGACGAAUUGAUAAUGACAAUGGUGAUAGUGAACGCAAUGAUGAUGAGCUAUGCAUUGAUGAUGUUUGGAGACCUUGUUUUAAACGAAUCCAUCCCGGUUGGUUACUGGGUUUCCGGGUUCUCGCCUUCUGCUUUCUUCUAGCGAGCAACAUUGCCCGGCUCGCUUUUCGUGGAUGGCGUAUUUACUACUAUUACACUCAGUAAGCUCUUCAAAAUCUCAUUUUACUGUGUAAAAAUCUUCAUUUUAGGGGUUUGUUCAGGAUCACUGAUGCUUUGAGGCACUGAAGUUGUUUCCAUAUUCUUGAUACGAUUGAGACUUGUUUGAUUCGGUGUUGUCUUGGUUUCUUGAUAGGUGGACAUUCACGUUGAUAGCAAUCUACUUUGGGGUAUAUUUUGAUUUCAAUGUUGUGAAUAUAUGUUAUGUUUUGUGUUCAGAUAGUGAUGAUGAAUGUGUUUAUUUGGGUAUGUUCUGUAGAUGGGAUCACUGCUUUCCAUUUAUGGGUGUUUUCAACACAAAAAGCAACUGAGCACGAGAUUAACGGCUGAUCAAGUAGGAAAUGAUGCAGAGAACGGAUUUCGUUUGCCCCUUAUAAAUGGGGAGAACGUGGUUUUUCUCGAGAAGGGAAAAACUUUGGACUCAAAGGCACUACAGUCCUGUGUCCAUGUCUUGCAGAUUAUAUUUCAGGUAGACACAAAUCCUUUUGAUAUGAAUAUAAUUAGUAACUUUUAGAUCUCUGAGUAUAGCAUCGUGUAGAUUAUCUGUGAUGAUCAAUGAUGUUGUUUUGGCAUUUGUGCGUUUUGGUUUUGUUGAAAAACAGAUGAGUGCUGGAGCGGCUGUGCUUACAGACAGUAUAUAUUGGACCGUGAUUUUCCCGUUUCUGUCUUUACAGGACUAUGAGAUGAGUUUCGUAAGUUUCGCGCCAUUUCCUCAAGAAUUUUCCUUACCAUAUACACUGUACUAGUAAAAGCUGGUGCAUGGCACUUUCUAUGUUGCAUAAGUUCUGUUACUUGGAGUUUUAUACUUGCCUUGAAUUUAUUUGAAUCAACCUUGACCGGCUUGAAAACUCGAUCUCAACAUUUCGACUGCAAAUUGUGUUUUCAGAUGACCGUGAAUUUGCAUACGAGCAACCUCAUUUUGCUGCUUUGUGACACAACUCUUAACCGUCUGGUAAACACUCCUUUUCUCUUCCGCAUUUAAGAUGUGACCAAGCGUUUUUUUUUUACAUUAAUGUAUCAACGUGAGUUUUUUUUGGUGUUACUCGCAGAGAUUUCCCUUGUUCAGGUUCUCUUACUUCAUCUUGUGGACAGGAAGUUUCGUUAUCUUCCAAUGGAUUCUCCAUGUUUUUGUCUCCGUAGGGUAAAAACUCGUCUUUUUUGUCAUCUUAUAUCUUACACUUUGUUUCUUGAUCUUUCCUAAGUUUCUAUUCCUCGAUUGAUUUAGGUGGCCAUAUCCAUUUCUCGACCUGUCAAUGCCAAUGGCUCCAGUGUGGUAAGCCUUCAAAACAUUUACAUUCUAGAUAAGUCAGCAGUUUUAUAGAGAAGAAGAAUGAAAAUAUUUUGUUACAUCAAAAUGCUUCAUUCGCUAGACUAUUUUGCCGAUCCUUAAUAGUUUACGUUCAUGCAUCUGCAGGUAUUUGUUGGUAGCACUCCUGCAUUUUCCUUCUUAUGGCUUCUAUGCAUUAUUCGUCAGUAUCAAACACAAACUCACUGCUUAAAGUGAUUUCAAAUGCAAGAGUUUUGCCUCGAAGAAGAGUCAAUUCUCAUUUCAUUUCAUUGGUUUCAACAAUGAAAGAAACACAGUGCAAACAGUACUUUUUACCCAUAUGUACUCAAAAUCUCAGAACAGAAAAGUAUAUAGUUACCACAAUUUUCAAAACAUUCUCAAUCGUUUUGUCAUUGAAUAAAUCUUUAUAGCUGAUCUAAUUUGGUAGUGUAGAAACCUUCUAACGCGAUGAAUGUGAUCUGUUUCAACCAGUCAUCAAAUGGUUAAGUCUUGUGCAAACCAAAUGCUUCAUCAGCCUGCAAGAGAACGGCUUGUGCUAGUCUUCCCCUGUUUGACCAGUUUAGUCAGAGCCAUAUCGAUCUGACCAAACACUUCCUCUUUAGAACAAUUUCCCUUGAUCGUUACCGUUAUAUCUCGGUACAUCGAUAACACAUCUCUGACAUUUCGGUUAUGAGUCUUUAACCGGAGUUUCACCUUCUCUUUGGUAUCAUCAAACCGUUGAGUGAGCCUAGCAGCGAUCUCUUCUGUCUCCGGAAGAGAAUACUUCAAGUGGUAUAUCUUCCCAGUGACAGGAUCUAAUCUACGCCCGAUCACUCUAUCGAUAAGAAUAUCUUCAGGCACUUCAAGGAGAAUGAACAAAUCAGGCUCGAAUCCAAAUCUCUUGAGAGAUGUUGCUUGUGAUAAACUCCUUGGGUAUCCAUCUAAAAGCCAUCCGUUUUGCUUCGACAAAGCUUCUUUCACCAUCGUUACAAGUAUUUCAUCAGGAGCCAAUUCUCCUUUCUCCAUGAAUUCUUUUGCUAGUCGUCCGUUUUCGCUUCCGGAAUCGAUUUCAGCUCGAAGCAAACCUCCAGCUGAUAUUUGAACCAAACCAUAUUUCUGAGUAAUGAGCUCGCAUUGUGUGCCUUUACCUGAAGCUGGAGCUCCUGAUAUUAUGAUUCUCAAAGGCUCAGCUUCUUCCGCCGCCGCCUCUGCCGCCAACGCCGUGAUCUGAAAACUAGUGGCGGUUUGCUUCCGGCGAAGACAGAGUAGGGCGUUUCUGGUGGAUGAAAAAGAUGACCGUGAAACAGAUUUGUUAAAACUGAUGCUGCAGCAGAGUGACUUUGAAGGUGAGACACAUGGCGGGCAUAGAGUCAUCGCCGGAGAAUUCACACAGCUCGCCAUUUCUAUUUCCUCUCCUUUAUAUCUAAAAGCACUACAGAGUUAGAUUUCACAGGCUAAAACUGAUAUGACUUUUUACUUCGAAAAGCAAAAUUGGAGCUUUCUUCUGUUUUAAUAUCCCAAAAUGUAUUUUUACUUUUAAAGUGCAUUUCCAUAACUUAAUUUCAAGCUUUCAAUAGAGAAUAACGGAUUCGAAAAACACUACAAAACUCGGAUCCAAAUACGAUAUCAAUAUACAUACGAUCAAGCAUCAAUUAUCGAGGAUCUAAGCAAAACAGGAUGAGCAAGAAACUUUGAGCUAACAGAAAAUCGAACGGCUGGAAAUGGAUCCGACUCAUAAAUGUAGAGCAGAAAGAUGGAAAACUAUCGAUUAAAGCUUACAAGUAAACUUAAACAAAGCGUUGGAGAAAUAUAAUCUCAGCCAUGAAUAUAUUUGAGGGCAGUAACAGAGAGAAGAUGUACCACUUGCAAUAAGCCUGAGUAUCUGCGAAGCUGAGACGUUUACCGGCGGAGAGGGAGAGCGAUAUUUUCCCGUUUCCUCUAUUUUUAUUGACAGCGACGUGUAAAUAAAAUUUUUUUUUUUUGAUAAGGUGUAAAUAAAUAUUUAUGAACUCACCUCAGUAAAAGUAGCGUAUUUAUCAGAUGAACCCCUAAAAGUUUUUCAAAUUUUUAAUAGGCCCAAAUCUUUUGGCCUUCUGAUGAUGUGGAGCCUUUCAGGAAUCUGAGAACCGCGCGGCGUUGUAUAGCUUGCCUUCCACUACAACGGUAAAAAGGAUCUUGACGCUACCCUGAAUUUGAACUCACUCUCUCGAUUUCUCUCCAUUUCUCUGAGCUCGUUGCUCUUCAAGUUUCGUCUCGCACAGGUGUUUGAUUCUGAUUUAAAGGUGAGUUUGAUUGAGAUUAUCCGUGCAUUUCUCAAUUGUAUUUGCUCGAUUCGUGAUCGGUUUUAGUGGAGUGAUUGCGAGUUUCUACUGGUCACCAUCUCGUAACUUCCUCACACAUUUCCUCUGAAAUUUUCGCUAGCGUAAUCUGUUUGCUAAGUUUGAAUUUGGCGAUUAGUUUUGAGAUAUCAAUCGGUUUCCGCAUCAGGAUCAGAGCAGAUUUUGGUUUAAAUUCGUGGAUGGCGAUGGAAAAUUAGUGUUGGUGUUUUUGAUGUAAUCGCUAUAUCACGCUGAUAAAAUCUGCAGAUCGUCAAAUUGCAAUUGGUCAUGGAUACACACACUCUGAAAUCUGUCUCUGAUUUGCCUGGAAACUUCCGCUCAGCUUUUAGUUUCAGGUAAUAUCCCUUUACAGUUAGAUUUAGUUUUGAUCUUGUAGUCACUGUGUGCUAAUCUAUUUAUUGCUCGCUUUAGAUGUAUUUUUGCUUACUCAAGGAAUGGUUGGAUGAAUGUUAUCUUCAGGAACAUGAUGAUGAUUUGCUUUUCUUUGGUCCUUUAUCAAACACUGGUUGUGAAUCUAAAACUUUCCUUUGUGUUGCUUCUGGCUCGUUUGUCUUCAGAUACUUCAAUUCGCUGCAAAGCGAGUGCUUUCCACUUUGCUUUCACUCCGAUAUCAACAUGGUUAUUUCAGCGCCAACGGGAAGUGGUAAAACCGUACUUUUUGAGCUAUGCAUUUUGAGGCUCCUCUCCAAGUCUAUCUCUAACGAAGGAAGGUUUCUCCAUGCUAAAGGAGCUCUUAAAACAGUAAGCUUUUGAUCAUGAGAUUUUUUGAAUGUUUUAAUGCCUUCGUUUUUACAAUAAAUACACCAAUACUGGACAAUAAGUUUAUUUAUGGUUUCUUCAACCUCUGUUGUCAAGGUUUACAUAUCGCCGUCCAAGGCUUUAGUACAGGAGAAGCUGCGUGAUUGGAAUCAAAAAUUUAAUUCAUGGGGAAUCAGUUGUUUGGAGCUGACAGGUGAUAAUGAAACCUACAGCACAAAGAAUAUACAAGACGCAGAUCUUAUCUUGACCACACCUGAGGUCAGAUAACAAUUUAUAUUGCUUGGUGUAUUUACUGUCUGGAACAUGUUUAUAGCGUCUGAUUUUCCCCAAAGCUUUUAGCCAGAACACAAGCAAUAUAAGACAUUUCAUUCCGUGUUAACGCAAAGUACAUAGUUUGUAUCUCCUCUGGCUGUAGCUUACAUUUUUUCCUACAGAAAUUUGAUGCAGUGAGUCGUUAUCGCGUUACCAGUGGAGGCUUAGGCUUUUUCAGUGAUAUUGCGCUUGUGCUCAUUGAUGAAGUUCAUCUGCUGAAUGAUCCGCGUGGAGCUGCUCUGGAGGCAAUAGUCAGUAGGAUAAAGAUUCUUUCUAGCAAUCAUGAACUAAGUUCAAGUCCUUUAGCCUCCGUACGUCUUCUGGCUGUCUCAGCUACUAUCCCAAACAUUGAGGAUCUAGGUAAAAUACAGUUCACAGUUCUAGUCAUAUUUUGCAGAUUUUAUAACAUAUUGGUUUUUUUGCUUUGUUAACCUGCUUCGAGAGUAGAAAUUGAAAAGACUUGCUUCAAAACAACUAAAGUGAUAAUACUUAUUCAAUUACUGCAGCGGAAUGGCUCAAGGUUCCUACCGCAGGAAUUAAGAGGUAAACUAUGGAUUGCUUUUAGAAAUAUGCCCUUACGUGGGGAAGUGUUUUCAUUUUCUUCAUUGUUUCCCUUCCCAUGUUAUAUAGGUUUGGUGAAGAAAUGAGGCCUGUUAAGUUGACGACUAAAGUUUUUGGUACCUGUCGCAUCUCAAAGUCAAUAUUUUGGCUCUUUAUUUAUUUUUUGUUGUUUAAAUGUUAAGAUGCCCGGGUUGAUGAAUUUGGUUAGCUAUUGAUGAAAUCCUGUUUUCAUGAAUUUUAAGAAAAUGUUUCUUGUCUUUCCUGUAAAGGUUAUGCUGCUGCCAAGAAUGACUUCUUAUUUGAAAAGGUAUACAGUUUCUGCAUCUUGGUUUUCAAUAGCUAUACCCCCUCUUGUCCUUUUCGUAAAAACGGAAACUAAACCAAGUCUUGUUUUCCUUUCUUUUCUUUCCCCAUAUCCAGCGCCUCCAGAACUAUAUUUAUGGUAAGCGGCUUAUCAUGAUUUUCUUCUGUUAUUGCUGUCUUGCUUAGGUUGUAACUUACACCGUUCUGUUGAGGAAAUAUAUAAACUUGCAGAAAUUUUAAUGCAAUUCUCAAAAGGAAAAUCUGCCUUAGUUUUCUGCUCGACACGAAAAGGCGCUCAAGAGGCUGCACAAAAGCUUGCUCAGACUGCAAUGACCUAUGGCUAUUCAAAUCCAUUUAUUAAAAGCAGAGAACAGCUGGAACGGUUAAGGGAGGCUUCGCCAAUGUGCAGUGACAAACAAAUGCAAUCUUAUAUUCUCCAAGGCGGUAUGGUCUGUUUCAUCUUUUAGAGGUUUUGAUCAUACCUUUGAUUCAGCAUUGUCCUGCAAGCUGAAUAGCACCGCAAUGUCCCAAUUAGUUGGUUAUCACAAUGGUGGUCUUUGCCAAAAAGACCGCAGCCUCGUGGAAGGGCUCUUCCUUAGUGGAGAUAUCCAAGUUCUUUGCACGACCAACACUCUUGCUCAUGGAAUCAACCUGCCUGCACAUACAGUUGUCAUAAAGUCAACUCAACAUUUGUACGUCUUUGCGUAGAUGGUUCCAUUAAGAAUUUUUUUUGGAACUUAAGUUAAUAUCCACUGACAUAAUUUUCCUUUCAGCAACAAGGAAAAAGGUCACUACAUGGAAUAUGAUCGUUCCACACUACUACAGGUGUGUUAUUCAAGCAUGUGUAGUUGUCUAGAUGAUAUUGCAUUCUAAUUAUCUGUACAAGCUACUGGAAUGUGCUCUAAAUGAUAUUGCUAGCAGGAGAAGUAAUCUCUCUUUUGCAGAUGUGUGGCAGGGCUGGUCGGCCUCCAUUUGAUGACACGGGAAUGGUUAUUAUUAUGACUAGAAGAGAGACGGUUAUAUACUGCAACUUUUCUCUGUGCCUGAAUCUCUUACUUUAUGUUAACCUUCCCUUAUCUUAUCUGGCUGUGAUUUAUUAAAUGAUUACAGGUCCAUCUCUAUGAGAAUCUUUUGAAUGGAUGCGAGGUUGUUGAAUCACAGUACGUAUUGGCCGAUAAACUUUUUGGAACUCUUUGCUUUUCGGCACAUUCUUCAAAAGCUAUUUGUUGACUUUAAAAAACAUUCUUCUGUUGUUUUUAUGUUUUUGUCUCAGAUUACUGCCAUGCUUAAUAGAGCACCUAACCGCAGAAAUAGUUCAACUUACUGUCUCUGACGUUUCACGGGCAAUUGAGUGGAUGAAAUGCUCAUACCUAUAUGUCAGAAUGAAAAAGGCAUGCUCUUAUGCGCUCUCAAUGAUUCUUACGGUAAAUUUUUUUUUAUCAUAUAUGGUUAAACUAACUUUUAAGUUCGUAUGGACAGAAUCCAGAGAAUUAUGCUAUUAAGAAAGGAAUUCCUAAAGAUCGAGUUGAGAAGCAUUUGCAAGGUGCUCUAGUGACGUAGUUACUGUACUCAUUUUUCCCUUUUGAGGUUCUCAUUUGUCCUAGAUUUUAUCAGAGCUUUGCCUUCAGAAGAUCAAUGAGCUGUCACGUUAUCAGAUGAUUUGGACUGACACAGACGGUUUUGUUUUGAAACCAGAAGGUAUUGAGAUUUAUGAUUACUUAUCUUCGAUUUCGAAACAGAAUUGACUCGUUAUAUUUUGUAGAGCCUGGAAGGCUGAUGACAAAGUAUUAUCUAAAGUUUGACACAAUGAAGUACAUUAUCCAUGCGCCAACGGGCUAUAGCUUGGACGAGGCUCUUCAUAUUGUAUGCCGUGCGGAAGAGAUAUCUUGUAUGUCAUUUCUGCUUCGGUACAUAGCUCUUUUUACUUAAUGAGUAAACUAAUUCUGUUUAUUUGGAAAAAUGAAGGGAUACAGCUCCGACGCAAUGAAAAGAAGACCUUAAAUGAUGUAAAUGCAGAUAAAGAAGGGCGGCUUAGAUUCCACAUCAACGAUAGUAAAGGAAAGCGGAAAAAACGCAUCCAAACCAGAGAAGAGAAACUAUUUGUGCUUGCAAAUGAUUGGUUGACAGGGGAUCCUUCAGUCCAUGAUUUAUCCAUGACUCAGGUCCACCAAUAUUAUAUUCAUGGCUCCCUCUAAUCACUUUAUGACACUUACUUCCUACCUCAUCUGAAAAUUGGAUCUUUUGUCUCAGGACGCUAACUCGAUAUGCUCCAACGGAUCUAGAAUAGCCAGAUGCAUGAAAGAGUACUUUAUAUACAAAAAGAAUUAUAAAGGAACGAUUAGCUCAACUCUUCUAGCCAAAUCACUUUAUCAGAAGCUCUGGGACGACAGUCCAUAUUUGCUGAAACAAUUGCCUGGCAUUGGAAUGGUUACAGCAAAGGUUUGAUGUCUGUCUGCUCUUUAUAAGAUCGUUCACUGCACCUUACCUUUCAGAUGCUUCAAUGAUUUUUUUUUUUCUUGGUAACUUUUGUCUAAAUACAUUCUUUUGCUAGGCGCUUCACUCGAUGGGAGUCAGAUCAUUUGAAGCUCUUGCUGAAGCUGAUCCAAGAAGGAUAGAGAUUGUUACCGGUCGAAAAUAUCCUUUUGGAAAUCAUAUAAAGGAAUCUCUAUCUUCCUUACCUCCAAAAGUAGAAAUCAAGGUCGAAGAAGUUGAAUGUCAUAAGCAAGGUGUAUCUAAACUAGCAGUCACAUUGACACGACUAUCACAACCUCUGCAAUCCACAAAACGCCAUUAUGCUGACAUGGUUGGUUUCCUUAACUUUCUGCAGUUAUAUUCUAACUCUGCUGAAGAUAGUGUACCUGCAUCUCCACGUCUCUGCAUAGUCUUGUGAUCUUCUCAUUAGUAAAAGAUAAGUACUAUAUGAGCUACUAAUCUGUAUCCUUUUCUGGCAGAUUGUUGGUUCAGAGGAAGAAAAUCUUAUCCACUUUCAUGAGAAAAUAAGGUUAUGCGCGCUUGCUUUUCUUCUGAUAACGAAUUGGUUCAUGGACUUUUUACCAACUCUCUCGUGUUUCACAUAAGCCUCUUGUAAGACAUUCAUGUAAAUGUAACUAAUCAGUGAUACUUUUAUGGCAGCAGAAUGGAGGACUUCUCCAGGUCUGUUUACCUGUCGGUCACUCUAUCAUCAUCAACCAACCCAGUGUAACUCUUCGUCGAACAUGGUUUAAGAUUUGAAAUAAUUCUAAUCUUCUUUGUUUCCUCUUUCUAGUCCCUAUAGCGUAACCAUACUCCUGGAAAGGCCCCAACAAGCAAAGGUGACUGUGAAGGCUGAUCUCAUCUUCGAAGAAUACAGUUAGGUCUUCAAAAUAGCAUCACUGAUUUGGUAGCAAAACUUGAUAACCAAGUAGUGAGUAAGAAAUUGAAACAUGAAGUAACUUAUCAAGUGUGUGUAUUUCCGGGAUUUUGUUUUGUAGUUGGUAUUGAUCUCCAUGAAACGCUUCUACUGAAGAAGGCAAAAAACAGCAAAAUAUAUUACCAAAGCGAAAACAGGCUGCCACACUAUUAUCCUCCGAUGGUGGAUGUCUACAUAGUGGAUGAUGACAACACAGUUAAAUCCGGACCUUCAAACCAGAAUGAUCAAAAAGAUGAAAUGUGAGUCCAUUUUUUAGUACUUUCUUGCUCAGAAUGUGUCUUAUUAUCAAAUUUAUUCCCUCUACCCAUAAAUACAUAUGUUUGUCAUGAAUACAACUUUCUGCUCAAUUUACUUCUACAGGCCUAGUUUCAAGCUCUUAGAUGAAGAUUCAGAAGAAGGUUAGAUGGUCACUACAAAUUUAAAUCCACCACAAGUUAUUUUCGUGUGCUUUGUAUUCCAUUAACAAUUUUUCAACCCAAAAUUCCUUGCAGAGAAAGAGCCCUACGUGACGAUGGAAGAAGACGACUGCGUCAUUAUCAAUGAACAUACAGUUUUUGACCACAUACGUGAAAAAGCAAAGUGUUUUCCUUCAUUGGCCACUUUGAAUCAAACCUCUCCGGCAUCAGGAAAAUCAACUCUGAAAAGGAAGAGCUUAUUGGAGAAUUCUCCUGAACUCGAUCCUCUAUUUCAGUAUAAUUCUGUGCUUGGUUCACCUACAAAUACUAAAAAAAUCAAACAAAGCGCACAGAAAAUUACAAGCCCGAGUUAUGCAAGCCUUGCAGACAAUAAUGGUGAGUAAAUCAUCAUUCAUUCUGAAGUUUAUUUUACGUUUAUACACUUUUGGUUAAACUCUAACUAUUAUCCUCCCCAUUGAUCUGAAAAAGGGAAAACAGAAAGACCAUUCUCUGAUGAAACAGUAUUCAACUACAUAAGGAAAAGGUCCAAGAAUUCUCCGGUACUCGUCACAUCAAAAAUCGAGGAUCCCAUAACCAUCUCUUCUCAAGAAGGAAGAAACGCAGAGAUAAGUCCGUAUAAAGCCUACGGAUUAAUGGUUAGUCCUUCUGCUAAAAGACAAAGCAUCACAUUCGAUGCUACUGCAGAAAUGCUGUCCUUUGAUAUCUCAAUGGCGAAGAGAACCAGCACCAACUUAGAGCAGAAGAAAGCAUUCUGCUCGAUGCUUCCAAGUAAGUCUAAAGUCUCUGAUUCUUUUCUUGGAUUUAAAAGCAUCUUCUCGUUUCUGUGACUUUCUCAUUUACACGCCAACACAAAAACUAGCUCCUAGAGAGCACAUGCUAAUGAAGUAAUGAUAGUGGUAGUAAUAAAAUUGGACCGAGGUGGUUUGUAAGUAAGAUUACAGUAGAUGGGAUGCAGUUACAGAACUGCAUGACGUUUUGUGUUUCAAAAGAAAUUUGUAUCUAAAGAUUGGAAGUAAACUGGCACUUUCUACAUGGAUUUCUAAACCAUGAAGACAUGAAGUGAUGCAUGGAUCUUAUAAGUCUAUGAAGACGAAGAGACAACUCAACCUUAACGAAAGUAAUAGAUAAAUGACAAAAAAAAAAUUGUAUUCUGCACUGGAUCAACUGUUUACGAAACAAAAAAAAAAGCAUUAAAACGAGAAAUAUAAAACUACAGUAAUAAGAAAAAAUUGAUGCUACGAAGAGAAACUGUCUUAUAAGCACCCUGACCCUGAAUAUUACUCACACUGAAGUCCCUCCGCUAAAACCGCACUCCGAAGAUCAGCAUAUGUCAGCACAAAACUCAAUUGCUUUCUCUAUUCCCUUUGAUCUGUAAGGUGCAAUGCUGUGGUUGAUACCAGCUUGAGUUGGACCCAACAAAUCAUUCUCAAUGCACUUAUACAUUUCUUUGCAGAGGUUAUCAAUCACAGGACAUAAAAAUUUGAGUUGAUUCUUCAUCAUCUUUAUGUCAUCUUCACUAUAUUCAUCAAAAGGCUCUUCUAAAAUCUUGGAAAGUCUCUCAACAUUACCUUCAAGUUGCUGCUGCUGAUCUUCAAACAGAUUCUUCUUCAUCUCUCUAUCCAAAUCGCUCAUCUCAUCUUUGAACAGCUCUUCCCCAAACAUGUAGAAGGCGAAAGGAUACGAAUACGAAAGAAUCCGUCUUGAUCUGAAUAACAGGUCGACUCCAUCUGUUAGCCAAGUGAGAUCUUUAAACACCAACUGAUCAUUCUUUUCUGAAAUGAACUCUGCCUUCUCAAGAAUGCUCUUCCUACGUUUAUCCUCUAGCUUUGAUGAAUCGGUAUGUGCUUUGAAAUGGUAAUAGUAAUGCGUGUACCUGUUUAAAUCCCUCUUGGCUCUCUCCAUUUGCCUCACUUUGUCCUCUUUGUACCUACCACAACUAUGACCCGAGAUACUCGUCCAGGUAUGGUCUCUUCCAGUAGCUCCACCACACAACCAACAAAAAUGCUGCCCACAAAUACAAGUCAUGAGAUUGCAUCCGUCACUCCUGUGGACAGGUUUGUUGCAUUUGGGACACACCCUCGUGUGAACUGUGAUCCAGUUAACUGUCUCAGACUCAUCUUCACACUUCUUUCUCCAUAGCUUCCACAUCAGACAAGAGCAAGGAGAGUGAGACUCGCUCAGACAGCUGAAACAGAACUGAAGACCACAAGAACACUCGACCUCGACCUCCUCAUCUUCCUCAGCUUUUCUUAUCGCGUUCCCGCAAUGCGGUGUGCUUGGACACCACUUGACCAUCUUGUUAUCUUCCACGUAUGACUCAACGAGGAAACGAUCAAACUUUUCAGCUAACUCCGGAGAAACUAGCUUCCUAACUACAUCUUCAUCGCAGAUCGCGUUGCACUUGUGAGCCAUGCAUGUAAUCCUUUUGCUCUUGCCUUCGUUGAUGUUCACAGUAAAAUGUUCCUUCCAACAAUCGUUGCAAAAGCAAUGACCACACUCCAUUCUCGUCAUCGCAGAACUUGGUAUAUCGUCUUCUAUGCAGAUAUCACAACUCAUCGUCUUCCUCUUCCUCGAACUAAUCAAGGAAGGAUCAAAGACAGUAAGACCAGCACUUUUGAACAAACUGUCUUUGCCUCUGUCACCAUAAACUCCAAUCAACUUAUUCACGUUCCACUGGUAAUGAAUGAGAAGAGUCCUCGCUUGGUUCUCCUUAACCGAGAGUAAUUCCAUAACCCUAGCUAAAACUUCCUUCUGUGCCAGUACAAGAGAUUCCUUCGUGAUGAUCUGGCUCGUUGAUUUUUUGGAGGACACCUCUUCAUGAGCAUGAUCAUCAUUGUAGUAAUCUUCAUAAUUAUCCUCCUCCUCUUCCUCUUCCUCCUCGAAGCUCAAAUAAUCGUCAUCCAUCGAUUUAAACUUUUUAUUAGAAUCAGAUUACCGAGAAAUCGUCGGACGGAGGCGAUCGAGAGCCAAAGGGAGAGAGUGUAGACGAAGAACACGAAAAGUCCUGAUAUGGUGGCGACUGGCGAGAUCUUCUUCACAUAAUAUUUGUAGGACUCACUCGAAUAACGCAAAUCUUUUGGGUGUUAGUUACUUUUAUAGAUAUAUCUUUUAUUUUAUUUUUUUUGGUGCGAAAUAGAUAAAUAUAAGUAUGUUUUCCUAUUCGAGUUGAAUUAAUCAAGUAAAUCUCUUCUUCUCCUUAUUGUAUAUUUUCUAUACUGUACAAAAAGGAAAUAAUGUAGGUGAAUUUUUUUUAAGGUGUUCGAAUAUAUGCUAAAUUUUCAUAGCUUAAUCUGUUGGGUUUCUUUUCUGAGUUCUUGAAAGAUUAAGUUUUUUUUUUUUUUUUUUAUGAUGACUCUUUGGGCAGGAAUUAUGGUAUAUAGCCAACUUAUGUUGGUUCAUUGAUUGAAUGAUUCAUAUUGAGAUAUCAAGCUUUAUAGAAUAAGAUACUGAUAAAAGUAUGUAUUGUAUGUUUGUAUGUAUCUUAAUUUCAUAAAUUUAUAUAUCUUACCUACUUUUUAAAAAUUGCCCCUUUUAAACGACUUACAACAUUUGUAUUUUUAUUUAUUUUGUAUUUUUUAGAUUUAAUUUAGACUCUUCUAAAUUUUCCUUUUUGUGUUGUUUUUUGACAAUUAUUUUGUUGGUUGAUUAGAUUGAACUUGUGACAUGAAGGUAAAAUGAGAGAUUCAAUAUUUCCUUUGAUCUUUUAUUUUGUGAUUUACGCUAGGUUUCUCUUUCGUCUAGAUCUUGUUAGUUUGGUCAUUCCAUUUUCUAUUUCGCAAGGAUUGUUUAAAAGUCUUUGUUUUCUAUGUUGUUUUCAAUUUGUAUUUUCUUUCUUGUUUUAGACUGUUGGCUCAAAAAACAUUCUUCUUUAUGACUUGAUUUGUUUUUUUUAAUCGUAUGACUUGGAUUUUGAAUUUCAUAAUUUAGGAAUAUGUGGAUAGGCAAAAACAUAAAUAAAUAGGAAUAUUGGGUCGUUCUGUAAACUGGAAGAACUCUAGGGGUAGCAAAUCCAAAUUUCGCUUCUAGUUUCUCUCCUCCUCGUCUUGCCUUGUUUCCUUGCAAUUUUAUUUUGAUAACAAAAAGCCCCUCCUCUCUCUCUCUCUACCCCACCCUUCUCUCUCUAAGCUAGCUCCUUCAAACCCUAACGACGAGAGCAGUCGCUAUCGGCGACGUGAUUCUCAGGUUUCUCCUUGUAAUUCUGGAAGGACGACGGCGAAGAAUCUCCGCCGCGGAUUUAGUCUUCAUCGACGAUCGCUGCGCCACUAUUGUUUUCUCCAAUUUCUUCUCAAUAUGUCCAUCCAUUGUUUUUGAUUUUGGUCAUCUGGCCUGAAUCCGAAUUUUGGCUGUGAAGAAGAGCGGCAGAGUCACUGGUUAUUCCGGGAGCACCUGUAAGAUUUAUUUCCCUUUUUCAAAGAUUUUUUUUUUGUUUUUUUUUUAUUUCUGAAGCUCUCUGGGUUCUUAAAAACCCUAAGUUUCUGCUGAUUGCUGUUACUAUUCUGGAGUUAGCUUAACUGGUUAGGGGUUUCGAGUUGUUGUGUGAAUUAGGAGCUUAAUCAAUAGCAUAUGCGAAGCAUGAAACCAUAGUCUGUUGGAUCUCGAGAGAGAUAAUUGUUGGUUUAUAAUCACUAAGGGGAAGAUGAGACUUAGGUAGUUGUUGUACGGCAUUGAUUGCACAUUACAUCGUUAGGGUAUCGUUUGGUCUAUUAUUCUUUGUUGUACAGUAAUCUGAUGGACACUACAUUGUAUCAGAGUCUUGUAUGAGCGACAAGAAGCUCUGCAUUAUCCAAGUGGAUCGAUGGAAAUUUCCGUUUCCUCUCCAAAGCAAAGUGUGUUAUCUCCACCCGAUUGUAUGAGUGACCCUGAGGAGCAUGAGAUCAGCGAAGAGGAGGAUGACGAUCGCAACCAUAAGCACCGUAGGAAAGAAGAGACGAGGUCUCAGUCCUUGGAACAAGAUUCUUCAGACCAGACAUUCUCACGGCCGUACAGGAAAAAUUAUAGACAUUUUGAAAAUGGCAAUACGUUUAGUGAACAUGAAAAGCGGUCUCAAGGGGCAGCGUCAGGACAACGUGUGCAGUUUGAUAAUCAAAGAACAAGAUCUAACCCAAUGUUUUCAAGGGACACUGGUCCUGGUAGAGGUAGAGGAAGUUAUGGCUCUUGGAACCAGCGUGAUUCCAGGUUUAAUCCUGUUGAUCUCUCAUCUCAUAUGGUUCCGGGCAUGUUUGGAGGAAGGGGACUAGCUGGUGUUUCAGCUGCUCAAAGUGCACGAUGGCCUGCUUUUGGAAUGCUUCCUGGAGUUCCAAAUGGUGGCUUGGAUGGUUUCCAUCACUUAACUGGAUCCCUAAGACCACCAUUAAAUGCUUCACUUAACAUGGGUAUUCCUCGGCAGCGAUGCAGAGACUUUGAGGAACGUGGUUUCUGCCUCAGAGGGGACAUGUGUCCGAUGGAGCAUGGAAUCAAUCGUAUUGUUGUCGACGAUGUUCAGGUAUGUUUUCAUGAAUUAUUUGUUUUGGAUCGGAUUUUAAUUGAAAGACACAAUAGAUCCUUGAGGCUUUGCUGGAAAUUUGAUAACUGUUUGCAUGAUCCUAUCUAUACUGAUUUUCUUGAUUAAGUUGCUAGUAUUGUGACCAUUUUAUGCCCUUCAGCAGUACUUCUGGGUGACAUAAAAUUAAACUCUUUAAUGUUUUCAGUGUUAGCUCUACGUGGCAUGGCUCUACUUUAUUCUGAAUUUUAGAUGCAUAUUAUCUUGAUUCUCAAAUAGCAAAUACUUUGUAUUGCAUGAUAAAUUUCGUAUGACUACUAUUUUGUUACACUGUUCUUCUCUUGUGUAUACUUAAGUGAUUAAAUUUCCUUCAUUUUCCAUUUGUGCAGAGUCUAUCACAGUUCAACCUUCCCGUUUCAGCCCCUGGUGCACCUCAUCUGGCAGCUUCUUCUAAACCAGUGCCUGCACAGUUUGGGUGUGCUAAUUUCAUGAAUACUAAAGGAGCUCAUGGGAAGAUUAACGAGGGUGGAAUGGCUGUUGAUGGCUUGGGUUAUGGUGAUGCAUAUCCUAGUGUAGGUGGAACUGAUUUUUACGAUCCUGAUCAACCUUUGUGGAAUAACAGUGCUGGUGAAACAUCUGGGGCAUUAUCUGCACUAAAUCCUCAUGGGAUUGAUGAGAAUGUAGCUCUGGAUGACAAUAACCAAGAUGGUCCUGAAAAUGCGUGUGGUAUUCGAGACUCCAAAAGCACAAGUCAAUCGGUUUGGGGCAGAAUGCGUGGUUCUAAUAGUCAAGCAAAUUUUAAAGAGAAAGCUAAUGCAGUAUUAAAUUCAUCAGCUGGUCUUGAUGAUCAAUUGAAGGAAGUCUCAGUAAAUUCAUCCCGCCACGGUAAACAAAACCAUGUUGGUGAAAGUGUCUCAAAUGAUGCGAUGAACAAUACAAGAAAACCAGCGCAAAAGGCAAUGCGGACUCUAUUUGUGAAUAAUGUUCCCCACGAGAGCAACAGAAGGGACCUCAUUCUUGCCCAUUUCCAGAAAUUUGGGAAAGUUAUUGACAUUCACAUCCCAAUAAAUAGUGAGCGAGCAUUUGUUCAGUUCUCGAAACGCGAAGAGGCUGAAUCUGCUCUCAGGGCACCUGAUGCUGUGAUGGGUAACCGCUUUAUCAAACUUUGGUGGGCAAAUAGAGAUAGUAUACCUGAUAAUGGGCUGUCCACUGGCAAUGGUGCUCCGAUGAAAGGUCGUGGUAUGACUGCUUCUGGAGGGCAGAACCAGCUUCCUAUUGCUUCAGCAUCAAAAAGCAACCAUGCAUCUUCCAUUGCAAAAGGCCCCGCCUUUCACACCGGUGGAGCUCCAUCAUCCUCUGAACAGCCUAAGUCUGUGGGGGUCACUAGUGGUCCCAAGGUUACUCCGCUUCAGCAGAAAAAAGCAGAAACUCUUGAGCAGUUGAAGGAGGAACUUCGAAAAAAGCAGGAAAUACUGGAGCAGAAGCGUAAUGAGUUUCGCAAAAAGUUGGCGACGUAUCAAAAACAAGUAAGAACAAGUUACUAAAUCCCUUCAACCCCGUCAAUACCUUUUUGAGGGAAAUUACAGUUUAAGCAGUCACUAGAAAAUUAAGCAGAAGUAGAAGUAUGAGAUUCAUAUCAUAUUGCUCUAAAUCUUAUUUACUCGGACAAUAUUCAUAUCAUUUUGCUCUAAAUCUUCUCAGGGUACGGUUGUCAAGUGUGAGGAAGCAGAUGAGCCAGAUGCUAAGCGCGUUAAAGUAGACACAGCCUCUAGUUCUGGUGCCGCAAUCUCAUCACCAAAAACAGAGUCAUCAACAGAUAAGAAAGUGCCUAUCCAGAAACCACUGUCUACUGCUAAACUAAGCACAGAAACGCAAUCACCCGAUUCAAAAAUCUUGAAGCAAAGACCUUAUUCAUUUACCACAAGUUUGAACACUCUUAUGGUAAAUAGGUAUAAGUUAGACAACCGCACCACUACCAUCAAAGUGGUUCCUCCUCUGCCAACCGGGUUAGCCGAUGUACGAUCCCUUUCUUUGCUCUACUUUAUGAAUGUGCAAAACUUUCCCAUUUUUCAAAUUAGAUACUAUUGAACUCUACCGGUAUUAUUAGGUCACUUACUGAUGGUUUGAACUACUUUCUACUUCUAGGUUGCUGUCUUAAAGGAACAUUUUUCUUCUUAUGGCGAAGUCUCAAAAGUGGAACUUGAAGGCAGUGCAUCAAUUGAUAGUGGCAAGAAUCAAGAUGAAACAUAUAACGAAAACUGUGGAGCUUGUGUCACAUUUGUGAAACGCAGCGCAGCCGAGAAAGCGUUUGCUAAUGCAAAGUGCUGGCAAGAACACAUGUUGCAGCUCGUGUGGGUAACACGUCAAAGCAACCAAAAGAAUAAUAGUAGCAAUACUAAUAAUAAUCUCUCAGCUUCUCGUGACCACCUUAGCAGCAAAAACAAGCCCACUUCUUCUGUUUCUAAUGACCCUAAACCAGCAGAUGAAGUCAAAGCCUCCUCCUCUACGGAAGAACCAGAGAACACAAACGUCUCUGGAGAAGAAAAUUCUGUGGAUGAACGAGAACGAGAGGCCAAUGAAAGCGACAAUGGCAACCAUAAAAGUAACAGCGAGUCCAUUGAAGGAGCUUCUAAAGAGAUUGCGGCGUCAGGUACCAAUGAAGAACAGUUGGAACAGAGAAAUGAUUAAGUUGGGAAAGAAGAUUCGUCAGUGAGGUCAACUUUUGUCGCAGAAACAUAUUUUUUUUUGUUUGAUCUGGUAUUAGUGUUGUUUUCUCCGUUUUAGGCUCUUUAGCCAAUUCGUGAGACGUUAAUAUUUGUUGGUAGCAAAGAGAUAUAUAUUUAUAUAUCUAAGUUUUUUUUUUCCUUUUUGUUGGAUAGAAUGUGACAAUAAGAAAAAAGAGAAACGAAAAAAGAAGUGUAUAUGUUACAUUUGGCCUUCCAAAGAACAGUGGUUGGGUACAAUUUCGAAUUCUGUUGUACAUACAUAGUUGAAUUUGGACACUUGCUUUAGCCGAGACGAAAAAUAGUGUGGAAUCUAUAAACGGCACGCAUUUUGAAAGUUUAUCCAAUGUUCGCAUUUUGAAAGUUUAUCCAAUGUUCGCAUUUUGAAAGUUUAUCCAAUGUUUAUCCUUAUUUUGUUUGCUAAGAUCGAUUCUUGGAACUUGGAAGUAUAUUAUUUCUUUUAAUUUUCAAAUUUAUUUAAGUCUAUUGUAGAAAAACGAGAUUGAAAGUCGAUGAUUCUCUUAGGAAAAAAAAAGAAGGAAAUUCGUGAAUCUCGAUAGUGACACAGCCGUUCACAAAUUUCUUGUUCAAAAUGACAAACGAGACAAGAGCCUCAAAGCUGAUGAGAAUUUCUUUGAUCAAGCAAUAACUUUGAACCAACAGACUCAAACAGUUUCAUGCAUUACAUGUUUAAAGAGAUAAGAUAUACAUAAAUUUUUCAAAUCAAAUUCUAUUUUCCAGGGACGAAGUUGGUGGCGUAAGACCAGGCAUUGUUAGCCACAGGGUCCGCAAGAUGAUCGAAGAGAUUCUCGAUCGGACCUUUACCAGUAACAAUGGCUUGAACAAAGAAUCCAAACAUAGAGAACAUUGCAAGACGACCGUUCUUGAGCUCCUUCACUUUCAAUUCCGAAAACGCCUCUGGAUCCUCCGCUAAGUUCAAUGGGUCAAACGCUCCACCGGGGUAAAGUGGGUCAAGCCCUUCACCAAGAGGCCCACCUCCGAUUCUGUACCCUUCAAUUAAGCCCAUCAACACAACUUGAGAAGCCCAUAUGGCUAAGAUGCUUUGCGCGUGGAUCAAGUUAGGGUUUCCGAGGUAAUCAAGUCCUCCUUCGGAGAAGAUCUGAGAUCCUGCCUUGAACCACACGGCUUCACCGAACUUGACUCCGUUUUUGGAGAGAAUCUCUGGGAAGGUGCAGCCUAAAGCGCCUAGCAUUGCCCAUCUACUGUGGAUCACUUCGAGCUCACGGUUCUUUGCAAACGUUUCUGGGUCGGCGGAUAGACCGGCGGUGUCCCAACCGUAGUCUCCGGGGUAUUCUCCGGUUAGGUACGACGGUGUGUUUUCUGAGAAUGGUCCUAAGUACUUGGGACGGUCUGGUCCGUACCUGUCACGUGUGGUUAAUGGUGAUUAGUUAGAUUAAAACUGAGGAAACAAAAAAAAACACGGAUUGAUCAUUUUGUCCGGAUAAACCGGUUUGAUGCGAUCCAGAAAACCGAACUGAGUUCAACACAUGAGCUUUAUUCAUUUUAAGAUAUUAAAAAAAAAGGAAAACCGGAGAGCGAGAUUGAGGAUGGAACCAAAUGCUCUGAGGAGUAGACUUGACGGUACGGCGCAUGACGACGCGGCCACCGCCGUUGGAAGCUCCAACUUUGCGGAGGAGAUCGUUGGAGGGCUUGAGGGCCGUUUGGCCGGCGAAUGAAGAGUGUUGGAUUGCUGACGUGGCCAUUCUUUGAAUCUGAGAUGAUGUGAUGUUGGUGUUAUGCAGAUGAAAUGGGUUUUCGUUUUUUUUUUAUAAUAGAGAUCCGAAAGAGUUUAUCUUGAAGGAGAUUUGCAGAUGGAUAUGUCUGCGAGUUCUGAUUGGUUGGUUUCAGAUUUUCCACAAACUCGGAUCAAGUGGGGCAGGAGAUGGGUAGAGGUUGUGAUUGUGCCACGUGGCUGUAGGAGAUCUUGUGCCAAGAGGAUAGUGUUCCAAGUCCAACACACUUAUGCGGCUUCGCUUAUUGGUUAUGCUUGCGAAUUGCGCGAUUGCGAUGAUAAGCUCAUAUCGUUACACAAUGAGAACAACACUAAACAACGCAUUGCCCAUAUUAAAUGUAUGCAGGUUGAGACCAGAAUAAAUAAUCUAUUUUUUUUACAACAAAUAAAAAAUCUAUUAUAAACCAAUAACUAACAAUAUCUCUUUUAUGAAUACAACAGUGAGGGACCUGAAGGCCAUGAAAAAAUUCCCUUCAUAAUCACCAAACUACUCCGAAAUUAUAGUCUCCUGGCUAGAUAUAAAAAUCAUACAAUAUUUGCAAAGGAAUCAAGGUAUGGCCAUAGCAGCAAGUCUAAGCUGUUUCUCAAGAGGCAAAUGGUCUCUGAAGGCUACACAAAUGUGAUGCAUCACCUUCACAAGCAUUGGCGCAUAAUCUCUUUCGCUUCGCUCGAUAUGCUGUGAGCUUCGCCUUGCAUUACCGUCUGAGUCAGUUGCAAAAUUGUAAACACGUUCCAAUGAUGUCCAUAGAAACGAGAUGAAAGGCUCUGCGACAACUUCCCAGUUGGGAUCAGACAGGAGAGAAGUUACGGUAACAGACAUAUCGCUCAAAACCGUGGAUCGGUCUAGAGUGAGAAACGGCAUGUAUUCGCAACAGAUGCUAGAGAGGAGACCAACAAAGAGAAUAGCCUGUCGAUGAAGCAAAACCAAUUUCAACGUUAAAAAUGAAGAAGAAGAGGAAGAUAAUCUCUUUCGAUGGAGGAUAUCUUAACACUGAUGUGUCUUACAUUGGAAGGAUAGCUAGAAACGCAGCUGAUUUCAACAGCAUCAAUGAGCCACUGUCUUUUGAUUCCUCCUUCGGCGUGAUGCAGAGCACCUAUUAUCUCAAUGUGCACAUCCCAGAUAUCUAACAAAGACGAAAAGUUUGAUUGUAUCAUGAUCUUUGAUUGUAUCUAGCAUGUAUAUAGCAAUUGAGGAUAUUAACUGACCUGACUGUUCACAAUUUAAUAUAAUUGCCUUCAAUUUUCCUAACUCGGAAAAUGGAAUUGAGCCAAGUCUUGCUAGCCUGGCUUUUGCCUGGAUUUUCUUUAGGUUACCUUGGAAGUCAAUCUUUUCGUUUCCAGGGUCAAGACUUGAAACCUGCAUGCGAGAAAAAUAUCAGUUAAGUGGCUAGAUGUCUACAAAGAUGAUAUAUACCUUACAAACCCAUGCAUAAGGCAGCUAUUACAUAUACCUGUAGAAAUUUGUAUAACCAAUCCCGACCCGACUUCUGCAAACAUCUAACUGCCUCAUACCAUUCUUUCACCGGACCCAUCUGAUCUGCUUUCGGAGAUUGUGAUGCUACUGGUAAGACCGCAAAAAGCAAUUCUAUGCAUUUUUCAAUCUUUGUGAUGUAUUCUGAAGAUUCAAGCGAAGUUCCUUCGAGACACUGACUCAGACCUUUCCAACAAGAGACCCUCAAUGAGCUUUUCUGAUCACAGCUAUAUUCUUCGUCUGAAGAUAGCGAGAUUACGAAGCAACAGAUAUCGUCAAACAGUUUAUCCAUUCUUGAACCUGAGAAUAUUCUCAUUAAAUCCCCUAGAUGACAGAGCAGCCAUGACUGGAGACUCUGCUCUAGUGCCUUGAAUCUGGAUAGUUCAGACAACUCGUCCAGAAAAGCUAGAAGUUUAUCACAUUGACUUGCGUGGGCUAGUGAAAAUUUUAAGCACUCUUCCCUAAGAGUUAUUUCCUUGGGAAGAUCUCCUGAUUGCGAUGCAUCAGUCUGAGUCUCUUGUUUCAUUAACCGCCUUAUUGUUGCUCCCCAGUCCAAGUUUGGCAACCUCGGAGCAUGAGACAAACACCGCAAAGCACUUGCCACUGUGCCAGUAUUCAGAGAGCUACCCGCCUAAAUAUCAACAAAGAUUAAUACGUAUGGAACAGACUGAUAUCUCUAUCCUGAACUAAAUCAUAUUUUUAUUUGACUGUUGCAGAAAUUUAAUGGAACCUAAGAUUUUACAAUUUCAAGUUUCCUUUUAUGUUCCAACCAUCAAGAAUUAGAGAAGGUUUAAACUAUCAGAAAGUUUUAAGCAGACAUACCGAAGGCAAACUUGGAUUUGUCUGGCCUCGAGCAAGUUUCAUGACCAUGGCAUGCUCAGGAACAUUGUGGGAGAUGGAAUUACGGUGAGAGUCAUCAGACUGGAUUUCAUUACUGAGACUUGAUGCUUCCCCGGACCGCAUGUAAUUUCUAAGAAUUGAGAUUGCCCAUGCAGCAUAAUGUUGCAGCUGGCGAUCCUUGGUAUUUUGUGCGAUAAGGAAUAUUUCUUGCACAGUUGGUGUCAACUGCUGAGUAAAAUAUGAGUUUGAAAGCAAAGGACCUGACACGUAAGAGAUUUCCUGUAGCAAAAUAAAUGGACGUUAGGAAUCCUUUCACAUUAACCGGCGAAUAAAAGAGAAGACUUUCGAGAAAGAUGGACCAGAGAAUUUACGUUUUCCUCAGAACUGGAAGGAGGAGCACGGGGUAGAGGAUGGGAAUACACCAAAUUCCCAGCACUUGCUCCUAAAACAUUAACAACUCCGAGCAUGCCACCAAAGUGAAUAACUGGUGGGUGAAGUCCAGAGUAACAUGUCUUGAACAGCUCUAGUAACCCUUUUACAGACUCAAUCUCAACAGGGUGGAUACCUUCAUUCAGGACAGAACCAAGGAGGUCUCCCGCCCCGAUACAGGACGCCAUCAACAAACUCUUAUGAAAAGCACCGGACUUUUUAACAAUUAACAACUCAGAAAUAAGGUCCUUGAAACAAUUGAUUAAAUGAUCUACCUCAUGUGUAUCAAACAGUUCCACUUUUUGGCAGAAAGUGAUCACUAUUGGAAUUGCAAGACAGGAACCGGCUGAAAAAACUCUCACUGAUACACUACUAUUAGAACCUGGAGUUUGCUUAAGAGAAUCAGCAUAUGGGAUCCAUGAUACGAUCAGGUUUUUAAUCUUCACAACAGCAUCUUUCUUCCCAGCUCUGUAUAUUGCACCAACUGACAUACCCAAACCUAUGAUGAGUCCAGCAAUACCCCAUGUAUCAUCAUCAAAAUCAUUAGAAUUCUCAUCCAACAACUGAGGUAAAUAUGUAACGUUGUCUUCCUUUCCAGGUGGGAACAGCGCAGAUAAGCUUUCUAGGAUAUUACACGGAGUGUGUAGGAAACGAUGCAAAAUUGAAGAAAGCAACCUCACGAUCCUUCCUAAUAGCUGUUCCUCUUGAUUCCUGUAGGACUUACUGUCUAUACCAGAACUCGCAGAGACUUCAGUCCGAGUGAGCAGAUCUUGGCAUGAAAAACCCAAUCCAACCCCACAGGCUCCUUUUACAAGAGUGCUUUUACUGCUGCACAAAACCUGCAGGAUAAAUAUUAUUUUUUAGCUGCAAGCUUACUUCAAAGUGAAAAGAGCUCAUGUAACGAGUGAGAAAGAUUAAGACUGAUUUUGCAUGCAUAUUCUUCAAAAUUACUACUCAGUAUGAGUUUUCAUGAAACAGUUGAACAAUAAUUUCCACAAGUUACAUUGACCAAUAUGGUCCGUGGCGUAAUUAACUCAUAAGUAUAGACAGUACCUCAAGAAGCCCAGAUAUAUUCUGAAAUUUCUGCUUGUGGUCAGUCACGUGUAAAGAUGACGAAAUCAAUCCAAGAGAAAUACCAGCGGUCCACUGACGGUGUUCAUGCUCAUGCUCCAACAACCAACCCAACAGAAAUUUUGACGCAGUCGCUUUAAUAUUAUGAGCAGCAGCUGGCAAAGCCUGAAAAAAAAAAAAAAAAAAAAAAAAAAAACAGAUUAAACCGUAUAUUGAGACACUUGUGCACUACAGAUAUGGAAGCACAUUUAUAUAAAAUCUUACUUCACAUAGUGCCCCCAGCGCCAGUGCUAUAUUUUCUGCAGACCUGGGAAGAGUUUCUUCAGCCAUGUAUACUAAACUCUACAUGAAUAACACAGCAGAAUCUCAAUAAAGGUUUGAUCACUUCAAAAAAUUAUUUUGACUAAGCUGCUACAGAAACACAUUAUCUCGAACCUUCAAGAUGUUGUUUGCAGCUUUAGAAGUUUUAUCAGAUGAUAAUUCUGUAGCCGUUGCAUCAAUGGACAGUAUAUUAGCUUUCAUCCAACGCCGCAUAAAAACUUUCAGUGAUUGCAAUGAAAUCAGUGCAAGGGAAAUAUUUCUUGAGAUCUGGAGAGAUUUGAUUACUACUCUAAAUGCCUCCUCGUAUUGACCAUGGACAUCACGAAAGCUCUGCGACUAAAAGUAUGCAACUAAGUACGCUGAAGCAUAGAAAAUCUCCUAGCAGAAAGUUGAAUAUUCUUACUCUUGAUGACCCAAACUUCACAUCUCUGGGACUAAAAGAUAGACAUAAUAAUGCCGCACCUGGUAGUUCUCCGGUCUUCAUUCCUUUCCCUGUGAGUCAAAUGGAUGGUGCUAUGGUUAGUUCAUGCGAAGUAGUAAGAAAUUUACAUAACUGAUUAUCAUAAAUAUUUAGCGAAAAAUUCUAUCCAUUAUGAAAACAUGAAAAGAAUUAAGCACUCGAUAAGGUCUAUCCAUUAUGAAAACAUGAAAAGAAUUGAGUAUUCGAUAAUCUUAACACUGCAUAUGAUGGUUCACUACAAACGCGCUUCCCAUUUGUUUAACUGAAGAUGGAACUAUAAAUUUCAGCAUUAUCUUAUUAGAAUGUCAAGUUACAAAGCACAACAAGAACUGAUAAUUAUAAACAGGUGAAGUUAGUUAUUAGGCAAAAAAAAUGCAGACCUGCAGGGAAGAUGACCUCAGGUAUCACAUCCAGCAGCUUCUCAAUCUUACUACCUGGAACUCUCUUCUCUCUUACAUAUCUACGCCGGACGCUGAAAGGUCAGAAAAGAAGCAGUUUCAGUACGCUCCUCAUGAGGACCUAAGCCAGAAAAGUUCAGUAGACUACAAGCUCUAUACCUAUGCUCGUAAAUCAUGAUCUUGAUUGAAAGAGCUUCUAAAGCAUUCAGAAUUUUCGCAUUGGUCUCCGAGAAGAGCAAAUGUGUACAAUUCUUGUUCAGGUCAGAAAUUUGUUUGUCCAUAAGUGAUACCUGGAAAAAUAAUGGAUCAGAAUUACAUUAAAAAUGUCAAUAUUAGUAGUUAAGGACCAAAGGAAACCAAAGAUGGCCUGAAACACACGUAAAAAAAAUACAUACAAGAUACAUAAAUUCAGCACGUACCUCAUACUGACCAAGGGCCAUCAAGGCAGAGACUCUUGCCUUUGUCCAUCGGGAAUCAUGAGGCAUCUGCAUAGAGCUCCCAAUUUCCCACAAAAUGUUCAGAACCUUUUCUGCAUCCUCAGGAUAUGCUUCAGCAUCCAUUGCACCCCACUUAAGAAGAAGGCAGACACUACAACAUAUUCAUCAAAAUAAUGCUAGACGUCAAAUAUUUGUUUAGGCACCUCAAAUUACAAUGGCUAAAAGAUCCAUGCACCACUUUGAACACCUUAAUCGUGCCUGUAAAUAUGAUUCGGGAUAUGAACUCCGCUAACCUAUGAGCAAGGAGAGGAUCAUGUUUGAUGUUUUGAGCAUGCUUCUUAAUGACACCCCAUGCCGUAUAGAAAUCUAGAUGGACAAAGCAGAAGUUACAAGAUAAAAUAUGACGUGAAAUACAAACGAAUUGACUAACAGAAACAAGCAUCAAGAGAGUACCAAUGACAUCGGCUUCACAAAGAUGGGAAAGGCUCUGAAAACCAAGAGCUCGAACUGAGGAGUCUUGGCUUUCUAUACAGGCCUAUCAGAGUGUGAGUCCAGUGGAAAAUUUAAUGGCACUCCAAAAGUUUCAAUAUAUAGCCAAAGCAGUAACAGCAAACUCGUUUGAGAAACUAUACCUGAACGGACAGGAUUAGGUCUACUCCCCUAUCAGGGUGGCUCUUGCAUACAUCAUGAAUGGAAGCAGCCAUACUAAUGCAGAUAUGUCUCUCCGAAAUAAAGUCUACAAAUCCUUUCGGACGUAACACCUCCUGAGUACUUAAAAUAAUUAGAAACAAAUAAAAAUAGUACAACUUGACUUCAUCAAUGUUGAGCAAAAAUUCAUCUAGUGGUAGAGAAUAGCUUACUUGCAGACUCGGAAAGGCACGGUCAUUGACUACCCAGGUCUGGCAAAGUAAUCUUAUGGCUGUAGCAUACAACAAACUAAAAUGAACCAUCAUCAGAGCUACACAUAUCAACUUCUUUUCAAUGGCAGUACAGAUAUUAAAAAAGGUAUAGCGCAGAAACCCGAUUCAACAAGAUUGAUAAAUGUAGGCUAAAGCAUGAAACAUCAUAUACUACUCUUUGGCUUCUAAAUCUACCUGUUAUAUUAUAUCAUAAGCCCAUAAUCUGAAAAGUUAAAGCUGUUUCCAAAGACUACCCGUUUACUAAAGAGCAAAGGUGAAUAUCGAGUAUUGCAAUGACCAAGUAAAGGUUUCAACCCUAUUAUGAAUACGGUUAAAAAGAAACAUGAUACACAAGAAAUUAUCAGAAAAUGGUGUACUGACCCUUUCGCAUCCUUGUGUAGCAUUGGUGUAAUAGUCUGAACUACAAGUGGAAUCAUCACCUGUUGUGCAGCUAGUGAUGGGAGCAAUCCCAGAAGUUUUGUCUGCAAGUCAAAGAAAUUAAAUGGGAACUAGACUAAAGGAAAAAUAAAUAAAAGAAACAAACACUUAAAUUUGAAGAUAAAGGAGUUAACAAAAAAUGAAUGAGAGUAGUCUCACCAAUAGACUCUGACAAGGAACGUCAGUUCGAGAUAACAAGUUGCUGUAAUAUAGAACAACUAGCAAUAGCGGGACACUCAUCUUCGGGUCAAUGCCACCAAUAGCACUCAAAGAAUCAAUAGCCUCAGGUCCUAGGGAUGGAUGCAUCACCAAGACACCAGCAACAGCACCAAGUAAAAUAGGUAUCACUUGCGAAAGACUAAACGAUCCAGAUAACUUUUUCCUAUCACAAAACCUUUCAGCAUGUUCCAUAAGUAGUGAAUUCCAAGUCGCUGAUCCAGGAUAACUUUCCUGUGUUUCACUUCCAUUGAUGUAAGCCACUCUGAGGAAGGAAGACGUGGAAGGUGCAUAGUCAUUCUGGAAAAAAAAAGAACAUUCAAAGACUCAGUGAGCAAUUUGAUUCUUAGUUUCUUUUGAGAAAUAUAUUGAUAUGGGCAUAAAUCAAAUAAAUAUGCGUAACUCUCGAAGGAGUAGCCAUUUAAAAUAACCUAACCCAUGAGUGGAUCUAUGCAACGUAUUAUAGAAAAUAGCAGGUUCCUCCACAGAAAUUAAACCUGAUGCCAGAGUUGCUGCAUCAUCCUAAAUACGACAGAGCCCACCCGGCUGAGUGGUGAAUAUUCCUUACUUGUGUGGACCUCAAUCUUUGGUGCAUUUGACAUUGUUACCAAGACAUUUUCUACGAUGGAAAGAACCUUACUUGCUGCACCUUUGACUGAUUUAGAAGGAGAAGACAUCAGUGCGAUGAUAGGGAAAAAUAAUAGAGGCUCCACACUUGAACAGGCUGCAUCUACCGACAAAUUUUCUACAAAAGAAUUGAAAAGAAUCAAUUCUCAGUCAACAGAAAAUGCACACAUCACUUUUUGUUUGCCAAAAUAUAAAGAAACAGGGAGUCAUGCUAUAGCAAGACACACCAAGUUGACUAGUAUAAAUUAGCUACUACACUAAUAGACAAUAAAUCGAGCAAGAGUGUAAUGACAAGAAGACGGAGACUCGGAUAUACCAUUUUCACUUUUCCAUUUGAGCAAAAAAUGCAGGAACUUUAAAAUGGAGAGUUGCUCAUGCUCAACACUGGACUUGGCAAGCAUGAAAACUAGCGAGAGAACCACCAAGGAUAAAUCACUUGAAUAUGUUAAUCCAAGGUCUUUCUGAACAGCUAAUAAGUGCCUCAAUGAUUCGAUCACAGGCUCUUGUUCGGUGUUUUGGACAUGAGGAGAGGCACAAAGCAAAAGUACGGUAUCUACCAGUUGCACACCAAGCAGAUGAACUUCCAUUACUUCCUGUUAAUAUAGAUAAAUGAAUGAGUGUCGGAGAAUGAGCACAAAGAUAAAGAUGAAGGCAUGAUGAGGCAAUAAGCACAUACCAAUCUAGUUCCAACCAAGUCUCUCGCAACCACAGUGUAGGCAUCCACUAGAGUCUUGACAAUGCAGCUGAAAUUUCUAUUGUCCUGAAUAGUUUCAUAAAUUUAGAACAGCGUCCUAGAAUUGCAUCUGAUUACGUGCAUUCAACAAACUGACUGACAGUGAAAGCUAUCGAAAUACUCAGGCAAACAUGUAAACUUACUUCCAGAUUUUUGCCCGGGAUAUAAUUCAGGCAGCGGAUAAGCAAUCUGAAUACUGGCAAUGCUUCGUGGCGGCAUGAGCAACAAAGAGAAGCCAUUGAUGAAACUAAUUCCCUCGCAAACAAAGAUGACGAUGAAUCUGUAAGUGGGAUACGCAGUAUUGUGAAAUUCAGGAACGGCUCCAAACAUUCACAUACUCCCACCAUUCCCAAUCGCCGAUUAUGCAUCACAAAGAGUGAUACUUGGUGAAGAAGCUCCGUCUGUGCCUCCGCUCGACUAGAAAGAAUCUACAACCAACAACAAGGAGAAGCAUCAAGGACUUACUAAUUUCGGCUUAAUUUUCACGGAACAUGGACGCAUCCAUGGAUCACAUACCCUGACAAACGGAUGAUUCUCCGUCGAAUUGAACUUCCAAUUCCCAUCUUUCUGUUCGUAACCAAUUCGAAUCAAAAACCCUAAACCCUUCACAAAGAGGGGAACUAAUUUCGAGUCGCAUCCUUCGAGUGCUGAUUGGAGUUCCAGCAAACCGCGGGAGAGGUCCAGAACGGAGUCUGAUACUAAUCGACAUAGCUCACGAACGGAUUGAUCAACGACAGUGGGAGAUGCGGAGGUGAGGCAGAAGGAGAUAGCUUCUCUUCCGGCUUCGGAUUCCGAACCCAAUCGUUCUGGAGCAGAUCGUAACUUGGAGAAAACGGAAAUCACAGCGAAUCUCUGUAUGGAAGGUUGAGGGACGCGAGUUUUCUCCAGUAACGUAGUAUACGAGGCCAUCACUUUGACCAGAAGAGAGAAAAGAAGCAACGGUCACUUCGGAGGCGUGAACGGAGGGCUGAGGAAUUUUUCAGCUCCGGGAAGGGAAAGUCCGACCAGCCGGCACUCGAUAACGGGCCGUCCCGAUUUGGCCCAAUAAGCCAAAAUCAAAAACUAAGGGAAAUUGCGUAAAUGAACCCUGACUUUUACCAAAAACAAUAACUAAACCCCCUAACAUUUUUUGAGGGAUAUAAAAACACCCACCUUUAAGGUAAUGUACGUAUCUAUCGAUUUCCGACAAAAGUAUAUAAUAUGUACCAUCAAGAUAACAAAGGUUUUAUGCAAUAGGUGGGUAUGUCAUUUCCCAAGUUUUGAAAAAUGUCAAAUUGUUUGAGUCGUUUAAUAUCAUCAGUGAUAGACGAUACCGGUUUCGAAUGCUUAAAGAUAUUCAAAUACAUAACAUAACAAGCAAUGUAUGAAAGAUCAGCAUGAUAGACAGGCCGUACAACAAAAGAUGUAACCCAAAAGUUAUAAAAUUACUCAUUAAACAAAGAAAUAAAGUACAAGCUCACACUUCAAUAUAAGGAUUGAUCAUGGUAGAGACAAGUAUAUAUUAUCGUCAAUGUAAGGACUGAUUUUUCUUGCAUAUGUCGUUGAUGCGUGGUGAAUAAUAUCUCAUUUAUCUCUCAUAUGAUUCAACUCCUAACACAUACUAAAAAACUUGACAAUGGCUUAAAGAUCCAUGUUUACGGUUACCUUCGAUGACUUAGAAUUUGUCUCAUCCUUUAAACCAGUCAUAAAAUCUUAGUUAGAGGAUGGUAUGGAUUUCUGUUAGAAGUUGAGUUCUCUCUAUCUAAGAACUUUCAUUUUGUGUUUAUUUUUAUAGACAUUUUUAACGGUAUAAAAUCCACUUUUUAAAAAAUAAACUCCAAAAAUUCAUCUGGAUCUGGUAUGAAAUAUCUCGCUAUCUCAGAAAAGAGGAAAGAAAAACAGGUUUAUUAGGUUCCAAAAAAAAAAAAAACAGGUUUAUUUUGUUUUUUAUUUCACUCACAAGGUAUUUUUAUUCGGACACGACAGAACGUCAAAACGAACGUACAACAUAUUGACAAAAUAUUCUAGAAGGAAGAAACUGGGACAUAAAAGUAGAAUUACACAAUUGCCGUUCCAACAGAAGCCCACAAUUUUAUGAUCCAAACGACCUCCUUCCCUUACCCUGCUCGGUGGUCUCAGUGGUCAGACUAGUCUCACGGGCUUCAUGGGCCUUAUCUUGCACAUACUGGCCCAUCUCUUUACCUUUCUGACCAGCAUAGCCUACCGCAUCAGCCAUACGCCGUUUGGCAUAGUCCAAUUGCUCCGGGACUGUAUCACUCGUCCCACGGAGGUAGUUUAGGACCCAUGAGACCGAGCUUAGACCCGUCAGCCCAAACAUCCCAGAGGCCAAGAUUCCGGUCACAGCAAGACCGAUGGUGAGAGCUGCCGGGACAAUCACCGGACUGAAGAGGAGGAAGAGCGGGAUUGAGAGCAUCAAACCUAUCACCGAGCCAGCUAGAGUGAGUCCAGCUAGGGCUAGUAGUGAGCCACCGAUGGGAACUCCUGCUAUAAGUGCCACGAUCUGCAUGUAUCAAUUAUUAUCUUUAGUUACUUUAAAUUUUGUUAUGAGUAAUGUCAAAAUUGUUAAAUCCAAGGAUGACCAUCUGGAUAUGAUCCUAUAUACAUGCUUGCAUAUAACCAUCUAUAUGCAUGCAUAACCACCUUUUGUAUAUUUUUGCAUAUAUUGAUUUCAAUAGUUCGGAGCGCUUAUGAUUUUCAACACAUAUUAGUGGAUAAUUUAGUUCUUUUUUAAAAAAAAUUCAGAAACUUCUUUAAAUAGUUCUUGGUAAGAAACAAAAAAAUAUGUAAUAAAAGAGAAGAAACAAAAAAGAUACUUGGUUAGUGGAGGGGCCCCGACUCUUGUAAUCAGAACCAGCACCAUAACCAUAACCAUAGCCAUAACCAACAUCAUCUUCAUAGCUCGGCUGUAGAGGGCUACGUUUGUCAGUUCGGUCGACAUGCACACGCCUGUCCACGUUCGCCAUAUCGACUGAUAUAAUGAUUUAAACUAAAAGAGCCAAGUCUAAGAGAACACAAAAUGGGAUAUAAAGAGAUAGAACAUAUACGUAUAUAUAAAUGGGAUUGAAAUAUUUUUUUUCUUUGUAUAAGGGAAUUUGGAGUGAAGAAAAGAGGACACGUAAGGAUGUGUUGAAGGAAGAGGUGUGGCUUUGCAUGAUUUCCAAGUUUCAUUCUUUACCUGAUCAUCUUUUCCUCCUUCUCCUCCCACCGUAUUCAAAUAAAAACAAACAUUUAUUCGGUUUAAUUACCAUUGCUCUCCUUUCGAUGCAUCCAUAUUUCACUUGUGCGUUGUGAAGUUGUGUAACAAAGACAUCUUUCCUAUUAAAUAUUUUGCUGUUAAGUUAUUUUCAAUUUUGUGAAGAAGCAAAAGUUCUUCCAAUAUCGAUCAUUCGAUCCAGUUAAUUCGACCCGCUAAGAGAAUAUUUUAAUUUUAUCGAACCUAAGUUUAGGAACAUAAAUAUUAAAUGAUAGCCAAAGGUUGCUGGUAAUCAGUAACACUGUUUGUUUGUUAGCUACACAUUAAGUGACUAGCUAGAAAGCUUUGGGUGAAUUAUAAUGAGAAGAAAAACAUUUUACAUUUCACAUUGUUUCUCUCUUUUCUAGGUGUGGAUCUUGAUAUACAUUCUCUUUGUUCAUCAAAAAAAGAAGUUGCCCUUGUGACUUUAAAUUAUAGUUGCAAUAUUAAUUUAUGUCCACUCUUUUAAUGGCUUUUUACAUGUUUAUGUACCAUUUAUUUAUCUAUCUAAAAUUGAAAUUUGGUGGUAUGUACAAGAUGUGCCACUAAAUUAAUCAAUGUAAAUCGGAAUAAGCUCUCGUUUAACAAUAACUGUAAAUGAAAUCCAGACUAAAUCCAUAAACGUCUAAAAAAUUGGAUAUUUAAGACGUAUACGCUGAUUAACGGCUUUGAGUGAAAUUUCAUUUUUAAGCUACUUAAUAGACCAUUUUCUUCUCAAAAAGAAAAUAACCAACACGGAGAAAACUAAUACGAAAAAAGAAAAGGUAAAAAGAGUUAGAAAUUAUAUCAAAUUAUAUACAUAUAUUGUCUAUAUUGGUAUAACAAUUGAUUGAUCGCUUUUAUAACACGAGCACAUUGUGGUGGCCCAGUGGCUUUAGUUAGUAGAAUCCUUUUGUCUUACAGAGGUCUAAUCAAGAAGAAGAAAAAGAUAUAAUCGAAUCAAGCAAUUUCAACAGUAAAAACGACGCCGUCCGUGGAACAAGGCUUUUUCAUUCGGUUCUGUUAUUGGACAUUUCUAAGCUAUUGGGCGGUUCAGUGGUGGUCCACUGCUACUUGAUAAUGAGAUGACAAACUUCUCUCUCACUUUCUCUUGGUCCACAAAUUGGGCCCAUCUAUGGCCCAUUUACGUUUUCUUUUGGUGUGCUCUUCGCCUUUUCAGCGAUGAGAUUGAUUUCAAACUUGGAUUUAACCUGUUUAAAGUUAGGUCUAUGGCUAAAAUCGCAAGUACUAAAACAGUAGGUUUUCUUUGGAUGGGGACAUUAGUACAAUAGUUUCGCUGGAGUUUUAUAUGGUCACUAAGUCCAUUUUUUUGCAUAUAGAAAAGUUUAAUUGCGAGAAAAAAGGUUUUAACCCGUGACAAAAUAUAAAUAUCGACUAGUUUUUUUUUUUUUGGUUUUCUUUCAAAUUUCAUAAGAUGUGGAAAUUUCAUUGAAAAAUUGUUAUCAUUUUGUAAUGAUCUCAAUAAAGAAAAGGGAUGGGAGAACUGAAGGAGAAUGAAGGAGACGGAGGGAAUAAUUGAGGAAAAGUCUAAAGAUGUGUACAAUAUGAGAUGAUCUAUCACAUGGCAAAACAAUCAUAUUUCUGCAAUAGACUGUGAUAGUGUAGUAAAUAAAAUGUUACAAUUAAAAAAAGACGAAGACUAAAAUGAAAUGAUAGCAGAAUUUGUACCUUUAGUUACUGUUUCUGAAACUGACUCAUGUCUGAACACAAUCUUGAAUCCCCGUGUCUUGAAGUCGACACGCAUGGAUCAGAAAAUAUACGUAUGUUUUCUUUUUUGUCAGCAAAUAUACGUAUAUAUGUAGCUUAUGUACAUCUAAUAUAUAUCUAUCUGUACACAAUACAUUCAUAACUCAUAGACACACUUUUUCAUAGUGUAUAUUCUUUAUAUAUAUAUAGAUAUAUAUAUAAACAUGUGAAUAGUCAAUGCUUAAAAAAAAAACAUGUGAAUCUAUACACAACCGACGAGAUCCAUGUUAAAUAGCUCAACUGAUUCCUUCUAAAGUUGUUGUGAUAUGUUCCAAGCACAAAUGAUCUAAAGAGUAUUGAAGCACAAAUAAACAUGACACGUCUCACUGGCUUCGCUUUACGCAAUUGAAAAGGUUGAACUGUUAAUGUAAACCUAUCGAUAAAACUCUAAAAGAAAAAGAAAAAAAAAAACUAAAGAGGUAAUAAAGACAGUUUAUUGCCUUCGAUAUUUUAAAAAAAUGUAAUUCUAGUUUAGUUUUUACGUUUCAUAGAAAAUAUUAAUUAAAAAUGAAACUAAUUUUAGCAAAAAAAAAAAUAAUGAAACCGGAUCAUUAAAUAAUUUUUUUCUUCAUCAUGUGGAAUCUCGAUGGAUACUUAAUGGGUCUGUAAUAAACAUUUUCACCGGAUAUUCAAAACUAUAUACUUAGAUUACAUAUAUAUAUAUAUUUCUCAGUUUUUUUUAAUGAUACCAAUCUUAAUUAAUGAUCUAAAAAGGUGAAUUUGGAGUUGGUUUUGGGUGAGUUGAUUUGUAUGUGAAUAUGUUUUGGUUGUUAGGUCGUCGCCAAAUGACAUGAAAUAAAAAUGGACCGGCUUUAAAAAGAGAUUCCCUACGAAGACGUGUGCCUAAAUAAAGGUACUAAAACUUGAUGUUUUCAAUUUUCAGCAAUUGAUUAUUUAUUCAAACUUUUUCUUAAGUCGACAAAAUAUAUAAAAUCACUCGAUCAACUUAGAAUAUUAGCGAAAUGAUGUUACUGACCAGUGACUAGUGUGUGAUAUCAAACGACCAAUUAUCAGACUACUUUCCUAUGAGUCUAUCUAAAACUGUCGACAUGCAAUUUUCUAUGCUUUUAAUACCAUUAUUUAAUAUUGGUGUUGCUUCAAUUUAGUAUCACAAUUGAACGAAACUUUAAAAUGCUAAAAAAGGUUGGUCAUGAAUCGAUGAAAUAUGUGUCUAAAGGGGACUGUCCGAAUCAGUACACAUCCCUUUUUUCUAUCCUGCUAAUAAUGAGAUGAUUUUGGUUGAAAUACUUUUGGUCGAAGUUAGCUUAGCACAUUUUUAGCAACUAUUUUGAGGUUAAACUAUAAAAAUCAUAGUUUUUUAUGAUUUAUUUUAUGCUUACUAGUUAAAUCAAACUAAUUUAUCUCAAAAUUCGCAGCGGCUAUCCGAACGUGUCCCACCAAAUUCAUGAUCAUUUGUUGGACAAAGUUUUAGUUAUUUUAUUUUGUCACUUGAUAAGCACCAAAUACAAAUACAAACACAUCUCACUUGUUCAUUGCUUAUUCAACAUAUUCAAAAAUGUUCUCUGAUUUCCCAUGAAAAUUACAAGUUAAAUUACACAAACCGCAUAAGUAUAUACAUACAAAUAAACAUACACAUACAUAUAUACAUAAUACAUACAUGUCAUUAAGGCAUAUCCUUAUAUUGACAUAUACACAUGAUAAUAUCUUCAUCACUUCCAUCACAUCAACCAUCCUCUCUCUCUCUCUCUUUUUAUACUUCUCCGCCGCUAAUUCUCUCAAAGAGUGAGUGAUGAUGACUAAUAAACUCCCGUUGACCAGUCAACUCCUCCGCCCACCAUAAGCCGACGUCGUUUCAUUACCAAGACAACUAGCGUAUCUCAUGAGAUCAGCAUUUGUCUCCUCUAGUUCCCUUUGCAGCCUCAAGACCUGUCUUUGGAGCACCGAGAUGGCCCCAACGCAGCCAUACACCGGAUCUUUUAGCCGUGCCUCCGCCUCGUAAGCCAGCGAGUUCACAGCAUCUUCCCGUUGAUGCGGAGCCACCUCGUGGAGGAUCUUGCUCACGUUGCUUGCCCCGAAUAUCCGGUGCACGUUAGCGAACUUUGUAGGUUCUUCUGGCGGAAAGUAUGGUGCGAAUACGCACUCCGACGUGCAUUUCCGCCGGAGGAAUUUGCAUGCCGCGCACGGUGAGUUUGUGUAGUUCGAAUACGACGACGACAUCUUUUCUUAUAUAUACCCCCUGAUUAUUCAGUUGUGGAAAUGGAAAAAAACAAAACAUGUAGUCACAUACAGUAAAUAUUUUAUUAGGAUCGUUCUUGGAAUUACAAGAUUGAUUGAUAUGAAUCUUGAUCCACAUCGAUAUUGUGAAAUUCUAAAAUCUCCCCCGUGUAUACAUCAAUUUUGUUUUACACAGUAUAUAUGUCUAUGUAUAUGUUUCUACGUACACAUUAUAAAAGUUAUGCGUUUUCGAAAUUUUUUUUUCCAUUUUGUGUUGGUAACUAGCAGUAAUUGUCUCAUCGAUCAUCAAUAUAAAUGGUAACAAGACAUAUGAUGUUCUUAGCUCUUAUAUCUUCAAAAUUCAUUUAUAUAGUAAGAACGGUAACUGGAGAUAAUAUAGAGUUUCCAAUAUGAUUGGUUACACGACGUAUGCUUACAAAAAUCUGGUUACAAGACGUAUGAUGUUCUUAGUCUUAUAAUCCCUAAUAAAAUUCAUUAUUCUUCGUGUUCUUACUGCGUUAAAAAGCUGUUACCAUUUGAAUCCUAACUUCAACUAUUAUAUCUCACACAAAUAUAUACAUAUAUACUAGACAUUCCUUUAUAAACUAUUAGUUUUAGAUUGAAAACCUUUAGUCAAAAAAAAAAAAAACACAAUUAGUUUUACAAAUUUCAAAGAUCUUGGGAAAUCAAAACCUAUGUAAUAAACAAAACAUUCUACAUAUAUAUGCACAAAAUGCUAAAGCUAAGUGUCUUGGUGAACCUAACACAUAAUACGAUUGAGAAAAGUUAUAUAACUAGUUGUGUAGCUACAUUACAUAUAAACAAAUAAAGGUCCAUUUAUCCCACAAGAAAUAUGAACAAAAUGGGUGUCGCUAGAUAAAUUCGAAUUUACGGUAACCCACACUAUUUUACGUUCUAGCGUAUUGGUUGGUUAAAUAUGACGGUAUCAUAUACUUUUCAAUAUAAGAAAUCGAAGAUCUAAUUAAUCAUCAUUAAGAAUUUCUAAGAAGAUAGUAGAUGUAUAUUUCCGUAUUAUACACUAGACCUAGAUUUGUUUUUAACAUGAAUUUCUUAUAAUAAAAAAUUGUGCCACCAAGUUAUUUUGGUAAAAACCAAUGCAAAUUUGAAAUUUGUUUCUUUGAAAUUGUUGACUACUGAUUUUCUUUUAAUUCGAACAUAUUUUAGCACUCUUGACCUUACAUUUUUGUUCUUGGCGUUUAGUUUAGCAGCUUUUCCUGAUUUUCUCCUCACAACACUCUGUGUCUCUCUGACUCUGAGUUCACAUCUAUACAACAUAUCUUGGUUUAAUUUCUUGAAUCUAUAACCUAAAAUAUAGGUGUUCUAUAUACUAUAGGGGUUUGUGUUUCAGUAUGGUAUCUUCAAUAUAUAUAAGAGGCAUGAAAUCAAGAUUACUCCUUCAGUUGUAAUUUUUUGUAAGAAAAAGUCGUCCAAUUAUAACUUGGAAUUUCAAGAUCAGUGAUCAAAUCUUCAUGAUCUAAACUCUCUAAUAUUAUAUAACAAAUCAACAUAAAGGUACGUAGAAUCUAUAUAAUAUAAGUGUGUGUGUGUGUAUGAGUGAAUUGGCUGAGUAGAAUGAAACACUUUUAGUCUUACCUUUUUAAUAGAGCAACAAGAGAAAGUGCCCCUUGAUAUGUACUCAAAAUGGUUUGAUCUUCUAUGUUUCUCUCUUUCGUGUACUAUAUAAGAAGGGGCGAUGAAAAAUCGUCAAGAAGGUUUUCAAUUAUUGGGUUUCUUUUUGUUGUUCUUAGAGAGGAAACCCUAGUUGGAGACGAAAAGGAGUCUCUAAGGGGAAAGUUAGAGAGAGAAAGAGGAGACAAGGAUUAGCGAAAGAGAGAGAGAGAGGGCAAAAGGCAUUUUUGGUGGAAUGAGAAGAGAAAGAAGAUGAAUAUAAUGAGACUGCAAAGAGACAAAUUGCCCUCUAUUAAUUGAGGGCCUAAAAUAGUGAACUAAAGAGGAAUAACUCUGACCAUGGAAAUUGUAAAUUUUACUCCAUUAAAUUGUUUUCAGUAAUUACUAACAUUUUUAUAACAAUUUCGUAAUCAAUGAACUUUGAAGAAAUUUCUUCUUUUGUGAUGUGACUAAUUUAUAAGAUUUUUUUUUUUAAAGAGUGAUAUGUAGUAAUUUAUAUUAGUAAACCCACAUAUCAAAUUUCAUAAUAAGUGUACAUUCGUCAAGGUGUGUCGGAAUCGAAAUUGGAAUAGCCCUCGGACCGUUUUAGAUUUUCUAAUUCCAAUACCUACUUUUGAAUACUUGACAAAUACCCAUAUUAGUAAAGGCUGUAAAGCUAAUAUAUCUUCUUUUUUUUUGCUCAACUUCUCAUUCAUUAAUCCACAAAUGUUUUUACAAAGCAUUCUUAUCAACCUCAAUUAAGAGACUUAUCCAACCAGGCAUAAUAGAAUACAACUUAGAGACAUUAACAACAAAUGUGUAAAUCUCCUGAGCUAUUCUAUGAGCCACACUAUUAUCUUUUCUUUUCUUGGGAAGAAAGCAAGCUGGUGAUCUUCAAAUAUUGAUAGCAGACCUUUUAUAUCCUGCUGAAACAUACUUAAACAAGGUCAUACCUGCUCAAUAGCAUAGAAAAUAUUUUUAAAGUCAGUUUCAAAAAUAACUCUGGAGUAAUUCAGAUUUGUGACUAUAAUUAUCGCCCAUCUAAGUGCCUCAAUCUCAGUUUCAAGAGCCGAACCCAGCUGGUGUAAUUAGCUAAUAUAUCUAACAAAUGAGAAAACAUAACUUUUGAAGGUUUUCGUAAUAUGAUGCCUUCUUUCAAAAUAUCGGGAACCAAAACUUGAAUAGCUCUUCGACCAAUGUAGAUUCUUCAACUUCACUUCCGAGGCUUAAUCGCCUACAAUUGUUUUAUUUACCUCCGACGUUUUUGCAAGGUCUGCUACCGUAAAAAAAAUGUGAAGUCUUGGUCCACUUCUUUUUUCUUAUUAAUAUAUUGUUUUUAUUUGAUAUUCAGAAGAUUUUGGAAUACAAAGUUACAAAGAAAACAUAACUGUUGAGGAUCUGAGCAAAUCCGACAUGUGUACUGUCAUUUUGCUUGAUUGAAUAUAACUGUUAACAUAUAACCCCUCCUGAUUUUAAUGUUCACCUUUCGGGAAAAUAAUUACUAACUUUUAAAAAAAAAAUGUUUGUUAUGUUCAUUCAAAAUCCCACCCUGAUGUUUGAGAGCCACAUGCUUAAAUACAAACAAUUAAUUUAUUUGGCAAAAAAAAGAAUUAACAAAACAUGGUUUCUGAUAAUGGAGUAGCUUUUUCUUUACCUUGCAGAAUUUCUUUAAACAUAAUCAGAAUAUUUCAGAAAAAGAAUUAACAAAACAAUUAUCACUCUAAAUUAAUUUUGAAAUCAGUAUUUUCGCAUAUGUUACAUAAACACCAUUGAAUUUACUUGUUUGUAUUUUAAGGUUUGAAUAAGUGAUGUAUACGGUAUAACAAUGCGUUAUUGUUUCCAUAAACAUAAAUAGAUAUACAAAUCUAUAAGUGCAAUAUUUGGUAGCAUGUGCGUAGAUUACACCAAUGAUUAGAUGAGAUAAUCAAUCAUUGGCAACCAUUACUUUACGUUUUUUUUCUCUAUAUAACAAUACUUUACGUAUUUAGUUUCCUGAUUCGAUUUCAGUGUAUACAAUGUACAUGUAUGCAUAUGUAUAUCAAAGUGUAUACGCAUGCUGACAAAAUCCCUAUACAUAUAACUUGGGCCUGGCGAUGGUUGAUAAAAAUAUAUUAACCUCUUACAAAUAUGGCUAAUGUGGGUCGCUAAAAAAAGCUAAUGUGACGAUAGAAAACAAAUAAAAGAAGCCAAGUGUGUGCGCUAAAUUAUACAUCCGUAUAAAAAAAGGAAUUAAUAUGUAUGCAUGCACCUAGAAGGAAUUCAGGAAUCAAUGUGUACCGAAAUUUCUUGCUCGAUUCCGACCCUAUCUUUUCCUUUUUUCCUUUGAGCAUGAAAAGAAUUUUGGUGCGUAAUCUAGUAAAUAAUAUAUACAAGAAAAUUUAUUAAAUGGUGAAAAUGUUAGUAUAUCAUCUUAGAAUAAUGAAAUUUAAAUUUGAUAUAUAGUAAUAACUUGAAUUUCUGGAAAUGAAAAUUCCCAUUAUAAGUUUUAAAAGUAAAUUUAACAGUAGCUUAACUUCUAGAACCAGUUUUCAUAUAUAGUUUUUUACCAAUAGUUUUCAUAUAUAGUUGUUAUAGCAAAAUUAAAGAUAAAGAAAUUAUUUUAGUUAACAGGUAUAUAAAUAUGUGAUAUAAGUGGGACUACUUUUGAGAUUAAUGUAUACCUAGCUCGAUUGCCAAUUUGUGUGAAACCAUAAACAAAAAGUACUUAUGAUUUAGUAAUCAAAUAUAGGUUCGGACUUUGUGGAUUGGUUGUUGAAGAAAUGUGUUAUACGGAAAAAUGUCGACGGAAUUAUUGCAAGCCAAGUGUUAGUAUGGCCACAACAAUCAUUAGAUAUGCACAAUUAUGUGAUCAAAUGUUAUUUAUUUGAUGCACUUCUUUUCUCAUUACAUUAUAAUAUAUACAUCAAGCCCAAUUAGUGGUGUCCAAUCUUAUUUACAAUUCAAUAAUUUCCAUUCGUCUUUUUUUCGUUAUUUAAAAAAUAUAGAGAAGAAUCUAAGCUUAACAGAUAACUAAACUCAUAACUUUGUAUUGUCUUUUGCUUACAACGACAGCUUUUAAUAGGCAAACUUCAUACCUCAUACCAUUAAAAUGCGAACAAGUAUUCAUUGAGUCAUCAUUAGAAAGAGAUUAAAGAGUGUCAAAUCGGUGGCCUAGAACAAAUUUUGAUUUGCUUGUUUUCCGCGUCGAAUCGCCAUAAUGGAUUUUUUUAGCGUGCAUGAAUCAUGCCGCAUGGUGUAACAUAUUCUUUUGCAUUGGGCCUGAUCCAGUGAACUUACACUGUUUUGCCUCGAUCCAUUGAUCUACAAGCAGAAUAUAUAAUACGGCUAAACAAAGUCAACUUUGAUGCUGAUAACCAUUAAGAAAUGUUAAAGCAUUUGUCUGAAUUAAUCGCUUCUGUUUUACUUUAAGCAGAAAUUGUCAGAUAUAUGACCUGGUAUCUAAUAAAUCUUACAAAGUUUCUGUACAGUAAUCUUUGGAAAAAGAGAUUAGGGUUUAGGGAGUGACAAGAAAAUAGUCUCUGAUGGUUCUUCGUUUGACAGAGGAAGGAGGGUUUAGGACAGAUGAUGGGCUGUUGACCGCGGUUUCUGGUGUUCUCUCGCACGUUUUCUCUUCUUCUGAUGAUGAUAAUGACAAUGAUGAUGUCUUCUUAUUCUGAGUCUCCGGAGUUCUGAUGAUAGGCGUUGGUUGAUUAGUAGUAUAAUCAUCAUCUGGAUCUGAUGAAUGUUUUUGGGGACUCUCAGGUUCUUUGUUCAUCUCAAGUCUUUCUUUGGCUUCAGUAUUUGACAGUGCAGAUACUCUGCGUUUAACUCUUGACGCAGACGCUGAUGCGUUUGAGGUUUUGCAGCGGUUGUUCUCUAUGUUCCACAAUCGUACCUAAUUAUGAACAGACAAGAAGUCAGCAAAGGGCUAGAAAACACAUAACCUUUUGGUUUAUCACCACCAUAUGAAAUGUUUUGCUUACCGUGAAAUCAUCUGACGCUGUUGCUACCUUACCAAUCUCUGAUGGAGACCUACACAUCAGAUUGAGUUAUUAAUAUUAUCAUCGAAUCUACUCAUCAGGAAAGUUGGAUUCAAUGAGAAAUAGGAAAUAGAAGUUACCAAUCUACUGCAGUAACUUCGUAGUCAUGGCCUUUUAAGAUUGUGGGAUCUACUUGAGGCUUGUUAACCUAAAAUUGCAGUGGUUCUUUAAGCAUAGAUACGUAUUGAACCAUUGAUUUAUUGGAGAAUGUCAAACUAAGUGACAGAGUUUAAACCUGCCAAAUGUAAGCGUUACCAUCGCUUGAACCGCUCAAAAUGUGUUCUGCAUCAGGACUGAUCAUUGUCUGCAGCACAAGAUGUUAAUGGUGAGUGGACAGGCGAAAUCUUUAAUUAAAGCAAAUCAGUUGUGUGAUUGAUGUGAACAAGGCAUUUACCCUUACGAAAAAAGAAUCUAUUCGGCAACCAGAGAAAGAUUGUAAAGGUCCUUUGUCAAGCUGCAACAUGUUGUAUAAAUAGAUUCUGCAACAGGUUGUUGAAACGAAUUACAUAUUUUGUUAGAGCUGGACUCUCUGAUAGUGCAGGCUCAUCACAAAGAAUAGUUAAUGAGUGUGAAUCUUGAAAUUCUAACCUAUUGUCUUUGCACGAUGCUGUGAGAAAGGUUCCACUUGAGUCCUGGGACAAGCAAACUAUGCCAUGUGAUCUCUUUUCCUGAAACCACAAAUAAAAAAAGCCGGAUACAGAUUAAUCUAGUUUCCAUUUGCAUCGUUCAGAGACUAAUUCACUUAGAAGAAACAUGUGAUGUCAUCUGAGUCUAGGAGCAGCUUAGCUUACCUUAGUGUUUGUUGGGUCUAACUGUGGAGAUGCUUGAGCAAAAGGAACUUUAAGCUUCCUUGUGUCCCAAAAUUUCAAGGCACUGAUAGAAACGAGAAAAACAAAGAGAGCAAAGGAUGUAAACAACAUUGCUAUAUGAUCAAAGGAGAAGGAUUUUCUUCACAUAAACCCACUAAAGGUUUUGCAUGUACCUAUCUGGUGCUCCAGCAGUGGCAAUUGUGAUCUCGUCCUUGAGAUAAAGCACAGAGGUAAUGCUUGAUACAGCAGCCUGAAAACAUGAAGCCAUAAGCAGAGAUGAUAGGAUAAAUAGCUUAGAAUGGAAUAGUCAAGCGAAUGAGCAGGAGUAAAACCUUGCGACGUUUGAUUCGUUUUGAAAGAGGAGAUAGAUGAGCUCCUUUAACCAUGCCAGUAGAGCUGUGUGAAGGCCAGAACAACUAUCAAGAUGGUUUCAAGGAAAAAAACGAAAAUGAUUUGCACAAUUAACGUUUACAGAGAAGGACUUACUUGAUGCAAAACUCGUCUUUGUAAGAGCUACUUUUACAUCUUAAAUCCCAUAGCGCAAAACAUCCAUCUCUUGAACCAGAGACGAGAAGAUCUGCAAACAGCAAGAGUUAGAGCUACAAAGAUGGAAAAUAUCAAUUAGUAAACUAGGAAGAGAAAUUAGCAAGAACUAACCAGAAUUGGUUGGAUGUGAACACAAUGAUUUCACAGUUCCUGUGUGUCCUAUAAGGACUCCAGUACACUUAGUCUCCUCAACAUCCCAUACUUUGAUCUGUAUCCACGUUAAUAGGAAAGAAGAGUUUAUGAAUGUUGGAGACAUAAACACAAACUCAUAAAUUAAAAUGUUUGGGUCACUACUUACAGUUUGAUCACCAGAAGCAGUCAGAAGACAACUAUCUCCCUGCAAUAAAUUUGUGAGCCUAUCUUAAUUCCAGGGAAGAUUCAUGAAUUAAACGUAUAUAUAGUUCAAUAAUAAACAAAUGGCGCACCUUGAUCCAAGAAAUGUCAAAGACCGCAUUAUAAUGAGCAACCCAGUCACGGAAUCUGGCAUUCUCUACACAUAAUUCCAUUUGAAACAAACACAAAUCAGCAAUCGCAAUUUAGCCAAGAAAAACUUGGGUUAUCAACGGGAAUGAGAGGCGAUACCUGUAUUCUCUUGGUGAGAUGCAGAAGAGGCAAACUUCUUCUUACUCGAAUUAAAGAGACUCACAUGGCCAUCUUCAUCUGACACGGCGAAUAUUUGAGAAUUUCUACUACUCUGUACGUUUGGCAUAAUCGGUAAUUAUAAUCACACAAAAAAACAUAAUUCGUGUAUAGUUAUCUGAAAUUCGACUAAAAUGCACAACAAAAUUCAGAAGAUAUCAUCGAGCGUUGAGAUUGGUUCUAGAAUUGGAGCUACAUUAAGAAUCAACAGAACGAGAGGGGAAAUAUUCGGUAGAUCGACUAUAUACCUUACAAAACGAAACGGCCAACGGCGGAGUCCGAAUCCCGUCGUGUUCCACAGCCACGCCGGCUAUUUCUCUGCAAAUCAGCUCGGAAUCUGCGAAGAACGGUCGCUUCCUUCCUGAGACCAAAAAAAGAAAAAGUUUAAUCAGAACAAAAUCAGGAGAAGCUGAAACUCGUCAACGAUAGAGCUACAAGAUCGAAUAACGCAACGCAUUUGAAUGUAUGGAUAUACCUCGAAAUCCGUUGAGCUCUCUUAGACCAAUGUCGACGAAAACGGAUCUUGAUCUGGAGUUUUCCAUCGGAGAUUCUCUGCAGUCGAAGGAGAGAGACA
rnacentral:lncRNA from 1 species